rnacentral:lncRNA from 1 species
AUCAGAGUACCUCUUUUAAUAAAAAUGUUGCGGAAUUUGUUCCCAGUAAAACAUGAUAAAAACGUUAUCAAAGAGUUUCUAAGGAAAUGUAUUUUUAUUCAUUUAAAAACAUUUGGGAUGUAAUCGUCAAUAUAGAAACAUAAGCAUAAAUAGAACUUACAUUCAUUAUCACUAGUGAUUUAUAUCUCCUUAAUCUCUCAGUGUAAUGUGACUUCAUAUCAACAACUGUGAUAUAAAUAAACUGAGUGGGUCAGGUUGAGAAACCUGGUGAGCACAUAGGGUUUUCAACCCACAAUAAAUAAGUUUAUUAACUUUUUCAAACCAAACAAACCCGAUUACCUGUUCCCGUUAUCCUCACUUUACGUCCCUAAAACAUCUAACACAAGGGACCUAGUCUAAGGACUAUCAUCGGGAUGGACACUACUGCUAAGGGGAUUCCUCAGCAAAUAAAUGUCCUUAAGGCAACCAUGUAGGGGAUGGAGUACAUCUGGUGAGCACACAGUUCAAAUAAACACAUAGUUCAAAUAAACACCUACAGGUUGCGAGCCUGCUAGUGUUCCACUGGACUGUCUAGAAUAGUCUGUGGUCGUCAUCUAUACUCCGCUAGAUGACUGGAUCAUCAAUAACAUCUAUAACGAGGCCUCUCAUUAUUUUAUUUUGUCACACAGCAGCUAUUACAUCUACCCAUGUUUUACCCAACACAUUUUGUAGAUAUAAAAUACAUAUACAGUUUAAAUCAUUGAAAACAUGUAUAAAACGUUCAUCCAGCAUAGAUAGCAAGUAUUCAGAUAAUAUGCACACAUAACACGUAAUUUNACUAUGCACUCACUUGAAAGGUGGUGAGUCGGCACUCGGACAGCACUUCGUUACUCUUAAAACAAUUAUCCCUUGACGAAACCUAGUAUCAUUACCACUAGAGUUUAGUCUAACGCUUGACGAGACUAAUUUAAUAGUCUAGCUAUUAUUACUAUUAUAUAAGCGUUAAAUAACACUCAAUAUAACUCAUAAUAAUAGCCUAAAUAAUUAUUUUAAGGUCCUAACAAUGUUACUAUAAUUAAAUAAAAUCUAUAUUAAAUAUACUAUAGGCGUAGCUCACUUACAGCGGGUUUUUAUUAAAAACCAGGCUUCGCUGGAGCAGCGUUUCCGAGCCGAAAGCUUUUCUUCUCGGAGCCGUCGGGCGCUCCAGGGCUUUCUUCUCGUGAUAGGGAGGUUCCCUAUACUUGGUAGGAGUUUAGGGAGGUUAGAGAGAAGUUAGAGAGAGAAAUAAAGGUUUGAAGGUGUGAGGAAAUUAUGAAAAGGUCAUCUCUUAUUUAUAGGAAUUGUAUAGUAAAGUAGUCUCCAAGCUUCGUCUGUAACUUUUGCAUAUGAGCUCCGUUUUUGUCUGUGUUUUUACCGUUGAGUUCCUAUUAAUGAGAUCUUCAACUUUCAUUUAGACCUCGUUGGCUAAUUCUCAUUCUAUCUCGGAUUUACAAAACUGUAUCGAAUUCGCCGCGCUCGAAAAGUAGGGACUAAGCUUCGUCCAUAACUUUCGCAUACGAGCUCCAUUUUUGUCUGUCUUUUUACCGUUGAGUUCCUAUUAAUGAGAUCUUCAACUUUCAUUUAGACCUCGUUGGCUAAUUCUCAUUCUAUCUCGGAUUUACAAAACUGUAUCGAAUUCGCCGCGCUCGAAAAGUAGGGACUAAGCUUCGUCCAUAACUUUCGCAUACGAGCUCUAUUAUCGACGUUCUUUAUAUCCACGCGUUGGUAUUUACGAGUACUACAUCUUUCAUUUUGAUCCCGUCUGCUAGUUCUCACUCUAUCUCAGAUUUACAAAACUGUAUCGAAUUCGCAACGCUCGAAGAGUAGGGACUAAGCUUCGUCCAUAUCUUUCGCAUACGAGCUCCGUUUUCGACUGUCUUUUUAUCAUUUACCUCCUAUUAACGAUAUCUUCAUUUAUCGUUUAUAUUAUUUUGGCUAAAAAUCGACCGAUCUAAAAUUCAGAUUUCGGGAUGUGCACUGCUAUGCUAAAUCUUAGAAAAAUCAUAACUUCCUCAUACGAAGUCAGAUUUGGGUGUUCUUUUUAUGGACGCUCUCAGGUUAACAUAUUCUACGACUUUCAUUUAGAUUACUAAGGCUAAAAGUCACUCUAUCAUAAAUUCACUAUUUACGUCUUUGCGGUGCCGUGUCGGUUCUGUCGCUAAACUUUGACGGCUCAUAACUUCUUCGUUAUAACUCGGAUUUUGACGCUCUUUAUAUGUACGAAAACCUUUUAACAUAUAUUAAAACUUGGUUGAGAUUAUUUGUUCUUAAUAAUCUUUUGUCGAAAAGUCGUUUUCGACCCCUAUUGCCUCUAAAUUGACUAGCCCGGAUCUACGGGCGUUACAAUUAUCUCCCCCUUAGGAUGAUUACGUCCCGGAAUCAUCAACGAAACAGGGCUCGUAUAAUGACUCCAUACGUCAUCUCUUCAUCCUAGGUAAUAAUUAUAACUUCUAUAUUCCUUCAAGUCUAUCUCUUAGACUUAUUGACUGUAAGCAGUACUUGAUCGUGCACCUGCUCUCUACCUCAGGUUAGACUCCAAAUUAUGACCUAUCAUCAUGUGAUGCACGUUUAGAAUCAGGUCUCUUAGAGUUAAAUUCUAAAACAGACUAUGCCUUCCUUCAUGCUCUAAUGUGAUAUAAUCACAUUUUAACAUGUAGCAUUUCUAACUACCAACUUCUUUAACAACGAGCACGAUACUUCUAUUGAUCGCUUUGAUUUCAAUUGUUUGGUUUAAGUCGGACGCUACAUCAAACUUGGUUCUUUGUACCACGUAACCUACUCAUCGUAGUUGGACUCAGUGUGAUAUGACCACUAGGGUCAGAAUAACAACAAUUUUCUUAGUCAUUACCGAAACAAUGGUAACGACAUACUUGAAUAAAACGAAAUCAUUUACUAGCCUCUUGGUAACCUUGUGACUUUCCCUGAUCCAAGUGUGAGUCCUGUGCUUCCGGUAGUAUAGGCCUCUACUACCUUUUACACCUACUCAUACUCGUCCCAAGUAUUGUCCCGCAGUUGACCCAAGUCACCAUACAAGAAAAAAAAUCAUAUAACAACUUGACACAUUAGAUAAAAAACUAGGUUUUAUAUUAUUCCUUGAAACGAUUACAUAGGUGUUCAAGUUCAACCUAUACUAUGCCUCUAAUAGGCUACACCACGUGGUACUAAUUACACGACUACUUCAUAGAUCCUCAUUCCUGAUCCCUUUCAUUUCCAUCUUCUUCGUCGAGGAUCAUAUGGAACGCUCUUGCCUUCGGUUUUGGUGGAAUGUUUGGUCUUGCCGCCUCCUUCUUUUUCGGGCAAUCCUUAGCAACAUGCCCUUCUUCACGGCAUUCAUAACACACCCUUUUGUUGGCGGUGCACUCAUUGGCAUAAUGUCCGGUCUUCCCACACUUGUAACAAGUCACUUCUUCGCUACAUUUCCCAAAGUGAUUCUUCUUGCAUUUAUCGCUCCAUUUCACUUUGUUUCCUCCUCCGCUAAACUCCUUUGAACCAGACUUGAUCUUCUUAUUGGGCCUCGUAGACCCCUCAAACUUCCUCUUUUCGCCAACCUCAAUCUUGUUGGCAGCUCUUCCCUUAAUCAUAUCUUCCACAGACUUGGCAGCCCAGAUAGCUGCCUCCAGAGUAGGUGCCUGACGCACUGGCACCGCGUACUCCCAUGGAAGUCCCUUUGCGUACUUGUCGAUUUUUGUCAGCUCAUCCGGAACAAGGCGCAAGGCGAACUCCAUCUUCUCUGUGAAGUUGUUGGUGUAUUCAUCAAUUGACAUGCUUUCUUUCUUCAAGGUCAAGAACUGGUUCUCUAGCUCGAGUAAGUUUUGAGCUGAGCAGUACUUUCGUUUAAAUUGCACCAGAAACUCUGCCCAUGCCAGUUGUAGGGGCUCAUUGGGGCUCAAAGUCUUCCCUAGGGUAUUCCACCAAUGAACAGCGCCUCCUCUGAAUUGAUAUACUGCAAACGUGGUUUGUAGCUUGCCUACAUGUCAUGAAGGCCAAUUCCAUCUCUGAGAUCCAAUCCAUGACCCCAAUCGGAUCUUCCUUCCCAGUGAAAGUCGAUGGCUUGCAAGUUAGAAAAUCUUUGUACUUGCAUCCAUUCCUCUCGACUCCUUCAUCAUGAUUGUUCCUCCUAAUCACCGGGGGAUCAGCUUGACCAACGGUCCUACUGUCGUUCCCUUCCUCAGACUGCCCGUCAUUCAGCUCAGGUUGUUCAAUAGACAUCGUAAUUUCCUCUCGAGCUUGUUGAAGUAAAUGCCUUGUUUCCUCUAUUUGACGAUCCAACAUCAUCUGGAUCAAUGCUUGCACUCCGGCCAUCGUGAUUGGCUCGGAUGCAACUUCUACUACGACUGGUAUUUGCUGUAUCACUGGGGGCUGAUCUCGGUUCCCAUUUGCAUUCGCGUUUCCGCUACGGGUCCUUGACAUCUUGAUCUAUACACCGAAUAAGGUGAAUCUAGAUCAUUAUUUAGGAUUAACGUUUAAAUCAUCCUUAUCACUCCGAAAUGUUUAUAUGCUAGUUCUAAUAUCGUAGUUAAACGCUUAGAGUCCUAAACACAUAAGGUUUCCAGAUCCGGUCGGCAACAGACCAUAGAUCCGAAAAAAUAAUAGCAUGUCAGGCACAAAGCAUUUAGCACAUAAAAGCAUUUUAGGCAUAAUUCCUAAAAUAAGCUAAUGCUCACACCUCAAAAUCAUCGCUUAGCAUUCUAAGUUUAAGUCUAGAAAUCCUACAAAUUCCUAGUUCGCUUAAACUAAUGCUCUGAUACCAACUGUGACAUCCCCAUAUUCACGGCCAGAAAAGACCGAUUUUGUUUAUGCUUUAUAAAAAUCAGAGUACUUCAUUUCAUAAAAAUGUUGCGGAAUUUGUUCCCAGAAAAACAUGAUAAAUACGUUAUCAAAACAUUUUCGAAGAAACGUAUUUUAUUCAUUUUAAAACGUUUGGGAUGUCAUCGUUAAUACAGAAACAUAAGCAUAAACAGAACUUACAUUUAUUUACACUAGUGAUCUACAUCUCUUUAAAUCUCUCAGUGUAAUGUCACUUCAUAUCAACACCUGUGAUAUAAAUAAACUGAGUGGGUCAGGUUGGGAAACCUGGUGAGUACAUAGGGUUUUCAACCCACAAUAAUAUAAUUAUUAUGUUUAAACAAUCAAACAAUCAACCCAAUUACCCAUCCCCAUUAUCUUCUUUAUUCUUAAGGAUCUACCCUAAGAAUCAGCUAUUUCUCAUUCAUUCAUUCCUAAGGAUCAUCCUAAGGAAACAACAUGAAGUCCAUUGUUGCCAAUGACACAUUGGUCAAGCGCAGCUGCUAAUAUUGUCACUUAGGCUCAGCUGCCAGAAUUAGGACAUUUUCUAUGAGGCGCUUCUGCCGGUAUUGACCUUUAAACACUACUGUCAUGGUCAUAAGGCUCCCUAUUAGGCGCAGCUGCCGAUACUAUCCUUAGAGCGCAGCUGCUAGGACGUUUACCGUAGAUCUAAAUCAUCUACGGGUUGUGGCGCAGCUGCCAGUGCUCAUCUAUAGGGUACUAGGUCCACUGCUGCCAAUGUAUACCUAUAGGGCACUAGGUCCGUACUACUAAUGUUCCUCUAUUUCAGCUUUUAUCCAUCAUCAUUCAUCUACCCAUGUUUUACCCAACAUAUUUUGUAGAUAUAAAAUACUUUAUACAGUUUACAUCAUUUAAAACAUGUAUAAAAAUCUUUCACCAGCAUAGACAACAAGUAUUCAGACAAUAUGCACACAUAACACGUAAUUUAUAUUAAAAUACUUCAUAUCUAUGUGUAAGAUGAAAGAGACCAUGCACUCACCUGAUUAGGUGGUGAUUCCGAACUCAGACAGCACUUCGUUAUCUCAAAACAAUUUUCCUCGACAAAACCUAGUAUCAAUACCACUAGGGUUUAGUUUUUAACGUUAACCACGACUAAUUAAUAGUCUAGCUAUUAUUACUAUUAUAUAAGCGUUAAAUAACACUCAAUAUAACUCAUAAUAAUAGCCCAAAUAAUUAUUUUAAGGUCCUAAUAAUGUUACUAUAAUUAAAUAAAAUCUAUAUUAAAUAUAGUAUAGGCGUAGCUCACUUACAGCGGGUUUUUAUUAAAAACCAGGCUUCGCUGGAGCAGCGUUUCCGAGCCGAAAGCUUUUCUUCUCGGAGCCGUCGGGCGCUCCAGGGCUUUCUUCUCGUGAUAGGGAGGUUCCCUAUACUUGGGAGGAGUUUAGGGAGGUUAGAGAGAAGUUAGAGAGAGAAAUAAAGGUUUGAAGGUGUGAGGAAAUUAUGAAAAGGUCAUCUCUUAUUUAUAGGAAUUGUAUAGUAAAGUAGUCUCCAAGCUUCGUCUGUAACUUUUGCAUAUGAGCUCCGUUUUUGUCUGUGUUUUUACCGUUGAGUUCCUAUUAAUGAGAUCUUCAAAUCUCAUUUAGACCUCGUUGGCUAAUUCUCAUUCUAUCUCGGAUUUACAAAACUAUAUCGAAUUCGCCGCGCUCGAAAAGUGGGGACUAAGCUUCGUCCAUAACUUUCGCAUACGAGCUCUAUUUUUGUCUGUCUUUUUACCGUUGAGUUCUUAUUAAUGAGAUCUUCAACUCUCAUUUAGACCUGGUUGGCUAAUUCUCAUUCUAUCUCGGAUUUACAAAACUGUAUCGAAUUCGCCGCGCUCGAAAAGUGGGGACUAAGCUUCGUCCAUAACUUUCGCAUACGAGCUCUAUUAUCGACGUUCUUUAUAUCCACGAGUUGGUAUUUACGAGUACUACAUGUUUCAAUUAGAUCCCGUCGGCUAGUUCUCACUCUAUCUCAGAUUUACAAAACUGUAUCGAAUUCGCAACGCUCGAAGAGUAGGGACUAAGCUUCGUCCAUAUCUUUCGCAUACGAGCUCCGUUUCGACUGUCUUUUUAUCGUUUAACUCCUAUUAACGAUAUCUACAUUUAUCGUUUAGAUUAUUUUGGCUAAAAAUCGACCGAUCUAAAAUUCAGAUUUCGGGUUGUGCACUACUAUGCUAAAUCUUAGAAAAAUCAUAAGUUCCUCAUACGAAGUCAGAUUUGGAUGUUCUUUUUAUGCACACUAUCGGUUUAACAUAUACUACGACUUUUGUUUAUAUCGCUAAGGCUAAAUCUCACUCUAUUGUAAAUUCACUAUUUACGCCUCCCGGUAUCCUAUCGGUUCCGUCGCGAAACUUCGACGGGUCAUAACUUCUUCGUUAUAACUCGGAUAUCGACGCUCUUUAUAUGUACGGAAACCUUGUAACAUUUACUAAAACUUGGUUGAGAUUAUUUUUUCUUAAUAAUCUUUUGUCGAAGAGUCGUUUUCGACCCCUAUUGCCUCUAAAUUGACUAGCCCGGAUCUACGGGCGUUACAUCGACCCAUUGGUUUGGUGAGGAGACUCACCUCAAAUGCGAACUGUAGUUGAGUAGGUCUAAACUCCGAGUAUCAUCUCUGCUGCCUCCUUAAUCAUAAACAACUCCUUAGAUACAACUCAACCCUUCAAACCUUAAAAUUUAAUCCUGGUCAAGGUCAAAGUCAUGUCAAAGUCAACAAUCUGAGUUGACCUAACUCGUCGAGUCACCCCUUUAACUCGUCGAGUCCGUCCCAAAGUCAGAAUCAUAAUAUCGCGACCCAACACAUCGAGUUUUCCUAUAACUCGUCGAGUUUCUCCAUUUCCCAAUAGAAUCGGGGUAACCCCGACCCAACUCGUCGAGUUCUUCAGUCUGUUAACCCACAUAAUUCAUUAAGCCCUUUUCUUGAAUCCAAAUGGUUCUAAACUUCAUAUCCAUGUCCCUAGAGAUGUCUAGAAGGGUAAAUUUUCCAACUUUACCUCCAAGGAUCAUCCAAUAAGCUCUAAAAUUAAACCCUAGUUCCUUUAAGGAAGGUCUUGACUCAUUAAUCCCUUAAACUCUCAUCCCAUCGACCCAAAACACAGAUCUGAUGUCCAAAUGCAGACAAAUCACGUAAAGUUUCUAACUUUACGUCUAUGCAUGCUUGAAAUACUCUCCAAGGCCCAUUUUGUUGGGUUUUGAGCAUUCUAACAAUCUUAUGGUGUACAUGCAACCCUAUAUACCUUGGAUCUAUGUUUUCUCUAUUAUACAUGCAAAUAUCAAUUUUCCAAGGUAUCAUACCUUUUUUGUAGCUUGAUUCCUUGGACCUUAAAGAGCUUAGUGCCCCAAUUGUUGCACCUCAAAUGGUUCACACAACACCACCAAUAAUUGGAAUAACUUGAGAGAAGAUUAUAUACACUCAAAAUCGGCUAGCCCUCAUGUGUCUAUCACUAGUCACCACUUAGUGCCAAUUUCAUGAGCUAUGAGGCUUCUUAUAUAGUGUGCAAAUUAGGGUUACACCAUAUAACUCAUGACUUUCCAUAUUCCUUAUGAUCCAUGGGUUUUAACCUCCAUGGAGUAUCCAUGGGUCACUACAUGGGUUUAGCCCAACGUGAGGAACUAUGGAUCAUAAGCCCACUAUAUAAGAAUGAUUGAUUUACCAAAUCAAUCCCCAUUUAUUUAAUUAGUCUCUUUUGAUCACAAAAUUAAUUCUAAACUAAUUAUUGAUCAAUAAUAAUUAAAUAAUAUGAUUUCAUAUUAAUAUAUUAGAACUUAUAAUAUAUUAAUAAAUCAUAAAUAUCAUCCUCUUACAAAAGUCUAUCCAAAUUGUUCUGAUGCCAUGCAACCCAAAUGGACCAUGCUACUCUUAGGUCAAGUACAUACCAAUAAUAGUUAUGGGCUUAGACACCUAAUCCAAUAGUCUCCCACUUGGAUAAGUCUAGUAACUAUUAUUGCAAGCAUGACUCCAACCUGAAUAGCAAUCAUAGCUCUUAAAAGCCGUUGUCGAACUUUGAUCUAGUUAAUGACGUGUCCAUUAGAUAAGGGAUCAUAUAUUCCUCCAUUCUAGAUAUCAUAUAGACCGAGACAUGGAUUAUAAUCAUUCUCUCUGUCCAUCUGUUGUUUCCCGAUUUCCGAUUUAUGACGAUCGACUAAUUGAACAAAUCAAAUCAGUCCAGGCUUGGCCAAAUACUUAGGGGUGUCAUCAUUAAAUCAUUGAGGGCCCACAGAUAUCGCUUUUAUCCAUACAGGGUAAAAGGAACGGAUAAACUUCGACCCAAAUUCUCGCUUGUACUUACUCAUCAAAUUACACAUAAUGAUAUGUUUUAUAACAACCAAGUUACUGGUGCGUUUACAUAUGUCAAUGUGCAACCGACUCGCAACUACAACUCACACGUAUCCGCUAGAAGAAUAUAUGAUAUUAUGGUCUCAUGAUUACUCGUGAUAAAAUCCAUGAAGUGAUUCAAAUGAGCAUGGGUUAAAUCCAAUACUCGAAUCUUAUUCCAGGAGUACUCAUGAACAAUGUAGCCACAUUGUCCUAGAAAAACUACAGACCCAUUCAUGACAGUCUUGCCUCAAUACCUACUUCCAAAGAAUGAUCGACUGUGGAUGGUUUGAAUAACCUAGUUAUUCGGGAAGUCAAAACAUGCAAAGUGAAACACAUGAAUAAUACUAAUCCUAUAUGGAACCAAAACUUUUGAGCCAUACUGAUUACUCAUCAUUCAUUGUAUAAUGUUUCGAAUAAUCAACUUAAUACUUGAAUUAAAAACAAUAGUUAUGCCAUGCUCCAAGCAUGCACACUAUGUUUGUCUAUGGUCCUUACUUUGUGAAGUAGAUCAAUUGAAAAACAUUUCAAUGAUGCUCAUUUCAGAAUUCGAAAUCCUUAUUGCACGUGUAAGAAUUCCAAAUUCAUGUCACUACUAGAAAGUCUUAGAUUCUAAACUUUCAUGUAGUGGUUAUUUUGUAAUGUCUAGGUACCAAAAGUCACAGAGACUUGAUCAAUGAUAUUACAAAAUAUUCCUUUGGAGAUUGUUAUAGGACAAUUCCAUGGAAAUGAAGUCUCAAAUUCAAAGUACAUUCUUGUGAACAUCCUUCUUGCAUAAAAGUUCCUAACUUUCUCAUCUAUUCUUCAACUCCCUAUUUAGAAUCAUUCCAUAUUUUCCAUACGGCAAUUCAUUAAUAAUAGACUCUUGUCUAUAGUCUAUUCAUAAUAAUGUCAAUAUGAUCCAUCCAUUACUAUACUUCAAACUAUCUAUAAGCGACCAAUCCUUGGCGAACCUUAGAUUGUCCUUAACAGUUAUUCAACCACUUUAGUCAUGACCGGUUCUAGUCCCACUACAAGAAAAAGACCCUUUUACGACGCGCAAACCACGACACUCGUUGAUUUAUGUUACAUAAAAGAGAGUGACACUAAAAAAGUGUCAUCUCUUCAAAAAAUUUAACAAUAGAGGACACGCAUUAUUGCGUGCCCUUAAAUUAGUGUCUAAACAAAAAAAAACUCGGAGGGUACCUAUAAUAAAACGCGCGUCGUCUAAGGAUGUCGCUUUAUAAUUUUUAAUGGAACGCGCGUUCCAUCCUUUAACAGUGGGGGGAAAUGAAAUUCUGAAAAAAUUAAAAACCCCGCCUUCCUUUUAUUUCUCCUUUCCCUCUUGCCCAAAUUAUGGACGCUCCUUCCUUCCCCCUCCCGACAUUGAGUGCUGCCUACUUCUUCCCUCACUUACUUCUACCUACUGGAACCACCAUAUCUCCCACUCGAUGUUGAAAUUGUUAGAAAANNNNNNNNNNNNNNNNNNNNNNNNNNNNNNNNNNNNNNNNNNNNNNNNNNNNNNNNNNNNNNNNNNNNNNNNNNNNNNNNNNNNNNNNNNNNNNNNNNNNNNNNNNNNNNNNNNNNNNNNNNNNNNNNNNNNNNNNNNNNNNNNNNNNNNNNNNNNNNNNNNNNNNNNNNNNNNNNNNNNNNNNNAUCUAUAUAUAUAUAUAUAUAUAUAUAUAUGUAUAUAUAUAUAUAUAUAUAUAUAUAUAUAUAUAUAUAUAUAACAUGUUGGUGUGCUUCUCGUUGUGAUUGCUUCACAAAAACACUCUUUAACAUAAUUUUUGUUCUUCAUUCUAUUUCAUAUGUUUAUAUUUUGUUUUCUUUUCUUAUUAUUAGGUACAUGCCAUAAUUUUCAAAAAGGAGGCUGAAGACUUGAGGGAAAGAUGCUUUCUCAACACUGUAUACAUCCAAAGAAUGUGUUCAUCCACAGAUCGUCAACAAGUCAUUCAACUAUAUGAACAAAUUUUUAGGGUAAAACCACUCAUAAAUUCAACAGUAUCUUCUUGUGACCUAAAAAUCCUGCUAGGUGUCUGAAAAAAUUUGGAAUCCAUGGCACAAUGUUUGCACCAUCAAUGGUUGGUCUUGCUGAUUGGUGAAUUCAGAAAGUGUCUUCAACUUGUCUCUGCUUUCCAUGGCCACAUCAACAAUGGCUAAUGUUAGUCAGGGAUCAAAUUUAAGGUUCUUCUCUCUUUCUAUAAAGUUGCAUUAUUCUAUUAUUGUAUGUGGUUUUACCUUAUGCAUUUUUUUUAUUAUACAUAGUUGUGGCCAUGAGGAUAAUGUGAGUAUUUUGUACAAUACAUUCGUUUUCCAUAUUCAGUUCCUGCCUAUGUAAGUGCUAUUCUAACAUAUUAUUCCACAUUCAGUUCCUGCAAUUUUCCUUUUUUUUUCACAAACAUACAUAGGAAUUUCCUUUAUUAUAAAAUUAUACUAAUGUUUUUCUUUUCCCAAAUACAGAUGCUUAAUCGACAAGUAGUGAAGUCUCGAACUGCUAUAAUUAAGGUACUUCACUGUGUCCAGUUUGACUUGAAAGAUUCAAAUGUUGUAUUGUAAAUAAUUUGUAAUCAUUUUUCUCUUUGAUGUUAUUAUAAGGCAUGCCUUAGUGUGUUAUUAUAUUACCACACAAAAAACUCACUUCUAUCUUAUUUAAGGAAAGGAACUCUGAUGCUUCAAACUCUGUUAAAACGAACUUCUAUUUUAGAGACUAACUUGGCUUUUAUUUAUUAAAACUGCAAAUGCUUAUAGCAAAUGAAAAUAACUUUUUUCUAAUUUACUAUUUGUGUUUCUGAUUUCUCCAUUAAUAAUGAAGCUUUAUGAGGUUCAUCUUGAUUAACGGUUUACACACUAUUGCUAAUGGUUUUAGCAAGUAAAAAAACAACUUUGACUUUAUAUGAUUCUGGUUCAAUAGAGGAAACUGCAUUCUUUUACCCCUUAAAUUUGAUUUGGAUUAAUGAUGAAAGAAUUUUUCUCUAAUCCUUUUCCCAAAGUAUGUUGACUUUCUUUUAUAUGUUUGUAGAUUCCUCAGCUGGAGUUUGAAAUUCCUCCAGAAGCACAACGUGGAUCUUUAUCAACUGUAUGUUAUGUAUCUAGUGUUCAUGACUACAUUUAUUUGGAAUAUAAAAAAAUUAGUCAUUUAUAUUUACAUGGUCUUUUGUUAGUGAUGUUAAUAUACAAUAUUUAACAAUUGGAUAUUACACAUCUUGUUGAUGUGAAAAAAAUUGCAAUUUUCUCCCGUUCAAAGAGGUAGGCCAGAGAAUCACCCUCGAUCUCUUCUCUGUUGAAAAGACGUUAAUGCCCUUCUCAUCCUCACCGUAAAAAAUAGCCCUCGAAAGAUUUCUAGAGGUAUCUACAUCGAUGAGGAGGGCUUUCACGUCUUUUUUCACAUAUGAGAGAUCAAGAACGAGUCCCUGUCCCACCAUCUUUCAAAAGGGUAUUUAUGUCUUUUGGGUCUUGGAGUUGGAGCCUACUGACACAUCCAGGCUUAUAUCUGCUUCAGGUGGAAGGGAUAUUACUAAGAGCUUCUAAAGAAUUGCAAGCCCUUCAAGAAGAGAGAAAGGUAACUCUUCAUAUGAUAUCACAUGUUGUGAUUUCAUGUGGUCUGACUUUCUCAUGUGGUCUGACUUUCUCAUGUUAAUUUUUUUUUCAGAAAGUGGAUCCUGAAACUACAGAGGCAAUAGACAAGUUUACAUUGAGAUUGAANNNNNNNNNNNNNNNNNNNNNNNNNNNNNNNNNNNNNNNNNNNNNNNNNNNNNNNNNNNNNNNNNNNNNNNNNNNNNNNNNNNNNNNNNNNNNNNNNNNNNNNNNNNNNNNNNNNNNNNNNNNNNNNNNNNNNNNNNNNNNNNNNNNNNNNNNNNNNNNNNNNNNNNNNNNNNNNNNNNNNNNNNNNNNNNNNNNNNNNNNNNNNNNNNNNNNNNNNNNNNNNNNNNNNNNNNNNNNNNNNNNNNNNNNNNNNNNNNNNNNNNNNNNNNNNNNNNNNNNNNNNNNNNNNNNNNNNNNNNNNNNNNNNNNNNNNNNNNNNNNNNNNNNNNNNNNNNNNNNNNNNNNNNNNNNNNGUUUAACACACACACACACACAUAUAUAUAUAUAUAUAUAUAUAUAUAUGCUUGAUAAAAUAACUCAAAUUUGGUAUUGUAUAUACUUCACUAUGUCCAAUUUUACUUGAAAGAUUCAAAUGUUGUAUUGUAUAUACUUUGUAAUCAUGAGCCACAAGCAACAUUAGGAUACUUGUUUGAUCCUUCACGAUCUGCAGAGUUAACAAUCAAACAUCAUCAUAUAAUAUUCCUUCUGUAGGAACUGUUGAACCGCAUGGGUCAGGUGGGGCAGUGGCCGGGCGGCAUGCAAUUGCCCAGGGUAGUACUGUGGAAUUUGAUGAAGCUCUCUUUCGAUAUACUGCUCCAGAAGAGGUACUUUUUUUGGAGUUAUUGUUGGUUCACCUCUCCCACUUGAAUAUGAAGUUACUUCCAUGGCUUGACAAAGUUACAUUAUUUGAUUAAUUUGUAUUCAGAUUAAAGUAAAUUGGGUUUGCUGAGAUUGCUCCCCUGUUAAUCUUACCUUGAAAACUAAAUAAAGAACAAUAUUAGAAAUUAUGCAAAGGGUAUUUUAGGUUAUAUGAUUAGAGAGUACCAUGUAUUCACAACACAUUAAGUGAAGCUCCAAAAGUUACAGCAACUAAGAGGAAAAUGAUAAAUAAUGAUCUUUUCAAUUACUAAGUUGUCAAGAAUUAUCAAUAUUAUAAAUGAUAAAGAUAACCAAGAAAACAUAUAUUAUUGAUAUGGUUAUAAUUCAUCUUUUUCCUAGUUUAUGCAGUAAAUUUGUUUUUGAAAAUUUGAAGUUUUUUGUUGCAGCUAAGGAGCAUGUGGUUGGAAGGUACAACACUGGCCCAAAGCUAGGGGGAGAUGAUCUUGAUGUUCAUGGUCUAUUUAAUGAGUAAGCAUUAGGAUUUUCCACUCAAGUUAAAUCUUUUUAUUUUGUGAUUAUAGUUUUAAUAUUAUUAGGAAUGUGCAGAUAUGUUGGGCAUUUUCUAUCUAUUUGGAAGCUGUUGCUAUUCUCCCACAGUUGGUUCUGCUGCAGCGAAGGGGAAAUGUUGACAAUUUGACCGGUCAAUAUGUUUUCUUUCGUGGGUAUUCUCCCUUCUAUAUUUUGGCAUGAUAUCAUUAUGAAGCUGGAUAACCAUGAAAAAUGGCCUUUUAAAUGAUCAAAAAUAGUAUAAUAAUCAUCUAGAAAAUAGGAUGCUAUGAAUGAAAAUCUGUUUGUUUGCAUUAUAUUGUUAGGGCAUACCGUGCAUUGUAUAUUCUCAACUGGAUUUGUCGGUAUCUCACACAGCCCCAUUUCAAUGAAUGGAUAUGUAAGUUAAAGCUUUUCUCUUAUUCUUAUUGUCUAUACAUGUAUUUCAUUUGACUUUUGUUUUGUUUGUUUGUUUGCAGCCUGUUUCUCUGGCUUAAUACAAAUAGCUCUUUAUGCUGAUUUCUUCUACUAUUACUUCAUAAGGUACACAACCUCCAUUCCCAUUCUUUCUGUUCUGUCUUUUACUUUAAGCAUAAUCAUAAUAACACAGGCUUUAUGAGGAAGGGCAUUUACGUCUUUACUCUUCGCCUGGGUGGCAGUGGGACAAAAUUUGCAAUUUUCCAGACUGAAUAAGACUACUACUACAUUACAUGACCAUGACCAUGACCAUGACCAUGACCAUUUAAUACUUGCUUUCAAUAAACCAAGUUUCAGAAUAUUUAUUCAGAUGAAAUGAAUAUUUUUAGGAAGAAAGACAAAUAGGUGAAAAGUUAAUAAGUCUAAGACAAGAUUUUUGGUUAUUAUUCUUUCUCAUUCUAUACAUAAUAACUUCUUAGCACAUUCCCCUUCCUUAGCUUAUUAUUAGCUAAACCUAAUCAAAUACAGUAGUUUCUUAUUCUCAUCUCAUGUGUAUGUGUACGUACAAUUGGAAAAGCAAUUCCAAGCUUCAAUUUCCAGCAUGAGCAUCACCUACCUGGCUUGGCGUUUGAAGCUUCAAUUACCAGCAUGAGCAUCACCAAGCUCCAAUUCCCUUUCUACCCUUCACUUGCAGGUUGAUGAUUUGUCAAGAAUGUUCAGACUAUUUUCCAAAAAUACCCCAUGGAUUGGAUCCUGUCUCUUGUAUGUUUAAAAAGGUUUGUGAUUUAGGAGUUGGAUUCUAUUUUUUUAAAGUAGAAUGCAGUUAUUUGUAUGUGUUGUCAUCUGUUUUUAUCUUUUUGACGCAAUGCAGCAUGUUGCUGCUGAAGGCACAACCUUGGUCAAACAGGCAGAAGAUGCUGCAAGUAAUAAGAGAUUGCAGGUUGAUCCUGCUACAUGGCCAAUAAUGAUCUUUAGGGUCUGCUAGAAGGAUUGGAGAUUGCAGUUAAGCUUCUAUCUAAGACUUCACGCCAAGGACUUGAUGAAUUUAAGCUAGCAAUGUUUUACUUGAUUUGGACAUGAACCCUAAGAUAUCAUAUUUUGGCAUGGCUAGAAGCUUUGGAGGAAACGAGACUCAAGCAAAAGUAAACACACAGAGAGUUGUUGGCACAUAGUAAGCUAGAUAAUGCAAUUGUAUAUAAAUGAGUUCAUUUUUUUAUAACAUUUACUCACUAUUGGAAUAAUUAUUUGUAUUUGACAUAUUAGUGAAAUGAAUUAUCUUUGUUAUUUAUGGUAUUUUAUUUUGUAUUAUGAGAUUUUUAAUGUAUUAUUUAAUUUGACAAUUAGUAAAUCUAUAAAUAAUACUUUUUUUAAACAUUUAAAAUUAUGAUACGCAAAAAUGUGUGUCAUCUUCAUUUAUGACAUGGCCUUUCUUGACAGGGGCUUUCUUGAUACGCAUUGCGUGUCAUUAACACGCGCGUCGUAAGUUUACGACACGCGAAUGCGUGUCAUCUUCCUUUAUGACAGGGCCUUCCUUGAUACGCAUUGCGUGUCGUAAACGCGCGUCGUAAUUGCGCGUCGUAAAUGAGCGUCGUAAAUGCGCGUCGUCUAUAGACGACGCGCAAAAGCGCGUCGUCUCUCUUUAUGACAGGGCCUUCCUUGACGCGCAUUUGCGCGUCGUCUGAGCCUUUUACGACGCGCAAUGAGCGUCGUAAAAGGCUGUUUUUCUAGUAGUGUCCUUUUUCCCUCUUAAUGCCCUAGGCAUUUGGAAAAAUUUAGAACAUGAGAAUAUUAUAGCAUAUGCAAUCGAUCCUAUACCCGAAGCAUAUGGGACACGAUUCAUAAUGUCCAACAUAAAGACAUGAUACUUGAUCAGUCUUUUGCUAUAAUAUUUCUAUUUGCCAUGUUCUCAAAAUUUUGAUUAUGAAGAGGGAUUCCGUAAUCAUAAUCAAAUUUUGAGAACACAAUUAACCUUUUCCAUAUAUAGAAUUUUCUUAUGUUGAACCAUUCCAACUUUACAUUCAUAUAUAUUUGACUAAAUUUGAUUAAAAUCUCAAUCUAAGCUUUUAGAUUUGAAAUGAAGUAUGAAUUCCUCUCCCUUAAUUAUAGCAAAACAACUUUUCAAACCCUACAAUUUUGCGAAUUAAAACUUUUGUUUUCUAUAAUUAACAUUGCUAGCUUGCAACAUUCAUCAUAAUUGAUUAUGCUCCCACUACCAUAAUAAUUACAUCCUUAUUAGCAUAACACUUAUGCUCCCACUAGCCUUGACAUGUACUCAGAAAUCAGCUGGAUUUCUAGAAAUCAACACUUUGUUGACUUUGUUACCAAAGUUCAGAUUUCUAACAUGAGAUACUUUGAUAAGACUUUAUCGAGGCUUCUCAAACUCAUACACCUUUCCUUAGAUAGCUCACAUGUGUGUCUAAACUAUUUAAGAACCUACAAUAAUAAUUAAUAAGUCUCUAAUGUUUAGACCUUUUUGUCAUUUCUCACAAUUUGAAUUAUGAAGAGGGAUGUUGAACGGCGCGAUUGAAAUCCAUCUUUGCGACCAGAUUCAACAUACUCUUCCUUUAAGCUUCCUUCUCUUUGCUUCGAUUCUACUAACAUCAAGAUGCGACCUAGUCACAUCAUGUAUUAAGAAUAAAAAAUUAGGAACUUAAUAGAGUUGGAUAGUAGACUUACCUGAAGCAGAGUCAAACUUUUCGAUUCUAUCUUUUCUCAGAUCUUUCAGGUAGUUAGGGCAGCUACGCAACCAAUGCCCCUUCUCUUAGCAAUAAAAACAUAUGGACUCUUUGGGAAUAGCACAUGGGACAAUCUCAGACUUAGCCCUUCUCUUUAUCAUUUGGUCAACCAGGUUGACUAUGACCGAUCCCUUUCCAUUGGGAAGAGAGAGCUUUUCUGGACUUCUAAUGUUUUCAUUGCCAAUGUCCGUGGAAGUUUGAGGAGUAGAUCUUCCAAUCAACUUUGCUUUUCCAGUGUGCCAAAUCAUUGUUGAUUCAAUAGCAACAAGCAAAUAGGUAAGAUUAAUAAGGGUCAUGUCGUGGUCUAUCACAUAGUAGUCCUUAAUAAACUCACUCUAUGACUCGGGAAGUGAUUGAAGGACUCAGCCAACUUCCUUGGGAAAACGACACCUAACUCUCCCAACUUGUCAGUAUGUAACUUUAUCUCCAAGAUGUGAACACAUACAAACUUUCCUUCCUACCAAUAGGGCUUUGAGUGACCUAAAACUUGUGGGUUAGGGAGAAUCAUUGGAGGAGGUGGAGGAAGUGAAGUUCCACUAUAGCACAAAGAAGGGAUUAAUCUUUCACCUUGAUCGCCUUGUGGAAAAUCAUCUUUAAGAGAAAAGCUUGUGCUUAAAAGAUUUUGGAAGACCAUAGUUGUCUAUACUAGACAUCCACAAAUGGGAGAAAUUCAAAUUUAGUUGAUUUUAGUCCUUAAUAUAACACCCAAAUGAAAUAUUAAGGCUAGGAACCCACACAAUAUUUUACAAUUUGGAAGAGGGAUGCCGUAAUCCAAACUACAAAAUAUUUGAAGGUACGUAAAUGACGAUUUACCAAUUUCCACCAUAAAAAACGAAAAAGAAUUUCAGGUUUUAAGUGAAUUGAAACUCCUAGAUCCUUUGAGAUUCACUGAACAAUUCAAUGGUAUGUUUAAAUCUCGAGUGUGUCCUUCAAGUUUGUGACUGGGAUGCCGAUGAUCACAAACAAGGUGUGAAUAACCAUGCAAAUUAGCUUGGUACACCCAAUGUUACAACCACCUAAUCAGUGUGCCAGUUAACCACACACAAACCAUUGACCUAUGAUUAACAUCAAGCUACCCUUUUCCAUACACUGUCAGUCCCGAUUAGUGUGUCGGUUAACCACACACGCUCCACUAACGGCUUAACAAGGUGCAAAGUGCAAUUUUAUGGGUUAGCACCAUAUUCACAUUUUCCUAAGUAACUAAGAUUUGGGAAUUUAUAAGUGUUUAGUUACUUAGUAUUUAUCAUUAUACUUUUAAUGAAGGGAGAGUUAGAGUCAUAUCCUACCUGUUCGGCUAACGACCCUCCAUCAGUCAAGGAACUGGUGGGUGAGAGUGGACACCCAUUAAACUGUCAUUUUAUAUGCAGUAACCUUAUAUCCCCCUUAUAGACCGGCUUCGUGAAUGCGGCCUACUAACAUUAAGACUAACUUUACUCUUAUACAUACAUAUAUAUAUAUAUAUAUAUAUGNUAUAUAUAUUAAACCUAUAAUAUUAUAAUAGUAUAAGGAUUGAAUUUUAAACUUUUAAAAUUCUAGGGUUUGGAAUUAAAGUAUUCGGGUUUGGAAUUAAAGUAUUCUAAAGUGACUUUACAAAUUCCAAAACUUGAGGGAAAGUUUUGAAACUAUUCAAAAGCUUUGGAAUCCAUAACUUAUGAGUUUAAUAUAGGUGUAAAUGAAAAGACUCUUGGAAAUCCAUAACUUGAGGACAAGUUAUGGAGUUCAUAAAACCAUUUAUGAAAAGGGCUCUUUAUUUUUCUAUAACGUAUGAGUUUUAAUGACUUUUAAAAGAAAGACUUUCACUUUUCCAUAACUUGAGGACAAGUUAUGGUUUUUCAUCAAAAAACAUUUAGAUCAAAAUUGUAAGAUACAAAAACAAUCAAUUUGUCUAUGAUCUAAAUUAAACUCAUAAGAACAAGGCAAUUCAUAUCAAACAAAUUUCAUGGAAUUAGCCUAACCAUAUAAACUAAUACAAAACAUGAAACUUUGACAAUUAUCUUUAAAAUUGGAUUAACAUGAUCAUUACCACAUCAAAAAUAGGUUUAUAAGUUAAAAACCAGCUUACAGUAAUGAUCCUAGUCCAAUUCCAGCCAAAAACAUCGAAAAUCUGCACUUAGGGGCUCCAACUCAUCGAGUGUAUGAACCAACUCGGCGAGUUGGAUGAGUUUGAGUUUGGACUCGGCAAGUCCAUCAGUGGACUCGGCGAGUCCACUGUCCAGACAGCAGAAAAUUCGAUUUUUCAAGCAAUUUGCAUCAAGUAUAAUUGAAAACAAGCCUAGGCUCUGAUACCACUGUUGGGUUUUGAGCAUUCUAACACUCCUAUGGUGUACAUGCAACCCUAUAUACCUUGGAUCUAUGUUUUCUCUAUUAUACAUGCAAAUAUCAAUUUUCCAAAGUAUCAUCCUAACUAGCAUAUUAAAGAGUAUAUACAAUAUGAAAUACACUUGAAUGACAUACCUUUUGUUGUAGCUUGAUUCCUUGGACGUUAAAGAGCUUAGUUUCCCACGUGUUGCACCUCAAAUGGCUCACACAACACCACCAACAAUUGGAAUAACUUGAGAGAAAAUUAUAUACACUCAAAAUCGGCUAGCCCUCAUGUGUCUACCACUAGUCACCACUUAGUGCCAAUUUCAUGAGCUAUGAGGCUUCUUAUAUAGUGUGCACAUUAGGGUUACACCAUGUAACUCAUUACUUUCCAUAUUCCUCAUGAUCCAUGGGUUUUAACCUCCAUGGAGUAUCCAUGGGUCACCACACGGGUUUAGCCCAACAUGAGGAACUAUGGAUCAUAAGCCUACUAUAUAAGACUGAAUGAUUUACCAAAUCAAUCCCCAUUUAUUUAAUUAGUCUCUUUUGAUAAUAAAAUUAAUUCCAAACUAAUUCUUGGUCAAUACUAAUUAAAUAAUAUGAUUUCAUAUUAAUAUAUUAGAACUUAUAAUAUAUUAAUAAAUCAUAAAUAUCCUCUUCUCAUAAAAGUCUAUCCAAAUUGUUCCGAUGCCUUGCAACCCAAAUGGACCAUGCUACUCUCAGGUAAAGUACAUACCAAUAAUAGUUAUGGCUUAGACACCUAAUCCAACACAUUUUAGGCUUCAUAGUGAACAUAUUACAUGGAUGGGACAUGGAGGCUAUAGAAGUUUGCAACUUUAAUCCUCUAGAGGUCUUAUAGAGGCAAGAUCUACACUCUCAACCAUUGGAAACCUCUUUUCUUUAGACAACCAAGCCAAAGUCCCAAAACCAAGCCCUAAACUACAAAAGAUGAGAUCUAAUAAGCUACAUGUCAAGGUUGUGAGUUUAUACCUCCAAGAUGCAGCCUUUGAUGUAGAGUUUCUGGAUCCAAGUUCACUCCUCCAAGCUUGAUACCUCUCUCUUCAAAAACCUCCUCCAAAAAUCUCAAACAAUCACUCAAACACUCACAAAAACUCAAUGAACAAGAAGGAAAGCGAUUCCAAGGUUUUCUCUGGGAAAGGGGGCUGGUAAGGAGUCCAACCCUAGGAGUUAAUGUUUUUCAUAUAGGGUGUAAUGCCCGAAAAUUAGGUUUUUCAUCCCCAAUGCCAACUCGUUGAGUUGGGGCUCCCCAAUUUGUCGAGUAGAUCCGUCAUUCCACGUGGCUAGAAAGCUUUCUACUCGUGGAAUUGGAGCCUCCCAACUCGUCGAGUUCCUUCCAAUAUUUAAAAAUAAUUAGAACGAAUUCAUACCUGAACCAAGUGUUACAGUUAUGUAAUUUUACAACGAAUUAAAUCCUAAGUUAAGAAUCGAACUGGUAAUUAUUACUUGUGUUAAUUCAUAAAACAAAUACGGAUCUCAUAAACUAACUACUUUUCCUAUAAAUCAAAACCAAUUCAUAUGCUUAUUCAUGAUGUAAUGUCCUGUCUCUGGUAUGUUGUUUUCAUGUUUAUUAUUUUGAAGUUUUCCAGAGGGACUCGGCGAGUCUAUAGCCUGACUCGUCGAGUAGAGACGGGAUUUCGAGCAUGUGUAAGUCGGCGACUCGACGAGUCCAUAUUCGGGACUCGGCGAGUCCGCCUGUUUGGAAGAAACCCUAAAUCCACGGGUUUGCUCACUAUUUAGGCAAUGAUAUGUGCCCCAAACUCGCCUCCUUCACCCUCAGAGAGUCUGUGAGCAACCCUAAACCAUUCCUUGUUUGAUUAAAGUGUUUUGUGUGGAUUCUUGAAGGUUUGAAGAAGAAAAAGAAGAAAGGACCAAAAAGAAGAGGUAUAGAGCAAAGAUCCAAGGUCAAAAUCAGAGUUCAUUGAGGAAUUUCUCGGAAUCAUUCUGUUUUGUGCUUAAAACCUCCAUUGGAACACCUUUAAGGCUAGUUUAAUGUACUUUUCCAAGCUUUGUAGUUGUAUGGAUGCCUUGAUGGGUCGAGAUAUCCCUAGAUCUCUUCAUUUAGGAGUUGUAGAGCCCUGAUCUAUUGCCUUUUUGAAGUUGCUUUGCAUGAGAACCCUAGAUCUAGCCUUUAUUAUGCUUUUUGAGCCUUUUAAUCUUCAUGGAUGCUUAUGGGCACGUAAAGAUAGAAUCUUUACGUGUUAAUCGAGCCUAAGGAGCCCAGAUCUACAAGUUAUAUGCGCUGGAUUCAAGCAGAAUCGAGUUUAUAGUAACUGCAAGCAUGCGACUCGGCGAGUCGUUCUUCGGACUCGGCGAGUCGAGCCGCGAGUCCCCGAUUUUCCCCCUUUUUGAGUGAUUCUGAGUGGGGACCAGUGAGUAGUGGAAUGGACUCAGUGAGUCGGGGUCAGACUCAGUAAUGGAGGGACUCGACGAGUUGUUCAAACAACUCGAUGAGUGCAAGGCAUUCUUCUUAGUUCAAGAACAACUCGUCGAGUUGUUCAUACAACUCAGCGAGUCGGAUGCAGAUAGCCUGAGUUCUAGAAUCGAAAGGAAACUCGUCGAGUUGAUGUCAUACUCGACGAGUAGCAGCGAAUAGGGUUGAGAAGUGAGAAUAGGGACUCGUCGAGUUGGCGGACCAACUCGACGAGUCAGGUCAAUUGUAAUUUGACUUUGACCGGGAGAGUUGACUUUGGCCAGGGGUAAAAGAGUCAUUUUACCCCAAUGCAGUUAUUAGUAUUUGAUUGAGUGUGUUUGUGGAAUUGUAGCCGGGGAGACACCGGAGCAGCAACAUAUAGCUUCCAGAGCCAUACACUCAGCAGCCAGUUUACGAGGUGAGUUCCCUUCUAGUAGGUACGGGUAUAAGGCCACAAUGUUGGCCCGUUCAAUUAGUAAUAGUUUCCGGACCUCGGUCUGAUGCAGUAGUUAGUAUGUUUGACGCCUUCGUGGCUCAGACAGGUUUGCGUGUUAUGUGUUCCGGUUUAUGGUGCGUAGCAGUAUGCAUUAUAUGUUGUUGUGUUAGUUGAUAUGUUUAUGCUAUGUUAUGUUCAGUAGUUCCGGACUUCUGUCCGAUGCAGUCAGUUCCGGACUUCGGUCCGAUGCAGUUAGUUCCGGAUUUCGGUCCGAUGCAGGAGGCAAGGCCUCAGUAGUUCCGGACUUCGGUCCGAUGCAGAGGGCAAGGCCCUGGUUAGUUCCGGACUUCGGUCCGAUGCAGUGGGCAAGGCCCAGUAAUUGUUAUAUGUUUGUAUGGUAUGUGGUAAUUUGGGGGAGCUCACUAAGCUUCGUGCUUACAGUUUCAGUUUUGGUUUCAGGUAUUUCCGCAAGUAAAGGGAAGAGCUCGGGAUGAUGGCAUCGCACACACCACAGCUUCAGUUUUUGUCCUGGGAGAUUGUUUUGAUACUUAAUUUGAUUUGAUACAGUUGUAUCACGACAUUUUAUUAUGGUUUGAGAUAUUUGACGUAUGGUUUUAUGAUAUGACGUUCAACAUAUGAUUUUUAUUAUUAAAACAAAAAUUAUUUUUUGAGAUGUAUUUUUGGGAUGUUACAAGUUGGUAUCAGAGCCUUGGUUUGAGGGAUUCGGAUACACUCUUGGGUGUGUCUGAACUCAAACUAAGGGAAAGAUAAAAAGAUUUUCAAAGGAAAAUGUUUUCGAAAGAAAUUUUUUUUGAAAAGUGCUUAGAAAGAAAAGAGUUUUGAAAACAAGAUAAGGGUGUGGAGCAUGCGAUCAGCCGAGCUCAAGUAAGUACUCCCAAAUUACCCAUGCAAGUUUAUAUUAUGAUCAAUUGUUUCAGUUUCAGUAGAACAGUAUGCUAGUAUAGGACUGAGGAUCUAGGAGGAUACCUUAUGUGCCUGCUUUGUGUGUUCCAGCUUUAUGAGAAUUGCAUAUUAGCAUCAAGUAGACAUCAGUAGGAUAGCCUGUUUAGGUUAUGCCUGAUAGCACGAGCUUAGCAUUGUAUGCUAGUACAGUUUCUCAUUACGAGGAUAGAAUUGCUUAAGUAGUUUCCAUGUCUGAAUGCUACUUGCUUUGUGCUUUGUGGGACACUGAGUGAUGGGAGUUAGCCGUUAGGUGAAUGCGCCACAUCACAUGUGAACAGGGUUGAAUAAUCUCAGAGUGUUGGAUUUGGCCCUACUGCGUAGCUCUGGUUUGAGUCUAACCGUUGUGGGGACGAGUUCUGUACUCGAAGGAUUAUCUGAGCCUCGCCACAUGUGAUGACAUUCAUGUAAUGACUAAUUGGCAUCACAAGGAGGCCUUCAGCAGCUGAGGACUGGUAAGGAUUGAGUCAUAUAUGUCCCUAGGGCAAGCCUAGGAUGAGUGUAGUAGAGAUCAUCAGCAGUAGUAGUGGUCGGGUGGAGUCGAGGCAGUCCUUGAGGAAAGUACGGAUAUAUGUGGAAGGUAGUAGGGGCCCAUACUACUGGAAGCAUAGGAUCUGUACUCGAAUCAAGGAAGGCUGAGAUGAGACCGGAGGGUCUGUAUUAGUAGUGAUCCCUCGAGAUAUAUCAGUGUUUCUGACAUUUAUCGUAAUGUGUUUUCAGAAUGAUGGUUUUACGCUCUAGACCAGCAGGCGGCAGUUCAGGUGCCAAAGGAGGAUCGGGAUCAGGCUCAGGAGCCGAACAGUUGGAUGAGCAGACCAGAGAGUUCUUCACUUCAGAAGUCACUCGUAUCAAUCUUGAUCAUACUCCAGUGAUCUUUGGUUCGAUCAAGGAGGGUAUACUAGAGUUGAUGGAGGAGAAGCUAGGCACCUUUCGUGCUGAGGUGGCGGCCAUGAUGGGUUCGCGCACGCUUACUUUCAGGGAGUUCCGGGCAUGUGGAGCUCCAGACUACCACGGGGUGCGGGACCCCAUAGUGAGUACUAGAUGGUUGGCGGAUGUGGCCAACGCAUUCCGCUCGAGCAGGUGUCCCGAGGGGGACAAGGUCAGAUUGGCGUCCUGUCUUCUGAAGGACAGGGCACGAGAUUGGUGGGAGGAGGUUGGACAUGCCAUUGGAGAUGAUGCAACGUUAGAUGCCAUGACUUAGGCUGAUUUCUCUACCAGAUUCAGGGCGGAGUUUGCACCGGUUAUUGAGGUACAGCAGUUAGCCAGGGAGUUUCAGGACCUCACCCAGACUACAGAGACCGUGGCGUAGAUCACCGCCAAGUUCAGGGAGAGGGCUCUUCUCGUUCCUCAGUAUGCAGCUGACGAGGAAAUGAAAAAGACCCGUUAUCAUGAGAUGCUACGGAGUGAUAUUCGCCAGUUUGUGAGCCGGUACAGCUGUAAAACGCUGGAUGACAUGAUUGUUAGGGCUCGGGAGAGGGAGAUUGAUCUUGAGAUGGAAAGGAAGAGCAAGCCGGAGGCGGUUUCGGGUACAGGUAGUUCGGGCAAAAAGCCCAAGGUUUCAGAUCACAGAUCCAGGAGUCAUCAGAGCCACGGUCGAUGUGGCAAGUGUGGGAUNAUGCACGAUGGGGUGUGCAAGGCAAGGAGUUCCGGCUGCUUCAAGUGCGGUCGGACUGGGCAUUUGAGUAGAGAUUGCACGGCUCCUGCUACUGCCGUUGCGACAUCAGAUCUGAUUUGCUUUCAGUGCAAUCAGAGGGGGACAUAAAAAGUCCCAGUGUCUAAGUUUAGCUGCAGCGGGGAAGGUGGCGGCACCUGCCCCUGCUACCUUAAGGAUUACAGAUGGCCAUCAGGGCCGAGCCGAGGCGCCAGUGGCGAAGACUAGAGCUUUUCAGAUGACAGCAGAGGAGGCGCCAGCGACUCCUGAUAUGGUGACAGAUAUGUAUCUUCCCUUUAUCUCUGUAUUUAUUAUUGAUUAUUGCUUAUGGUUAUAUGUUUUGUAUAGGGUCGUUCUCUGUGAACGGCAUUUCUGCUACAGUAUUAUUUGAUUCGGGGGCUACCCGAUCGUUUGUAUCACUAGUGCUUAGCAAGAGAUUUAGUAGAGCUCCAGGGGAGCUGGAUUGUCCACUAGAGGUUGAGAUAGCAGACGAUAGGACCGUGAGGGUCGCUAGGGUGCACAGAGGAUGUUCUCUUUAGUUGUUUGACGAGCAAUUUCCGGUGGAUUUGGUCCCUAUUCCCCUGCGAGGGAAUAAGGUUAUAGCGGGCAUGGAUUUGUUGAGCCCCAAUAGGGCGGUGAUAGAUUGUGAGCUGCAAUUAGUGAGGGUUCGCACUCCCAGCGGGGGAGAGUUAGUGAUUCAGGGCGAGAGGCCACAACGUGGACCAGUUCUGUGUUCAGCGGCGAGAGCGAGGCGUUAUUUUCAGCAGGGUUACGCCAGCUAUGUAGCUUAUGUCUUGGAUGCUCGGGAGAAGGGCAAGACAACAGUUGACGAUGUUCUGGUGGUGCGAGACUUCCCGGAUGUAUUUCCAGAGGAUUUUCCGGGAAUACCACCUGAGAGACAGGUCGAGUUCGGGAUCGACCUAAUUCCUGGUGCGGCUCCGAUAGCUAAGGCACCAUACCGGUUAGCUCCCCCUGAGAUGCAGGAGUUGUCUACGCAGCUGCAAGAGCUGCUAGACAAGGGUUUUAUUCGGCCGAGUAGUUCACCUUGGGGAGCGCCAAUCCUGUUUGUGAAGAAGAAGGAUGGGUCGCACCGUAUGUGUAUAGACUACCGCGAGUUGAAUAAGGUAACGGUGAAGAACCGUUACUCCCUCCUGAGGAUAGACGAUUUGUUUGAUCAAAUUCAGGGGGCAUCUUGGUUCUCCAAGAUCGAUUUACGCUCCGAAUAUCACCAAAUGCGGGUCAGUGGCGAGGAUGUGCAGAAGACAGCUUUCAGGACCUGCUAUGGUCAUUUCGAGUUCGUGGUGAUGCCUUUUGGGAUCACUAAUGCUCCAGCCGCGUUCAUGGAUCUCAUGAAUCGCGUAUGCAGACUGAUGCUGGAUCAGUCUGUGAUAGUAUUCAUAGAUGAUAUCUUGGUGUAUUCCAAGACUCAGGAGCAGCAUGAGGAGCACCUGAGGGAGGUGCUAGAAGUUUUGAGGAGGGAGAGACUUUUCGCAAAGUUCUCCAAGUGCGAGUUCUGGUUGCGUGAGGUGCAGUUCCUUGGUCGCCUCGUCAACCAGAAGGGUAUUUUGGUAGAUCCGGCCAAGAUAGAGGCCGUGAUGCAGUGGGAGGUCCGGAAGUAUCCAUCCGAGAUUCGGAGCUUCCUAGGUUUUGCAGGGUAUUACAGGAGAUUCAUUCAGGAUUUCUCCAAGAUAGCAGUACCGCGCACCCGACUGACCAAGAAGUCGGUGGUGUUUCGUUGGGGACCUGAGCAGCAGGCGGCGUUUGAGACCCUCAGGCAGAGAUUGUGCGAGGCUCCGAUCCUUACCCUAACAGAGGGAGUAGAGGAUUUUGUAGUCUACUGUGAUGCCUCAAUCACAGGUAUGGGAGCAGUAUUGAUGCAACGAGGGCAUUUGAUAGCUUACGCCUCGAGACAGUUGAAGCCUCAUGAGGCUAACUAUCCUACCCAUGAUUUAGAGCUGGGGGCGGUGGUGUUUGCCCUCAAGAUUUGGAGACAUUACCUCUAUGGGGUCCGUUCUACCAUUUACACGGAUCACAAGAGCUUGAGGUACCUUAUGGAUCAGCCGAAUCUAAACAUGAGGCAGAGACGGUGGUUGGAUGUGUUGAAGGAUUAUGAUUGUGAGAUCCUUUACCAUCCAGGGAAGGCCAACGUAGUGGCCGACGCCCUAAGCCGCAAGGCGACAGCAGCCCCCAUCAGAGACUUAUGUCUGAGGAUGACGGUGAUUACUCCGUUGUUGGAGCGGAUCAGAGAGGCACAGGUUGAGGGCCUCAAGGAGGAAAGGCAGAAGUGCGAGAGGAUAGUGGGCCGAGUAGCUUCGUUUGAUUAUGAUAGUCGAGGGUUGUUGACUCUUCAUGGGAGAGUGUGGGUACCGUACUGGGGCGGAGUACGGCAGGUGCUGAUGGACGAGGCUCAUAAGUCUCGAUUUUCUAUCCACCCAGGGGCGACGAAGAUGUAUAGAGAUCUUCGACCCGAUUACUGGUGGCCCUGCAUGAAGCGGGAUGUCGCCUGGUAUGUAGAGAGGUGCCUGACCUGCAGGAAGGUCAAGGCAGAACACCAGAGGCCUCACGGCAAGAUGCAGCCGUUAGACAUUCCCGUGUGGAAAUGGGAGGACAUCACCAUGGAUUUUAUCACCAAGCUUCCCAGGACCGCACGUGGGGUAGACUCGAUUUGGGUAAUAGUGGAUCGGUUGACGAAGAGUGCUCAUUUUAUACCGAUCCAGGAGAGCAUAUCGGCGGAAAAGUUGGCCGACAUCUAUGUGCGGGAGGUAGUGGCACGUCAUGGAGUGCCGGUACCGGUGGUGUCAGACCGAGACGUCCGUUUUACAUCCAGAUUUUGGAAGCGGUUUCACGACGAGAUGGGUACUCGUCUCCAUUUCAGCACCACUUUCAACCUUCAGACGGACGGGCAGAGCGAGAGGACGAUUCAGACUCUCGAGGACAUGCUCCGGGCAUGUGUCCUAGACUUCGGUGGCAUUUGGGAUACGUAUCUUCCGUUAGCAGAAUUUUCGUGUAACAACAGUUACCAUGCGAGUAUUGAUCGGCCUCCCUUCGAGAUGCUCUAUGGGAGGAAGUGCAGGACCCCGAUUUGUUGGGGCGAGGUCAGUCAGCGAGUCAUUGGGAGCACCGAAGUGGUGCUCAAUACGACCGAGUUGAUUCAGCAGGUUCGUAGUAGACUGCAGACUGCGCAGAGUCGGCAGAAGACCUACGCCGACAGGAGGCGUUCAGACUUGGAGUUCCAGGUGGGCGAUAUGGUCCUCCUGAAGGUCUCACCCUGGAAGGGUGUCUUCAGGUUCCGGAAGAGGGGCAAGUUAGGCCCCAGGUUCAUUGGUCCUUUUAGGAUUUUGGCCCGGGUUGGACGGGUUGCGUAUCGGUUAGAUCUUCCGGCGGAGCUUAGCCAGAUUCACAACACUUUCCAUGUUUCCCAAUUGAGGAAGUGUUUGGUGGACGAGUCAGCGGUGGUGUAACAGCCGAAAUUCAGGUACAACCGAUUAGCCCUUCGUCUUUAUUUAUUGUCAUUUUGGGCCUUUGUGUUGGGCGAGUACGCUGGGCGUACAAGGAGCACGAUGCGCGUACUCGCGCGCCUCAUUUAAACACGUCAUUGUCGGGUACGCUGGGCGUACCCAAGGUUACGCCGGGCGUAAUCGGUCCAGACCGAAAACCCUAAUUUGAGUUGUUGGCUAUAAAAGGAAUGAGAUGGCUUGGUUCCUCAACCACCAUCCUUCAGAAAGAAACCCUAAGAGAGUUGUUCCUUCGUUCAUAGCUUGUUUGUGAGUGUUGUAAGCUUUGAGGUGUCAUUUCAAUGUAGCAAAAGCAAGAAGGAGUCCAUUGUGGAGACUAGAAGUUGGUGUGCAAGUGUAGAUCCGUGAAAAGCAAAGGUUGGAGCUUCUUCCUAAGGUAAAAAGUUCAGAUUUUGCCUUGUAGUUCUUAUGGUAUGCUUCAUGGACCAAUUUCUAGGGUUUUGGUCCCAAAGAUGGAGACUUUCUGAGCAAGUAGUCUCCAUUGGCUUAGAUCUACCAUAUUCCAGGUCCAUUUGAGUGGUAUGUUCAUAAAAUGUGAUCUUGGACGUAUAUAUUUAGCCAUGCAUGAGAUCUAGAUCUUUGGAGGUGAAAGGAAGGUAUUAGAGGGUGUAGGAGCCUUUACAGCCAAGCCAAGGCUUAAAGGUUCCGACUUUAUGGAUUAGGAGGCUUGAUGAGAGCCAGAUCUGGAAGUUGAAGGAGUGUCUUAACCAUUUAAGACAAGAAAUAUGGUAUGGCUGAAUCUGGGAUUUACGUUGGGCGUAACUCCCAGUACGCGCAGCGUAAGGGAUUGCGACCCCUGAUUGUGACUCAUCGAUGUACGCCCCGCGUACAGAAGCUGGUACGCCUCGCGUACUGUGGUCAGUUGACUUUCUUGGACUUUUAGGGUUUGGUUAACAUGAGUCAAGGAAGGGUAAAAUGGUCUUUUACCCCUCUGUGGGAUAAUGAUAAGGGUGUAGCCUAGUCUUGAAAGUCGAUAUUAAUUAGAAUGAUAUUUCGUUCUGAUUAGGCGGGGUUGGGUCUUUGUUUCAAGAUUCAGAGAUAGCGAGCACGUGAGGUUCUAGACUUCCUGCGAGAUGAGUCUUCUCACUAUACUGUACCCGGAAGGGUAUUUAUGUGUGACCGAGAGGUCGGAUAUGUUAUGAGUUGUAUGCAUCGAAUAUGAUAAGUUAACUGUUUGUAUGUGCUAUGUAUUUUAUGCUUGAUAUGGGCCGGAAGACAUUUUAUGUUAUGGGCCAGAAGGCAUUGUGAUGUGGACCGGAAGGUCGACGCGGGUAGGACCGGAAGGUUUACCGGGUCGGGACGAAAGUCCCCUGAGACACAUGGACCGGAAGGUCAUGGCCUGGAAAGGCGUAUGUGUGUAAGUAGUAUUUUGGGGAACUCACUAAGCAUUUAUGCUUACAGUUUUUGUGUUAUGUGUUUCAGGUACUAGCGAGGACCGUGGGAAGGCGCCGGCGUGAUCUGCACACACUGAUGGAGGAUUUAUGAUCUUGGGAUUUAUAUGAUUUGUAUUAUGAUAUGAUACAUUGGAUCUUUAUGACUUGUUUUGGAUGAAAACAUGUUUUUAAGAAAUGAAAAUUUUGUUUUGAAAAUUUACGUUGUUACAAUUUGGUAUCAGAGCCUUGGUUUGAGGGAUUCGGGUGCACCUNGAAGACGAAGACCUUGAGGAGCAAGGUGGUUGAGUUAGUGAAGGUGCGGUGGCAGCACCGGAAGGGGUCUGAGUGGACGUGGGAGGCUGAGGAGGAGAUGAGAGAGCACUACCCAGAGUUGUUUGUAGAUUCAGCCGUAGCAGACUUUGAGGACAAAGUCUGAGUCAAGUGGGGGAGAAUUGUAACGUCCCAUCUCUGGUAUGUUGUUUUCAUGUUUAUUAUUUUGAAGUUUUCUAGAGGGACUCGGCGAGUCUAUAGCCCGACUCGUCGAGUAGAGACGGGAUUUCGAGCACGUGUAAGUCGGCGACUCGACGAGUCCAUAUUCGGGACUCGGCGAGUCCGCCUGUCUGGAAGAAACCCUAAAUCCCCGGGUUUGCUCACUAUUUAAGCAAUGAUAUGUGCCCCAAACUCGCCUCCUUCACCCUCAGAGAGCCUGUGAGCAACCCUAAACCAUUCCUUGUUUGAUUAAAGUGUUUUGUGUGGAUUCUUGAAGGUUUGAAGAAGAAAAAGAAGAAAGGACCAAAAAGAAGAGGUGUAGAGCAAAGAUCCAAGGUCAAAAUCAGAGUUCAUUGAGGUAUUUCUCGGAAUCAUUCUGUUUUGUGCUUAAAACCUCCAUUGGAACACCUCUAAGGCUAGUUUAAUGUAUUUUCCAAGCUUUAUAGUUGUAUGGAUGCCUUGAUGGGUCGAGAUAUCCCUAGAUCUGUUCAUUUAGGAGUUGUAGAGCCCUGAUCUAUUGCCUUUUUGAAGUUGCUUUGCAUGAGAACCCUAGAUCUAGCCUUUAUUAUGCUUUUUGAGCCUUUUAAUCUUCAUGGAUGCUUAUAGGCACGUAAAGAUAGAAUCUUUACGUGUUAAUCGAGCCUAAGGAGCCCAGAUCUACAAGUUAUAUGCGCUGGAUUCAAGCAGAAUCGAGUUUAUAGUAACUGCAUGCAUGCGACUCGGCGAGUCGUUCUUCGGACUCGGCGAGUCGAGCCGCGAGUCCCCGAUUUUUCCCCUUUUUGAGUGAUUCUGAGUGGGGACCAGUGAGUAGUGGAAUGGACUCAGUGAGCCGGGGUCAGACUCAGUAAUGGAGGGACUCGACGAGUUGUUCAUACAACUCGGCGAGUCCAAGGCAAUCUUCUUAGUUCAAGAACAACUCGUCGAGUUGUUCAUACAACUCGGCGAGUCGGAUGCAGAUAGCCUGAGUUCUAGAAUCAAAAGGAAACUCGUCGAGUUGAUGCCAUACUCGACGAGUAGCAGCGAACAGGGUUGAGAAGUGAGAGUAGGGACUCGGCGAGUUGGCGUUCUAACUCGGUGAGUCAGGUCAAUUGCAAGUUGACUUUGACCGGGAGAGUUGACUUUGGCCAGGGGUAAAAGAGUCAUUUUACCCCAAUACAGUUAUUAGUAUUUGAUUGAGUGUGUUUGUGGAAUUGUAGCCGGGGAGACACCGGAGCAGCAACAGAUAGCUUCCAGAGCCAUACACUCAGCAGCCAGUUCACGAGGUGAGUUCCCUUCUAGUAGGUAUGGGUCUAAGGCCACAAUGCUGGCCCGUUCAAUUAGUAAUAGUUUCCGGACCUCGGUCUGAUGCAGUAGUUAGUAUGUUUGACGCCUUCGUGGCUCAGACAGGUUUGCGUGUUAUGUGUUCCGGUUUAUGGCACGUAGCAGUAUGCAGUAUAUGUUGUUGUGUUAGUUGAUAUGUUUAUGCUAUGUUAUGUUCAGUAGUUCCGGACUUCUGUCCGAUGCAGUUAGUUCCAGACUUCGGUUCGAUGCAGUUAGUUCCGGAUUUCGGUCUGAUGCAGGAGGCAAGGCCUCAGUAGUUCCGGACUUCGGUCUGAUGCAGAGGGCAAGGCCCUAGUUAGUUCCGGACUUCGGUCCGAUGCAGUGGGCAAGGCCCAGUAAUUGUUAUAUGUUUGUAUGGUAUGUGGUAAUUUGGGGGAGCUCACUAAGCUUCAUGCUUACAGUUUCAGUUUUGCUUUCAGGUACUUCCGCAAGUAAAGGGAAGAGCUCGGGAUGAUGGCAUCGCACACACCACAACUUCAGUUUUUGUCCUGGGAGAUUGUUUUGAUACUUAGUUUGAUUUGAUACAGUUGUAUCACGACAUUUUAUUAUGGUUUGAGAUAUUUGACGUAUGGUUUUAUGAUAUGACGUUCAACAUAUGAUUUUUAUUAUUAAAACAAAAAUUAUUUUUUGAGAUGUAUUUUUGGGAUGUUACACAUGAAAUAAACAUAAAUUUAAGUACUUUAUUGAAACCACAACAUAAAUUGCUAGGUUUAAAACAAAGUCUAAAACAUCAAUCACUACAAAAUCAGUCAUAUAUAAUCGAAUUAAAAACUAUAAACAUAAUAGAAGAAAAAGUAGUUGCUCAUGCCUAAGAACAUGAAUCCAUAGAUGUAACUAAUAGAAACUUUUACAAAUCAAACUAUAAAAGCCAUUCCAAUUUGUCUUCUACAACAUUUCCUUGCUCUAAAAUGUGUCUCCUAGUCUUUAAAAAUUAGUAUUUAUAGGUUGGAAAAACGUGAAACCAACAAAGCGAGUGACUCAGUCGAGUAGAUUUUGGCUUGUUUGUUCACUCGGUCAAGUGGAUUUCAUGUGUCAAAGUCUCAUCUUCAAGUUUGGCUUAGUCGAGUGGUGGCCAAGAACACUAUCAACUCGGCCGAGUAACUUCUAUUAUUUAGGUCUGAAACUUCAAAAUUUUCAACUUUUGCAAUUCAGAUCCAAUGUUCACGAAAUCUGAUCAACAACUUCCACGCAAUAUCCUAACAUUGUUCCUCUGGACCAGUAUUUCUAAGAGGACCAGUAUUUCUAGCAUGUAUUUCGAUUCAUGAAUUUCACUUAUUUGGCCAUGUUUGUCAAUGUUGUUAUAUGGUCGAUAUUAUCUUGCAUAGUCAAUUUGUUUUUAGUGGCUUAUGUGUGUUCGUUGGUAUGCUAUCAAAUUUCCUUUUCGGUUGGUCUCCCUCGCUUCAUUAAUUUUAUACUUAAUUCGCUUAAUAUAUAUUACACAAAUACAUAAUCAUAUCAUGAUUUAAUUUGGGGUGGUUUCGUAAAUGCCAAAAAUUCUUUUUUCUACUGCGAAUUAUGUCUCGUUUAAGAUGUGAGUCGUAUUCCCCAUAAUUUAUUUCAUGAAAUUAUUACGAAUAUAUUUUUUGUAAAACUGUAUAAAUGUUCAAUCGUUCUGAGUCCAUAAAUUUAUUUUGUCAAGAUCUUAUAUUGUUAUGUUAUGCUAUAUUAGGCAUAUUCUUGCACAUUUUUUGGUAAUAAUUAAAUCAUUGCACUGUGAAAUUAAUUCGUUUAAGAUUUUUGUUUUUAUCUUUUUUAGAAUAAAUGAGAUGUUAUAAAGCAUGAAGACAAAAAUAUACAUGUAAUUUUAUAUUUAAUAUUAACAAAUUCAGUCAACCCAAGAUAAUAAAGUCCAAUAAAUUUACAAAGAUCAAAUUAAACCUAAGUUAGCUUCAACCGUUCAAUUUUCAAAAACCAACUAAAACUUAAGUUAAAUUCAUCCGCUUGAGGCAUAUAGGUUGAUGACAAACCUUAUAGAACUUGUCGUAUUUUGGAACCAAUAUCCAUUCGGGUAGUCGCUAAUUUAUUCUAAUGUUUCAAAUUUUCAAUGACUAAAUUUUCAAUCAAAAUCACAUUUGAGCUCUUUGGGCUAACAGAUUGUGAAAGAAGUGGGGCAUAAUAUUUCUGUAGUUGGACUAAGUCAUACUUUAGUGGACCCGGCUAUUCAAAACUAAGUAAAAAUAGUAAGUCCAAAAUGAUUUGGGCCGAAGCAGAUAACUUGAUAACUGUAUAAACUUAAUUUACUAAAGCCAUUCGACUUACAUUGAUUUGAAAUUUGAAUGCACGUUUCGUGUGUAAAGCUUAGGGUCAGUCAGAUAUGAUAAUCAACAGGGAAGGAAUUGAUGUAAAUGAAGUGUGAUACGACAAUUAUCAUCUUAUUUAAUAUGGUGUAUAAUAGACAUAAUUAUAAUAGGUAAUAGAUUUUUUCAACAUGGUAGAAUGUCGGCAAUGGCGGUUUUGGGGUGUGGGCGGUACAGUCGUACAUGACCUUCAAAUAUUGGGACAAAUCUAUAAUUGUGAUGUUGGUAUAUUUUUUAAAAGACAUUUUUAUGAGUUAUCAUUAAAGAGAAUCAGUCAUGUCGGUUACUUAUAUAUACAAUAUAAUAUUUGUUUGUAAUCUUGAAAUCAGAUGAAUUAUGAAAAAAAAUCAAAAAAUCAAAACCUAAUCAGAAACUUUAAAAUUAUCACCAUUUUAAGGUAAAUGUCUAUAUCCAAUGGAAAAUACAAAUAUGUUUCUAAUAAAAUUCUAGAAAAUGAUUUCAUAUUUUAUGAAAUACACUUUACCCAAAACAGAUUAAUACAAAAAAUAAAAUCUAAUCUUAUGUUCUAAAAGACACUUUACCGAAACAAAAUCUCAUUUUAAAAUAUGUCAACUAAAAGGUAGGGUGGUACGUUGAAAGUGCGAAAACAAUAGUGACUCGAGGCAUUUAAAAAAAAAGACGUUCCGACGAAAUUGGCGUUGGGUGUUCAGAACCGGUACAUGAACUUUCAUUUCAAGAGACAUUCACGAUUUAGUACUUUGUGCACAUAGGUCAUCAAGCUAUUGAUUCGUUGGAGUAAAAGAAAAGUUGAAAUCACUACAUACCAGUGAGUUAAAGACAAGUUCGAAAAAUCUUGAAAAGAGGUUUCAAAAUGGUCAUAUCUUAAACAUCCAUGUUGAUAAUUUAUACAACGAACUGAAAUUGUUACAAAAAGAUUUAUUAGUUGAAAACAAUACAACUAAUGAAAUACUAAAUUUCUUAAAAACAUUAAACACUUAUCAAGCUUCUUGUCUAAUAUACAAAAUAUGUAACACCCCAUUUAUUUAAUAAAUAAAUAAGUAAAUUAAUGACUGUAUAAUGCCCCUAAAAGCGGAAUAAUGUAGCAAGGAGUUACUUUCGGGGGUUAAAAAGUUAUAAUUGUAAGUUUAAGGGGUUAACAAUAUAAUUUUCGGAUUAGUUUAUAAAGGAUUUUGAAGUCAGGGGCUAAAGAGUAAAUUCUGGAUUUCAUUUGAAGAUAAAUAUAGAGGGAGGGGUUACUUGGAAAAAAUAGGAUUUAAUUUGUAAAGGUUUUCAAGAGGCAAGGUUUAAAUGGUAAUUUAUGGACUCCCUUUUGAAAGAAUAUGGGAAGGGAGGGACUAAAGGCGAUAUUAUGGAAAAAGAUGAAAUGGGAUGGGGGUAUAUAGCUAUCACCACUCGUCUAACCCUAACCCUAACACAAGCAACUGCAGCCGCCACCUCCUUCUUCACCNCUCGUCUAACCCUAACCCUAACACAAGCAACUGCAGCCGCCACAUCCUUCUUCACUUUCGGUAGCCACCGCCACCAUGGAAGUCCUCAUCCGCCGUUUGCGUCACCGACCCCCGACACCCCAGUUCCGCCUGCUGCCUCGUCGACGAACGCCAUCGUCCCACCACCUGAUGCCACCUGGAGAGCUGUGAACGGCCAAGAAUGAAGACGGAGCUGUGAAUGGAAAACACGAGUCAUGCACGAUCGAAAUGGUCACGGUGAGGCCAUCUCUCAUUUCUUUCAUUCAUUUUAGUUGUUCGGGACUGUAAUCGCCAUGUUGGGGUCGUAACCGUCGUUGUUCGUCAUUACUAUGGCGUUCCGACGAUGUCCGCCACCCUGUAGGUGGUUGAAUGCGUGUGUGUCUGCCUUUAUGGGCUGCUUAUGGUGCUAACAGUGGUGUAUGGGUGUUAUUUUGGGCAGAGAAGCAAGAUUACCCACCACCACCACCGUAGGGUGGUGGCUGUGUCGUCUUCAACCACCAUGUGCAACUGGUGGUGUCAUGUUCCUGGAGCGAGUGUGUGUGUUGUUGCUGAUCGGAAAAGCUCAAGGAGAAACCGCCAUGGCCACCAUGGUGGCCGCCGCCACUCGCCACCGCCGACCACCGCAAGGUGGUUGUUCGUGCAUUUUAUUUUUGAUAUGUUAUUUUGAUCUAAGCAUUGUAAAAUUGUAAUAGUGGCUAGAAUAAUGAAAUGAAAACUCAAAACCACCACCGUGAGGUGGUGGCUGCCGCCUCUUGCCGCCACCGGCCACCGUGUCGGGUGGCGGUGUGCUUAGUUGUGUUGGGGUUGCUUUUUUUGGAUGUUUGGACAAGGACUAAAACCCUAAUGGGCCUAUUAAACCCUAAUGGGCCCAAUGAAGCCCUAAUGGACCCCAAAAGCCCAAACAUGUGACUAAUGGGUGUAAUAAACCCUAACUAACCUAAAGAAAACCCCGAUGGGCUUAAGGACUUGGUUUUGGGCCUAUUGGGCUAAGAUGAGAUUGGAAACCCUAAUUAGGGUUUAGAAAACCCUAUAUUGGAUUUAUAGGCUUGGACCUAUCGGGACCCACAUUUGAGCCAUUUGUAUGGAAUUGUAUGAUAAGCCUGACUUCACCAUAUGAUAUAUCUAAUCUCUAUACUAAUAAAAGAGUAGUCAUUUUGCCAUGUGUCACUAUAUUAGACCUCUUAAUUAAUAUGAUGUCAUUUGUCAAUCUAUUAGUUUACCAUUUUAAAUUUAUUAGAUCUCCUACUUAAUGUGAUAUUAAUUGUCAAUGUAUUUAUUAUUUAUUUUAAAUUUUAAAUUUUAUAUAAUUGUUUUCAUUAAUUCACAAAUAAAAAAUGUCUAAUAUAUAUUAAAAAUUAAUUAUAUAUAUUUAUUUGAAACAACGAUUAUAAUUUCACAAAACUAAUAUAAAUAUAUCGUAAGUAAUAAUUUAUUUAAAAUAAUUAAUUAUUAAUUUUGAGGUUUUACUAUAAAAUUUCAAUUAAUUUUAUAACCGUGGUUUCCAUGGGUUAUAAACUAGUAGAGUAAUAGACUUAAUGGAUUAAGUCCUUAAUUGGUUAAGUGAGAAACACCUAACCCUAAUUGUUAUUUUAUGUGAAACCCUAGUUUCACUUGGGCUUUGUGUUGGGCCUUUCUAUUGGGUUUUGGUGUUGACGCCAAUAAUGGGCCAUCCAAGGACAAUCAUUGGACCAGAAUAAUUAGAUGGACUUUAAGGUAAGGCCCAUAUGAGGGGUUGGGCCCAAUUUGGAGAAUUGGGCCAUAGUUGGGCCUUAAUGUUUAUAUGAUAUUGGAGCAUUAUACUGUCAAAGGUUGGACUGGAAUAAAUGGUUGGGCCUUAUGGUAAGACCUUGUAAAGGUUUGGGCCCAAUUUGGAAAAUUGGGCCAUAUAUCAGGCUUUGAGACAUAGUUGGAUUGUUGGGACUUUGGAUUGGGCCUUGGGCUUGAAUCAAACUAGGAUUGGAGUAAAGCAGUCUUUUACCCAAGCAUAGACUUAUGGUUUUCUUGAUGGAACCCAAUUAUUAAUUGGGUGUUAUUUUGAUGUUGACAGAUCGGGGAUCUGUCAUCCAGCAGCUGGGGUUAUGUCUACGGGACUUCACUAGUGUGAGGUGAGUUACCUUCCAGUAGGGGUGGGUCUAAGGCACCAAUGUCGGCCCACCAGUAGAUGACUAUGUUUGAGAUGAUUAUCUUUGUGAUAAUUAUCUGGUUUCCAUUAUUUGAUAUGAUUAUUAUGUUGGGAUGCUAUGAUAUAGGUGAUAGUAGCAGCAGGGGUGCAAUAGUCCCCAGUUACCGGUUGAAAGAUACAGAAGACGGUUACCGGUUGUAAGAUACCGAAGGGGUGGACAGAACUUAUGCAUGCAUAGCAAUAUGUUUAUGAUAUGUUAUUAUGUGACCAGUAUGGUUAUGAUAUGCCAGUAUGUGAUUCAGUAUGUUUAUGUUAUGUUAUCAUGGAACCAAUAUGUUUAUGACAUGUUAUUAUGUGAUAGUGAUAGGGGGUGAAAUAGUCCCCGGAUACCGGUUGAAAGAUAUCGAAGGGGAGGUUAGCUCCCAAUUACCGGUUGAAAGCAAUCGAAGGGGAGGUUAGUUCCCGAGUACCGAUUGAAAGAUACCGAAGGGGAGGUUAGCUCCCGAUUACCGGUUAAAAGAUAUCGAAGGGGAGGUUAGUUCUCGAGUACCGGUUGAAAGAUACCGAAGGGGAAUCCAACUCCCAGUUAUGGCAGAUUGAUACCGGUUGAAAGAUACCGAGAGAUAGGCAUUAUAUGGUAUGUGGUAUGAUGGGGGAACUCACUAAGCUUCGUGCUUACGGUUUUCAGUUUUGGUUUCAGGUACUUCGUUUUCAAAGGAAGGGAUCCGGCUCGAUCGCAGCGCAUCACAACAUGUACCGCACAUGAGAUCCUUGGGAUUACACUCUGAUACAGUUUUAUGAUACUAUGUUUUGAUUAUUGACACUUUGGUUUUGACAUGAGAUAUUAAUAUGAAUGUUUUUAUACUAAUGGUGUUAUGUUAUAACUUAAUUAAAACGAAAUUUUUGGCCUGUAUUUUUGGGAUGUUACAAAAUAUUUGUAACACCAUNAUAUAUAUAUAUAUAUAUAUAUAUAUAUAUAUAUAUAUAUAUAUAUUUCCUUUGUGUUUUUGGCAUUUAAAGACUUAAAUAUGAAAUUUUGGUUAGUUACAUCAUGGUGGGGGAAGAUACCACAUCGUGGCCUCACCCGUUGUCAAAAUCACGUCUUUGGUGCGUGCUACAAUGUGGCAAUGUAUAAGCCACGAUGUGGUAGCUUUUUUAUGCAAAAUCCUAACUUUUUGGGGUUUAUGCCCCUAUUUAAGGGAUAUGUUGGCUAGGGUUUUCACACUAUCAGCUUCCAUCACUCCCUCUUGACCUAGAUCAAAACCUAGCCUCCAUUUUUGAGUUUUUUAGAAGCUUUUUGGUGGUUUUGGUGAUAUUAAAGGAGAAGAAGGUGUCCCUUAAGCACAAAUCCAAUAAACAAAUUCCCUUACCACCUUAUAGCACAAAUUUUGGACCAUUAUAAGUCCUUAAGUUCAAGAAAUGCAUUGGACAUGCAUGUCCAUAAAUAAAGGGUUUUUAUGAAGUUUAUGGACGUUAGGAAGACUUAUGGAAGAGAUGAGAGUAUGGCUUGAUGGAUUGAGGGCUUAAUCCAUUAAGUUACCUAGGAGCAGUUCACAUGGCGUGGUGACAUGCUCACCACGUCGUAGAGGAUGGUUCUUUACGACUGAAUUGUUUGCGUUGCUGUCACAGUGUAGUGGCAUGCUGGCUAAUGGGUGGCCACGACGUGGUGGCCAACAGUUGACUUUGACUGUUGACUUUUUGACCAAGUUUGACUUUUGGUCAACGUGAGGAUUUAGGCAAUAGAUUCAGGAUAUAUCUCUGAUUGUUAUAUAGGUGGAUUGUAGCACCAGUCCUUGUUUCGUGUGAGUUAUAGAGAUAGUCUACUAGCGUUCGAGGUGAGUUUUCACACUAUACUUUGUAUAGCAAUGUGUAUCCUUGUGUAUAGGAUGUUGAUACGUUGUAGUGAUCUGUCAGACUGGUAGAUCUAUAUGAUUACUUGUGGUUAAUGGUUAUCGUUUAUUUGUUUGCACAUGUCGACAUAUUGUGGUUGGGUUGUGGCGGUCCUUCUUUGUGUUGUAGGCCAAGAUACCCGAGCAAUCCAUGUGUACUGUAGGACUUGCAAGGUGGUCCAGUUAGACUGUAGGCCCAAUGAGAGCGGUCUAGGUGUACUAUAGGCUUACGAGGUGUUCCGAUCAAACUGUAGGCUCAUGUGUGCAUGCAUUAUAUAUGUAUUGUUAUGUGGGGCAUUUUUUAGAACUCACUAAGCCUUGGCUUACAGCUGUGGAUUUAAAUGUUUCAGGUACCUCAUAGGAUCGGGAGAAAGGUAAAGUCAUUACUGUACACAUCAUCCCGUAUUAUCCUGUUUAGAGAGAGAUACUCUGAUCUUAUUACUCUGAUUUUCAUAUGGUUGUAAAACAAUGUUUUUGUGACUUAUGAUUUCUAGGAAAAUGCCUUUUAAAAAUGAAAAAUUUACUAUGGUUUUUGGAACGUUAUAAGUUGGUAUUAGAGCUUUGGUUUGAUGGAUCUGAAUGAACACAAAUAUGAUUUUAGACUCAAACUAUGGAUCUACAAAAGAUUUCUUACAAUACUUUUCUAAAAUAAAAUUUAAAAAUGAAGGAUGUGAUGUGUAUAGUUAGUCGGAUCUGAAGAGAAAGUUAUCCUCCAAGAUAACGACACUUGUUAUAUGUAUAUCGGCAAUAUGUUUAAGUAUUAGAAUUGCAUGGUAGUUCAUAGGCUAGGUGUAACAAUUGCAAAAAUUGUCAUAGGUCGUUAACUGCCAAAAAUUAAGAAGCGUCAAUAGAUUUACUACGUAUUAUAUAUCAAUCUAUGACAAAAAUACUAAUGUUCGUAUUAAAAUAUAUAAGAAAAAUCAACCAAAAUGUCUGACAAGCUAANNNNNNNNNNNNNNNNNNNNNNNNNNNNNNNNNNNNNNNNNNNNNNNNNNNNNNNNNNNNNNNNNNNNNNNNNNNNNNNNNNAUAUAUAUAUAUAUAUAUAUAUAAAGUACAUGUCGAGACGAUCCUGGAAAUAUAAAAUUUAUAAAAAUCCAACCUCGUACGAAUUAGUUAUAAAGUUUAUAAGAUAUAAAAGUUUGCCGCACACAAAAAGUUACAACAACCAAAACUCAAAGGAGAAUGGUGAACUUUUGGGAAAAAAAAAGUUGUCAAAAGGACAAUUGUAGUACCACUAAAUGUAGGAAUUAUGAGAUGAAGAACGUCUAAAACGGAAACCGUAUGAGAGAGUUAUGAGUUUUAUAAAAUUAAAACAGUAAUAAAAACUAGUCGAAAAACGAAAGUCAAAACUAGCCAAAACGACCAAAAUGAAAGUUGUACAAUACGUUGAGACCUACACGAAUAUAUAAGAGUCAUUGAAAACGGAGUUCGUAUGAGAGAGUUAUGAAUUUUCAAAGUUUAAUUUUUACCGUGUCACGUGCAAUUUGACAUCCAAUACGUUUGGAUACGUGGUGACGUGGCACACUGAGAGGACGACAUGUGGCACCCCCCUAUGGCUCACACGCAAAUGCGCAACACUUACCCCAAAUUUUGCUUUAAAUAGCAGUCUUCGGCAGUAUCCAUUCUACACCUCUCAAACUCGCCCUCUCACUCUCUCAUACCUCGUGUCACUGCCACCAAGUGCCUCUCGAAGUUCGAACUUUUGGUUUCCAUUCUGCAACAAUGAUAUCAUAACUUACAAGUGAGNNNNNNNNNNNNNNNNNNNNNNNNNGGGGAUAUAUAUUAAAAUUCAACUAUUUCAUAAUUAUUAAUAAUCAUAUAAUGUUAGUUAGAUAAUUAUGAUCAUAAAAUUAGGAUGAUAUUUUUCCCGGUAUUUGCCCAACCUUUAAAGAUAAUAUUAUUUCUAGUUGUUAUACUGACACAUCUUAUUAGGAGAACACUAUACCUAGUCAUCAUAUUGACAAACUCUCUAGGAAAACAUUAUACAUAAUCAUUAUUCUGCCAACUACCCACAGAUAAUAUUUACACUAUAUUAUACUUGACUCAAAGGGAUCAUAGUGAUAUAUUAUGCUAUCGUUACACUUGACUCAAAUGGAUAAUUGUAAUAUAUUAUGUCAUCACUACGCUCAACUCAAAUGGAUAAUAGUAAUAUAUUAUCCUGUCACUAUGCUCGACUCAAACGGAUAAUAAUAAUAUAUUAUGUCGUUACUACGCUCGACUCAAAUGGAUAAUAGUAAUAUAUUAUGUUGUUACUAUGCUUGAUUUAAAACAGAUAGUAUUAGUGUAUUAUGUUGAUGCUACACUCAAUUUAAACGGAUAAUAAUAUAGGGGUGAGCAUUUGGACCGGUGGACCGGACCGGACCAGACCGGACCAAUUUUUUGGACCCCCGGGCCGGUUCUCGGUUCUCAGAUUUCUCUCCGGUCCGGUCUGGUUUUUUUCUCGGUUCGGUCCGGUUUUUACCGGGUUUAGAAUCGGUUGGACAUGAUUAAGAUUUAUGUGAUGUUUUUUAAACACUCAUAAGUCAUUCGUUUUAAGUCGGAUUGAUCUGCGGUUUUUUCCGACAUCUAGUUUACAUUUUGUAGAUGAAUUUAGACUAUAAUUUUGUUUAUUUUGGUAUCAUAUUCACUGAGUUACAAUCCUUCAAAGUAGAGCUAUCAAAGCUGAAAAAAUUCAGCUUUUCAGCAAGAUUUUGUAAUCUGUGAUGUUUUUUAAACACCCAUAACUCAUUUGUUUUAAGUCGGAUUGACCGGAGAUCUUUUCCAACAUUUAUUUUACAGUUUGUAGAUGAGUUUAGACUAUUUUUUUGUUUAUUUUGGUAUCAUAUUCACUGAGUUACAAUCCUUCAAAGUAGAGCUAUCAAAGCUGAAAAAAUUCAGCUUUUCAGCAAGAUUUUGUAAUCUGUGAUGUUUUUUAAACACCCAUAACUCAUUUGUUUUAAGUCGGAUUGACCUCCGGUUUUUUCCAACAUUUAGUUUACAGUUUGUAGAUGAAUUUAGACUAUAAUUUGGUUUAUUUUGGUAUUUUAUUCAUUGAGUUACAAUCCUUCAAAGUAGAGCUAUCAAAACUGAAAUAUUUCAGCUUUUUAGUAUUAUUUUAUACUAUAAUUCCGAGUCCGCGUUUAGCACAUGUGGUAGAGUUGUAAGUAAGUAUCAGACUAGUUUAUCGACAUUGAUAGUUGAAGCUUUGUUAUGCACCCAAGAUUGGGUGAUAAAGUCUACAAAUCCGAUAGUUGACAACGUUGAUGACAUCUUGAACGAUGAUGAUAUAGCUUUGGGUAAAAAAAUAACAAUCUUUAUUCUUUUUUUAUUCAAUUAUUACUUUUUAUUAAAUACUAACAACAUUUUCAUUUGUGUUUAUAUAGAGAUUGCACAAGCUUUAAAUAUGUUACAUAUGGAUGACAAUGAUAUGGGGAAGAAGCCAAUGGAAGAUUAGAUUCUGAGUUUAUGAAGUUUGUUAGUUUAAUUGAUUUUAAAGUUUAAACUAUGAUUUUUGUUGUUACGGUAAUACUUUUAUAUGUUUGUCUUAAAAUUGUUUAACUUUUGUUGGUGAACUUGAUUUCUAUGUUAGUUGCUUUUAUUUGGAAAAUUAAUUUUUGCAAAUUGCAAGUUAUAAUAUUAUACAUAAAUGUAGAUUAGUUAGGCAUGAAACGGAAACAUAUUAAUUUUGCAAAUUAUAAUAUUAUACAUCAAUUUAGAUUACAUAUACUCUAUGCAAUUAAAGUUAUACCGGUCCAAACGGGUCCAAAAACCGGAAAACCCGGACCUGGACCCGGACACGACUCAUCCGGUCCGGUCCAUGGUCCACAAAAUUCUCCAUAAGCGGUCCGGUCCAAGAGCCGGUCUGGUCCGGUUCGGUCUGGGCCGGUCCAAAUGCUCACCCCUAUAAUAAUAUAUUAUGUCGUUGCUACACUCGAUUUAAAUGGAUAAUAGUAAUAUAACAUGUCGUCGUUACACUCAAUUCAAAUUGAUAAUAGUAGUAUAUUAUGUCGUCACUACGCCCUAUCUAAACAAACAAUAGUGGUAUAUUAUGUCGUCACUACACCCGAUUCCAAACGAAUAAUUGUAGUAUGUUAUGUCAUCACUCAACUUGAAUAAAGGUUAUAUUACCACUCCACCAGUUAGGUUUUAUAAGGAUACGUUGUAACACCCAGUUCCUGGUAGGUAUUUGUUUUGAUUAAAAGUUCUUUUUGGAAGAGCUACUCGGCGAGUUGUAGCCCUAACUCGCCGAGUAGAUGUCGAGAUGGGUGCAGGCUUUAAGUGAUCUACUCGGCGAGUCCACGCCUGGACUCGGCGAGUAGGCCAAUCAGGAGGGGACCCGAAUCCCUAGGGUUUGCACCCUAUUUAAAUGUCCUUAUAGCCCCAUCUCAGCCUCUAUCAUCCUUAGAGCGUUCCUUGUCGAAACCCUAGCCUCCAUUUGUAAGUUUGAGUGAUUUGUUGCCUUGUGAAGGAUUUUUGGGGCACAUUGGAGCUUAGAAGGAGAAAAUAAGAGUUUGAAGAGUGCAAGAGAGGGAGUAGAUCCGAAAUCUACUUUGGGAGAAGCUUCCAUUCAGGUAGUAAAGUCUCUACCUUGAUCUUUAGUCCAUUAGAUCCCAUUUUGUCCUAAUUUGGUGGUUUUCAAGCCCUAAAACACCAAACUCCAUGUGUUUAUGAUUAAUAAUCCGAAAGGACUUCAGAUCUAGACUUUAUGGACGUGUUAGAAGCAUAAAGUUGUUGUGGUUGAAGUGAUUGAGGACCUCCAUGGAAUGCAUGACCUCUUAAAGAGCUUGGAAUUUCAUUUUUGAGCUUAUAGGGCCAUGCAUGCACAUAAAGUUUGCAACUUUACGUGUUAAGCAUGCCCUAGGAUCAUAGAUCUGUGGUUUUGAAGAGUUGCAUGUCUCAGAUUUGGCUCAUAUGGGAAAUGGGUCAAAGGACUCGGCGAGUCCCAAGGUGGAACUCGGCGAGUUCUAUGAAUAUGGCCUUAGACUUGGCGAGUUGGAUGAACAACUCGGCGAGUCCUAUGAAGAUUGCCUGGUACUCGACGAGUUGUUCUUCAAACUCGGCGAGUUGUAUGAACUGUUAUUGUGUAUGAAGGGUUUAAGUAUCAGAAGUCCAACCCUUCGUGUUUGCACGUAGGAUUAGCAAUCUAACGUGUUCCGAUAGUCCCAAAAACCCCAGAUCCUCAUGCAGGAUGUUCAGAUAAGGAUUUGGAAGCGAGUGGGAAGUCUGCUCGCAUGGACGCGGCGAGUUGUUCAUGGACUCGGCGAGUCGGAUCGCGAGCCGGUCCCAUCGUCCUGAGUGGUGAGUUAAGGACGAUUCAGUGAGUGGGAAGAAGGGGCUUGUAGAGUGGGACUGGGUCAGUGAAGAAGGACUCGACGAGUCGGUGCCAUGACUUGGCGAGUCCAGUCAACUGGAUGUUGACCUUGACUAAGGAGUUGACCUGGGUCGAAGGGACGGUCAGUCAUCUGACCUAAGGGUGUGAAUGAGAGGCUAACCUAUGUUUAUGAUUUAUAGCCGGAAGAUUUUUGAUUCAGCAGUCAGGCGCUUAGCAAGCAGACUUCCGCAGUUACUUUCGAGGCGAGUUACCUUCCAGUAGCGGUGGGUCUACGGCCACAAUGCCGGCCCACCAGUAGGAGUUGCAUGUAGAUGAUUGUCUCUGUGAUAUUCAUCUAGGGAUUACUACUACCUGUGUUAUGUUUAUGUGCUAGUAUGAUAUGAUGCUAUGUGCUAGUGACAGUAGGGGGAUAUAGUCCCUAAGAUAUCCGGUCGAUAGGGCCGAAGGGGUAGUCAUACCCAGUCCUGCUAGAUAGAUUCUGAUAUUGAGAUACAUGUUAUGUGGUAGUAGUAGAGGGGAGAAAUAAUCCCCAGUAUCCGGUCGAGAGGACCGAAGGGAAGGCUAGCACCCAGAUAUGCUAGGCAGUACCCGGUCGAGAGGACCGAAGGGGAGGCCAACACCCAGGUAUGCUAGGCAACAUCCGGUCGAGAGGACCGAAGGGGUAGGUUGGGCACCCAGAUAUGCCUGACAAUAUAUAUAUGUUAUGUGGUUAUAUGGUAUGUGGUACAAUGGGGGAACUCACUAAGCUUCAUGCUUACAGUUUCAGUUUUGGUUUCAGGUACCUUUUCUUCGAAGGGGAAGGAGUCGGCACUGUAGCGGUACAUCACACACAUGGUUUGCUUUCCGCAUCAUUAGAUCCUCCUGGAAAAUUAUACUCUGACACUUUAAUGUUUUAUAAAAAUGUUUCUAGACAUCCAGUACCUUUUGUGAAAUGAUAUCACCGUUGAACCUUUUAUUUCUAAUGUUUUGCCAUGUACUUGUUUUAAAAAUGAAAAUUUUGACUCGUAUUUUUGGGAUGUUACAAGUUGGUAUCAGAUCCCUGGUUUGAGGGAUUUGGACUCACCUUCGAGGGUGUCUGAACUCAAAUCAAGGGAUUAAAAGAUUUUCCAAAAAGAAAUGUUUUCUAAGAAUUUAAAAAAGGGGUUUUUGAGAAAGAACGAAGUGUGUGAUGUGCGCAACCGGCCGAGCUCAAGUAAGUAUUCCAUAAAGUACCCAUACAAGCUUAUGUUGUGUUUAUCAGUUUCAGUAGAACAGCAUGCUAGAAUAGGACUAAGGAUCUAGGAGUGAUGCCUUAUGUGCCUACUUUAUGUGCUUCAGUGUAUGAAAAUUGCAUGCUAGAAUUGAGUAGAUGGCAGUAGGAUAGCCUGUUAGGUUAUGCCUGAUAGUAUGAGUUUAGCUCUGUAUGCUAGUUCGGUUUCUCUCUAUGAGGGCGGAUUUGCUUGAGAUUGUUCCCUUAGUUUCAAUGCGGCUUGCUUUGUGCUUUGUGGGACUCUGAGUGGUGGGAGUUAGCAAUUAGGUGAAUACGUCAUGUCACAUGUGAUCAGGGUUGAAUAAUCUUAGAGUGCUGGAUUUGGCCCUAUUGCGCAGCUCUCGUUUGAGUCUAACCGUUUUAGGGACGAGUCUGUUACUCGAAGGAUUAUCCGAGCCUCACCACAGGUGACGGUAUUCAGGUAAUGGUUAAUUGGCAUUACUAGGAGGCCUUCAGCAGCUGAGGACCUGGUAGGGUGGAGCCUGAGAUUCCCCUAGGGCAAGCCUAGGAUUAGUAUAGCGGUGAUCAACAGUAGUGGAAGGGAUCUGGUGGAGUCGAGGCAGUCCUUGAAGAAGGUACGGAUAGAUGUGGAAGGUAGUAUGGGCCCGUACUACUGAAAGCAGAGGAUCCGUACCCGAACCGAGGAAGGCCAAGAUAAGACCAGGGAACUUGUAAGUAGUUGUGAUCCCUCAAGAAGUAUCAGUAUCACUAAUGAUUGUUAUUAUGUAUUGCAGAAUGGUGGUGGAUCUACCUUAAAACAUCAGAAUGAGAAUAUAGACUGAACAGAGUCGCCGAGUUAAGGAGCUGACUCGACGAGUAGGCUAGCGUUUUCCCCGAUGAGUUUGUACAUGGGUAACUCAGCGAGUUGAUGAGACAACACAACGAUUUUAGUUGGGUUUUCGCGAUGUUCUGAAGGAAUAAUAGGGACUCGGCGAGUCACAUAGAUGCACUCGGCGAGUCAGGUCAACUUGGACAGUUGACUCGAGUGUUGAAUUUAGGGUUUGGUUAAGGCAGGGAUUAUGGGGACCAUGGAGGGGGUAAAAUGGUCUUGUACCCAUUCCAAGAGUUUGAGAGAGAAUAACUUAGUUUAUUUAGAGUCAUGAUUUAAAUGUUAAUUAGAGAUAACUAUCUUAUGUGUUAGGCGGAGGCUAGUUUGAGAUUCGUGUACGAGAUUAUUUACUUGCUUGCUUACGAGCUGAGUCUUCUCACUAUACUUACCUAUAGUGGUAAUCUUUGUGUGAGCAAAGGGUCUUAUGUGCUUAUAUUGAGUAUUGUGAUAUCCUACAUUAUGUCUUUUUGAUUUAUGUUGUGUGUUAUUCUGAGCUUAUUGAGUUAGGACCAGAGGGUCCACCUGAGUUGUGGGACUAGAGGAUCCCACUGAGAUACAUCGACCAGAAGGACUUAUUUGAGCGUAGCCAUGAGCGGCUAAAGAGAUAUGUGUGGUAUUUUGAGGAACUCACUAAGCUUCGUGCUUACCCUGUUAUGUGUUAUGUGUUUCAGGUACUUCUCAGGAUCACGGGAAGGCACCGACUUGAUUGUACACACCGAUACAAGACUAUGAGGAUGAUUCUGGGAUAGUGACAUUAUUAUGUGGGUUUGUGUUGACACUUGAAACAGUUAUGUUUUUUGAGAAUUAUAUUAUGAGUUUUUAUGUGUUUUAAUAAUGAAAAUUUUGUUUGAAAAUUUACGGUGUUACAGUCACCGCCGUGAGGUGGUGGUUGCUACCUCACGCCGCCAUUCUGCUGCCACCCCCGCCACAUUGGGUGGCAGUGUGCUUUGUUUGUGUGAUUUUUAUUUUGGGAUGCUUGGAAAUUUUCUAUUCAAAAAUCAUAACCACCACCACGAGGUGGUGGCCGCCGCCAUGAGCCUCCAUUUACCACCACUACCCGAGGUGGACAGGUGGUAGUGGGUGGUGCCCGACUUGUUUAAACCUAAUGGGCCUCACGAAACCCUGAUUUUGGGAAUUUGAUCGGGACCCGCACUGGAAUUAUUUAUUAGACUGAAAAUUUUAAUUAAUAAUCAUUUUCAAUUAACCUAAGUCAAUAUUGGACUUAAUGGAUUAAUUCCUUAAUGGGUUAAUUAGGAACACUUAACCCUAAUCGUCAUUUCAUGUGAAAACCCUAUUUUCACUUGGGCCUUGAGUUGGGCCUUUCUUUUGGGAUUUUGUGAUUGGUUUAUUGAUGGUCCAUCCAAAAACAAGCAUAUGGAUUAGAAUAUUUAGAUGGGCUUUAGGGUAAGGCCCAUUGGAAAUGCUUGGGCCCAAUUUGGAAAAUUGGGCCAUAGGUGGGCCCUAACUGGUCCUUGAUGAUUAUGUGAUAUUGGGCCAUUGGAGUACCAAGAGUUUGGACUAGAAUAAAUGGAUGGGCCUUAAGGAAAGACCAUGUAGAGGUCCGGGCCAAAUUUGGAAAAUUGGGCCAUAUGUUGGGCUUUGGCCCAUUACUUGAAUUUCGGGCCUUUGGAGUGUGAGUUGGGCCUUGGACUUGAAUCAAGCUAGGUUGGGGGUACAGUAGUCUUUUACCCCAAGCAUGGACUUGUCGUUAUGUAUUGGAACCUAAUUAUUAAUUGGUUGUUGUUUUGUACUGACAGUUUGAGAAUCUAUUAUCCAGCAGCCGCAGUUUUAUCCGCGAGACUUCAGUAGUGUGAGGUGAGUUAUCCUCACUAUACUAAGGGGUCAAAGGCACCAAUGCCGGCCCAUCAGAUCUGAUAUCCUACUAGUUGGUGUUAUGUUGAGUAUGAAUUAGUUAUGCAUGCUAGUUGUUAUGCCAGUUGAUAGAUCUAUAGGGCUACCUGGGUUACUAUCUAAUUAUCUGUAUGUGCAUUAGUUAUGUUAUAUGGCGACAUGUUAUUUGGGAUGGGUCGAGGUUGUACUGCUUCAUGCGGUAGCCAACAAACCCUAGAGUAUUCCAGAUAUGAUCUGAGGGCAAGGAAAGGCAUGUCGGACUCAUACGGAGGACUUAGGUGCAUUCCAGAUAUGAGUUGUGGGUCGGGCAGGGCAUGCCAGACUCGUACUGUGGGCUCAGGAGCAUUCUAGAUACGGACUGAGGGUCGACCAAGGCAUACCAGACUCGUACUGUGGGCUCAGUGGCAAGCCAGAUGCGAGUUGUGGGCCCAGAAGGCAGGCCAGACUCACACGGUGGGCCUAGGGGUAAUCCAGUCUAUAAAUUUGUGGAUCCAUUACAUGUUGUUAUUUGUAUAUGUGCUAUUUGUUGUAUAUAGGUAUUUUGGGGGGAACUCACUAAGCUUUGGGCUUACGAUUUCAGUUUUGGUUUCAAGUACCUCAAAUGAUCGUGGGAAGGCAACGCAUGAUCGUACAACUCCUCACAUUUUAUGACUAUGUUUCUGGGAUACUAUGAUAUAGAACUAUUUUGAAAAAAAAAAUUGUAAUAACUGUUGGUUUCUAAAUGUUUUUAAAAUUUUAAAUUUGGUAUGAUUUUUAAUAGAUGUUACUGACCUGGCCCGCAACAAUCUUUGAAUGCCUUGAGCCUCUCCUCCAUGAUCUCCAUCAUAGCCUCCUUGACCGUCCCAAACAUAACUGGGGUAGCGUCAAUGAUGCCCCUCGUAAGCUCGGCUGCGAUGAGCUCUCGCAGCCUCUCGUCAAUGGGCUCGGUACCAUCACCCGACCUAGAUCCAGAUCCCCCAGCUCCGUGUUGUGUCACCACCAUACUGUACUUCAAUACCAUAAAACAUAAUGAUCAAGAUGUCUAUAGAGGGAAUCCUCCCACACCGGUCCUCUUUAGAACUUCCAGGUCUAACAUUGGUUCGGGUACAGGUCCUUUGCUUUUAGUAGUACGGGCCCAAUACUACCUUCAACACCUACCUGUACCUUCCCCAUGUUCCAACGUGAUAACUCUAAUUAGUCCCAAAAAAAAUUAUAUCUCAUAACUACCGCAUAGCUCGAAGCCUAGGCUAACCUAAGAUUUCCUCCAUCCAUAUCAAACCAGAACUCAAUGAUAACAGGUUGCCUUAUGCAUGUAAAUUAUACACGGAACAGGAUCAAAUAUACUUUCGAAUAAUAGACUCUACCCUAGGACCAUAACCAGACAAGGAACAGGAAAUAAGGAUAAAUCCAUCAUUCUGAGGCUAUAAGACCCAAACCGUAUACAAUUUUGAAAGCAUACACAAAACAAGAUUUAUACGAGUAUCAUAACUCACAUAUCAGUAUAACAUGGAUAACAUAUUGGGGAACUACUUACUUGGCUCGGCCGAUCACACACCUUGCACUCUCCUCUUUUCCAAUUUAAGAAGUUUUUAACUUUUUUUUAAACAAUUUUACCAUUUCCUUAGUUUGAGUCCUGAUACACCUGAGAGUGUGCCUGAAUCCCUCAAACCCAGGCUCUGAUACCAAUUUGUGAUGACCCAAAUUUUCACAAGAAAUCUUUCAUUUUUAAAUAGUCAAACACUUUCCAUAAACCAUAAAAUCCCAAUACAUUUGUUUUCAAAUUCAUAAUAAUAACAAUAUUAUUCCGAUCAUCAGAGUGUCCCAAAAAAUGCCUGAGAGAGAGAGAGAGAGAGAGAGUGCAUACCGCGCCAUUCAGCCGUGCCCUUGCACUUGGGCGCAGAUGUACCUGAAACAAAUCCACAAAUUGUAAGCUAAUGCUUAGUGAGUUCCCUAGAGCAUACCCCAGACACAAUCCACAUAAACACAUAUCAUAUUAGCUAUAACAGCUACAUACACCAUGCAAGCCAUGCAUACAAACAUAUAAGGAAGCCAUGGAAACCCUCUAGGGUCUUACACCUAAUGCUACUGGAACCCCCACGUGGUCUUAACUAACUGUCAUGGGAACCCCUACAUGGUCUUCCUGCCAUGGCAACCCCCACAUGGUCUUCCUGUCGUGGGAACCCCACAUGGUCUUUACAAUCAAGAGAUGACAUACAAACUACACAAGAAAAUGUACUAGAAUGUCAUGGAAACCUCCAAAGUCUUACAUAUAAGUGCCUCUAGAACCCCCCGAGGUCUUUCAUACGUGUAUCACACAUAACUAGCAUAUCACAUAUCCCAUAGCCAACUAAUCAUAACUCAUAAAAAAUGGGUCGUCCUUGGUGCCUUAGACCCAUUGGUAUGGUGAGAAGAGACACCUCUUGUGAAUGCUGAAUUGAGAAGCUAAUAUCAGAUAAAUCCCACCUGCUGCUCCAACUCAACAACCUAUAAUCAUCAUGUGAUUAACUUGUCACAAUCCCGAAUUACCAUUAAUAUCCUCAAAGUCAACCCUGGUCAAAGUCAAGGUUAACAGUCAAGGUCAAUAGUCCGUGUUGACCUCAACUCGUCGAGUGCAUCCAACAACUCGUCGACUUACCCGACUAACUUUUUAACUCGCCGAGUUACCUAUGUACUUCGUCAAGUUCCUCAAUGUCCAGAAGAUCAAAAACCCAUGCAGACCAAAAACCCCAAUCCUUCAUAGAAAUCACUCGAAGUCUCGAAAAUGGGUAAACCUUACUCGACUCGUCGAGUUGGCUAAGGGACUCGACGAGUUCCUUCAGUCCUUUUUGUGUUCAGACAUUUUUAAGCUACUCCAAAGCUCCAGAUUGCAGAUCUAACCUCCUAAGGCAUGGUUUCCAUGUAAAGCUGCAAACUUUAUGUGCAUGCAAGCUCUUAGUUGCCAACACCAAGCUAGAGGGGUUAGCCAAAGAGAAGGACCAAGCUUGAUAAAUUCAACAACUUUAUAACUCUAAGGACUUAGAGGAGUCCAUAUCUAAAGUUGCAACUAUAAAUCUUACUAAACACCCGAAAUGCUUCACAAAUGUACUAGAAAUGGCCUACAACCAAGAAGAAGAAGAUCUAAUGCUAGAAUGAUCAAGGUAACAACUUGUUACCUUCAAAUGUGUGUCUAAACGUUGUAGAUGCUGGAUCCAUAGUUUCCUUCCUGCUCCAAGCUCCUCAAUCUUCAAACUCCUUCAACUAAAGCAUCAAACACUCUCUCUUAGCCUCUUAAUCACAAGGAAACAGCAAGGAACGACUUAGCGUUUCGCCUUUGAGCAGUGAAGUGAUAAGGGAUUCACAAGAGGCAGAUUAAGUCCAUUAAAUAGGGUGCAAACCCUAAAAAUUAGGGUUUGUCUUUACAGCGCCUACUCGUCGAUUCAGGGCCUUUCGGCUUGUCGAGUAGGAUCUAAAUCUCGCAUCCCCUUAAAUGAUCUCUACUUGACGAGUUGGAGCUCCCCAACUCGCCAAGUCCAAGCACAAAACCCUAAAAUUAGAUAAAUUAAAUGAUAUAUUCAAUCAUACAAAUGAUGCCCUUUUGGCUUUCAGAAUUUUAUUGCAACAAAUUACGUUGUGAAAUCACUUGUAAAAUGUUAUAAUUUAGACCUUGUUUGACUCAAAAUUUUCCAAUUGUCACAUUGAUCAAUGCUCCUCAACCAAGAUUCUUCUUCUUCUUCAAGAUACACCAACAUACACCAAAACACACACAAAUAUCAACUCUCUUUAGAAAUAGGUUGGGGUUCAAGAUAGUGCUCAAAAGAGGGAAAAAAGCUAAUAAGGAUAAAGCCUUGGGACAUAAGGUGUUUAAAUACGAUGCAAACCCUAAAAAUUAGGGUUGCCCCUAACUCAUGUACGCCCAUCGUACCAAGGGAUUAACCCCGUGUCAAGCACUCUUCGAGGUAUGCCCAACGUACCUUAUGUACGCCCAACGUAUGACGUCCUUAAGCCAAAAUAAAAGAGAUAUAAAUAUCUAAAGAACUUUUGUGACAUAUCGGGUGUUAGAACGACCCAUUCUUAGGGUCCUCUACUUUGUGGUGUGUGGUUGACAUUUUGUUAAUAUAAACAGCAUGUGUCACCACCUAUUCUGAUAAUUGUUGCUACAAAGGGUUCCAAAAGAACUAACACCUAAGACAUCUCUCAUCUAUCUUUUCCUUCUCGUACUAAUAAUUUGAUUCUUUCUCCUGGGAGGUUGACAUAUGAACAUGCUACAACAACUGGCUGAAUGGUCAUAUUCUAAUGAUCUCUAAUUGUGUGUCGCAAAGGAUUUAUAAUGAACUAGAAUCUUAUCUCUAUGAGUCAAACACUUAAAAUAAAAGACACCUUCUUUCGUGUUCUCAUGUGGUAUAACCACAUCAUUGUAGGUAGUAAUUCUAGCUAUUGGUCACUUAACUUCAGUGAAGACUGUAAUUCUUUUGUCGAUCAUAUUGAUUACUUUCUUCUUAAAUAUUAUGAUUAAAGUCAACACUAUGUCGAACAAGGUUCUCAGACCCAACUCUUUUACAUAAAUCUACUUUAUUCGGAAUCGAUCUUUUAGAGUCACUCUUCUAGACAUCAUCAUACGGCAGUCAAUGAUGGAAAUGAAACGAAUUCACAGUGUUAACCACACUAUCUACUAAAUACUAGUGACUUAGCAACUUUGUGACUCUUCCUGAUCCAAGUGCGAGUCUUGUGCUUCAGGUAGUAUAGGCAUCUACUACCUUUCACACCUACUCAUACUUGUCCCAAAAAUUAUCUCAUAGUUUCCAAGUCACUUCUGACACUACAAAUGAUAACCACUAACCAUAUAUAUGUAUGUGUCCCAUGAGCAAAUACAAGUGGUUUUCCUAUACUCCACUAGGACUUUGCAUCCUUACCGAUGCCCCAUCUUAUUAAUAUAUGCCAUAUCAGGCAUAUAUUAAACUUCCUAGACUAUCCUUGUAGGAUUCCUUUCCAAUUAUCUCUAUUAUUCGUUGAAGGAGAACUUCUACCCAUUUUAACUAAUUAUUGGACGAAUACAAUUACAUGCUUCUAAAAUCAAACAGUCUGAUGACUGAAAGAUCCGACCUUACGACGGUUAGACUCAAACGAGAGUUGUGCAGUAGCACCAAAUCAAGCAAUCUAAAACUAUUUAAUUAUGGGAGCAUGUAACCUAACAUACUUCUUAAAUAACUAAUUAAUAUUAAUAUUGGUUCUAACAACAAUUAACAAGCAAAUCUCUAAGCUAUAAGGCAUCUUAAUUAUCAGGCAAUUUUAUUUAGCAAUUCCUGAAAAGAUCCUUAGCCUACAUACUAGCAUGCAUUUCUAAUAUUUCGCAUAUCAAUAUCAUAACAAUAUGGAUAUUUUGGGAAUCACUUUCCUUUUUGAGCUUUGGCUAACUGUACGCAUCACAUUCUCUCCUUUUUGUAUUAUUCUUUUUACAAAAAUAUUUAUUAAUUUUCAAAUCCUUAGUUUGAGUCUGGAAUCACACGAGUGUUCAUCCAAUUCGCUCAAACAAGGGCUCUGAUACCAACUUGUAACGCCCCAAAUUUUUAAGGAAAAAUUUUCAUUUUUAUAAUGUAUCAAAGUAUGAUUACAUUGUGUGGAAACAUGUUGUGAAUAUGCAUGUGUACAACCAAGUCUUGCCUUUUUUUAUGAAACAUUUGAAGUUCCUGAAAAAAAAAUUAUAUUCAACUAGAUAAGCACGAAGCAUAGUGAGUUCCCCAAAAAUACCAUAUCGCAAAAUAUAUAUACAAUGCAUACACAUAAUGACCUUCAACAUAAAGUUGGUCUGCCUUUGGCCUUCGGCAUGAAGCCGAUCUGUCCUUUUUGCCUACAACAUAUAGUUCGUCCAUACUUUGGCCUUUAGCAUAAUGCUAGUCCAUCCGAUUCUAUUGGCCUUUAGCACGAGACUAGUCCGCCCUCAACUUGGCACAUAAUAUAUUAACACAUAUAUGGCAUAUCGACAGUUCAACAUACACACAAACUAACUAAACUAGCCUAAUUACAUGCUACAUGGAAAUUAUAUCCAAUCAUAUAGAGGAUAUAUUAUAGAGCACAUAAUAUGGUGAGAAAACUCAUUUUGACAAUGACUCGGGAGAUUAACAGUUUCCUGGAGAUUCUGCUAACGAUCCGACUGACGAAUAGUGCGUCGGAUAAGUAUUCACCUAUAAUACUUUAACCUAUUAAUAUCUAUACCAAUUUGGUAAUGAAAACUAGAGCUUUCACUAAUCACAGUGAAUACUAAGAGUUCUAUCAUAUAAGGAUCAGCCAGGUCGAACAGUUGGGAGGAAGGACCAUUUCGACAUAUAAUCUUUCUGAAAUCCAACAACCUAACCAAUGUGACCAUUCUGGACGCGUCUCUUGUAAGUUGAUCAAUCAGUAUAACGACUUGGAAGUACUGAUAAAUCUUAUUUAUAGGUUCAUAAUAAUGACUUGUGACUAUAAAUAUAAGUUACACUAAUAGCAAAAGUGUAGUUUAGCUUACAAAUAUUUUAGUGAAAAUCGGGAAAUUAUACUAACAGAAUUUUGAAACCGAAAACUUCUAUUUUACGGACUCCUAAAGCUCCCAGGAUUUUACUAAAUAUCCUAAAAGCUUAAUAAAAUUAAAAUAAUAAAGAAUAAUAUCAGCUCUAAAGGUUUGCUUGAGAGGAAAUGAAGGUUUGUAAGAAAAUGAGGCCAAUUUCGUAGCUAUUUAUAGGAAUUAGGGAGGGGUUACACCCUGCGUAUCAAAGUGCUAUACAAGUAGCAAGGAUUCAUCUGGUGCUAACACAUGUUGAAAAAGUUGUGGUCUACGCCCUACCUUCUAGAAACCUACGCGUCAUGCCUUUUUGCGAGAGGUGCACUCAGGAAACUUAGAAAUAUUGUUUUCUUCAUACUAACUCUGUUUUUGAUGUUCUUUAUAUCCACAUGUAGCUAUCGACGAUAUAUAAGACUUUCGUUAAGACCCCCUAGGCUAACUCUCACUUCAUUUUUUUAUUUAUUAUUUUUAGAAGGCUUAAACUGCUAACGAGAUCUUUGACUCUCGUUUAGAUUGUUUUAGCUAGAAAUCAACCGAUUUAAAUUUCAAUUUUUGUGUCCGCACUGCUGCGCUGAAACUUCAAAAAAUCAAAACUUCCUCUCAUGAAGUUAGAUUUAGACGUUCUUUAUAUGCAUGCUCUCAGUUUAACGACAACUACAACUUUAGUUUAGAUUGAUUAGGCUAAUGGGCAGCUUAUCUAAAAUUCACUUUUUACGAUACAUGGGGUCGUGUCGGUUUAAUCCUGAAACUUCGAAGAAGCAUAACUUCUUCAUACGAAAUCGGAUUCAGACAUUCUAUAUAUUUAUGAAAAUCGUAUUGAUGGUUGCUACAUUUUAAUGACGAUUACUUUGAAUAAAAAACAAUAUAUAUAUAUAUAUAUAUAUAUAUACACACACACACACUUCAGUUUUUAUAAAUGAUGGUUUAUAUUGCAUUCUAUUAGAAAUGCGAAAAUGGGGUGUUACAACCUUCUUGGUCCCAUCCAUCUUGCACAUAAUCUAUUAGGGUUUAGGAAUUUCUUCAAAUAAUUACAACAAACAAACUAGCAUCAUAGCACUAACUACUACUACAUUCAAAAUUUUCAAGAAAAAAAAACGAAAAUCCAAGUACUUAUGCAUAAUAAUUUAUAGCUUCUAACUUCUAAUACAGAAUGUUGAAGACCUUCUUUAAGCAUGUUUCUUUCCCGUAACAACCCUUGAAUGAUUUCCAUGGAUCUAGAUCAAAGUCGUGGGUCAACCCAUCUAAUGAAUGAGCACUUCGAUCUAGAUUUUAAACAGACCCGAAACCUUUGACCUGGGUUGUUGUAAUGGGUUUUAUAGGUUAUAAAAUCAAUGUGAUUGCGGAAUUUCACUUAACACCUAAUGGCACAUGCAACCUAAAUGAUCUAUGUCGUAACACUUUGAAGGCAACAUUCAACGAACAACAAAAACAAACAUGGAUCCUAAUGUAAUUGAAAACAUAGAAUUUGGAUUACAUACCUUUGAUUUUUUGUAGUAAACAAAUCACUUCAACCCCUUGUAAUUAUUGGUCUUGGAAAGCUUAGCAUCGAAAGGAUUAUGCCUCUAAUAACACACACCUAAACCCUAGAACUAGAAGACAAGUGAGGAGAGAAGAGGAGCAACGAUAAAUUGGACUUCUCUAGUUGAGGAAGAUCACAAAAAUAGCUGACCCAAGGGUACUAUCUAUAGCUGUCAUCAAACCCUAGAAACCCUAAAUUUGAACAUUUAAUAAUAAUAUUUCAAAUCAGACAAUUAUUUAGCUUCAUGAUUAUCAUUUGCAGGCUUAUAGAAACCCUAAUAGGGUCCUCUAAACUGUUCUUAUGAUAGAGGUUUCUAGAUCAUCUCAUUUGUUCAACAGUUAAACAAUUACAACUCAGUCCCUACACCUUUAAUUAAUUCCGAUUAAUCCCGAAAUAAUGUCAGGUUAAUUUUGAUUAAUAAUCAAUCAAUUCUAAUUGAUUUCACAUUAAUUUAUUAAUCAUAUAAAUUAAUAAAUCAAUUAUUUAAUAGUUAAUCUCACAUUAAUUUGUUAAUCACAUAAUAAAUUAACAAGUCAACUAUCUAUUUUCAAUUAAUAUAUUAAUCAUAUAAUAUAUUAACAAAUCAUUUAUUAAGAUUUAUUAAUCAUAUAAUAAACAAAAAAAUUAUCAUCUAUUUACAAAUAUCAUUUUAACCAAGUUCUAGUUAUGAGGACAACUUAAAAAAGAACUUUUCUUCUAAUUACAAGAAUAUACAUAUUUAGUUAUGCACUUAUACACCUUAAUCAAACAUGUUGUUAGUCCACAAUAUAAAAAUUAUAAUGCCCCGACCACAUAAGCAAACAUAGGUUAUCAUCUUUUUGUGUUCUUGAAAAGGAGAAUUUUUCAAUACUGUUGGGGAAGAGAGAUGAAAGAGAGAGUACGAUAUGGUAUAGACCUUAAAUAAGUGAAAUGGAACCAACCUCAUUAAUAGACGAUAUUACCCUCACAUGUUGUCAACGUGAGAGACUUUUAACAACAAUUUAUUGACGCCGUCUAACAAAGCGGCCUUUUAUGUAAUAUCAACAAAACAUAAGAACCGUGUCACUCGUUUUUCUUAAAGUUGGACUAUAUAUGCCCAUUUCGCCAUCCCACACUAAAUAACCAAAAUUAAUUUUGCACUUUUGUCUAAACCCUAUGAUAUUUUCUCUAAAAAUCAUCAUAAACAAAAGCUUAUAUAAUGAAUAAUGGGUGAGUUUGACAUACAUAUUUGAAAAAAAGAAAAAAAAAAUCCUAGAUUUGCCAUAAAAAAACAACCUCAUAAACUUGGAUAGUUUAUAUAUUGGUUUUAACGAUCUUAAAUAACAGUUUAAAGUAUAAACACAAAGAGUUUUUCUAGAAAAAAGGACCUAGUCAAAGGAGAUGGAAGUUUACAAGGAAGGUGAUAUUAAAACAAACCUAAGUACGUAACUCAAAGUCUCAAACCAAAUAGUCGCCGGUGACACUAGGCCGUGUUUUUACUCAACGCGUCAUUAAAGAAACCCCAUGCUAUAUAAAUACCUUUUACUCCUUCCAUUCUUCACAAUCAACUCACUCUGCAACUCAAUCAUGUCCUCUGAUUCUCACCUCAACGGAGCUUACUACGGCCCAUCAAUCCCACCUCCCUCCAAAAAAUCCCGAUCCUACAACCGCCAUGGCCGCGGCGGCGGAAGCUGCAACCCCUUCUCAUGGUGCUGCAGUUGUCUCUGCGGUUGCAUCUUCAACCUCAUCUUCCAAAUCCUCAUCACCAUCCUCGUCCUCCUCGGGAUCGCCGUCCUCGUCUUCUGGUUAAUCUUCCGCCCCAACGCCCCGAAGUUCCAUGUCAACGACGCUACUCUCACCCAGUUCACCCUUUCCUCCGAUAACAACACUCUCUACUACAACCUCGCUGUGAAUAUGACGUUCCGGAACCCUAAUAAACGGAUUGGAAUUUACUACGACAAAAUCGAAGCCAACGCUGAGUAUUAUGAUAAGAGGUUUGCUUCCAGGAAUUUAGAUGGGUUUUAUUUGGGGCAUAAAAGGGAGAAUAACGUUAACACGGAGUUCGUCGGAGAACAAGUGGUGGUGCUCGGAAAUGGUGAUAGAUCUAAAUACGAUAGGGAGAGAAACGAUGGGGUGUACAACAUCGAUUUGAAGUUGAGACUUCGAUUAAGGUUGAAAGUGGGGUGGGCGAAACCCAAAUUCAAACCGAAGUUUGAAUGCGAGUUGAAGAUUCCGGUGACGUCCGGCGGCUUGGUUUCUUCUACGGGAUUUCAAAGGACGAAGUGUGAUUUCGAUUGGUAGAUAUCAUCAUCAUCAUCAUCCCCAUUGAUCUUUCUUCCAUUGGGUGUUUGGUUCUUCUGAUUCAUCGAGUAUAUUCAUCUUCUGCACUUUUUUUUGAAUUUUUCGGGAAUAUUGUUGGGUAUAUGAGCCUUAUUCUCUUAUAUUAGGGAGAUUAUUUCAUUUGUUCACGUAUGACAUUUGUUUUGAGAUUACUUCAUUUUCUUUUUCACUUAUGACCUUUUUUUUUCAUGUGUCUAUAACACUGUCUUUUCAUUUAUUUGUCUAACUAAAACAUCUGACUUUCAUUUCUACUUCUUAAGCUUCUUUUUCAUUUUUUAAACAUUAUACUCUUGAAUUCCAAUCGAUUAAGAUAAAAAAACAUUAAUUUUUAUACAGCUACAUGUAUAAAAUAAAAAAACAUUAAUAAAAACAUCAAUGCAUGCCAAAAGAGUUAAUAAAAGCAUCAGAUAUGACAACGUUCUGCUGGAAAAUUGUUAAUAUCAAGCUUUAAAUGGAUGAUAACUGUAUCAAACAAUUUUGAAUACAAACUAAGUUUCCUUUAUCCCAUCAUGUCACAAACAAUAUGUAAAAAUAAAUAACAUGCUGUUAUUUAUCGCAGAUAAAAAUACGUAACAUGUGUGAUGUUGCAUCAAAUAUUAAAAAAAUAAUAUACAAGGAGAAGUAUGCUUUUUGAUAACUCAAUAUAUACAAGGAGAAACGGUGGGUAUAACACCAGUUUGAUUGGUUUAGAGGCAAAAUUUCACUGUUUUAAUGCAAAAGUACGUAUAUGAUCUCUUUGUUAUUUUUUGCAUCAAAUGCAUUAGAGUUUACUCGAUGGAAGUUGACGGAGAAUAUUAUAAAGAGUGCUCAUAGUAUUUGAAUAGGCGAUUGUGUUAGGUAACCCAACAUUUUAUACAACUCUAUUUUCCUAAAAAUCAAAAUUCUUGUAGUUUGUCACUUUUUACAUAGAAAACGACACCCCAAACAAAUUGAUGCAAAACGUUUUCAUUCCCAUCUUCAUCAAGAAUCAAAUCUUGACUUCAUAAAAGUUUAAUCUUUAUAUAUAUAGAAAAUUAUAAAAAUAGUCCUUGUAGUAUGGUGUAAUAGGCGUAUAAAGUCCAACUUUAAGAAUAUAGACAAACUCGGUCCUUGUGUUUUGACGAAAUUACAAAGAUAGUCCCUAUGCCAUUAAAUUUGACUAUUGAGCCGUCGCUUAUUCCAAAAUAACAAGUCUCUCCUUGACCAAACCUGAAAAAUAUAUUAUAAUCAAAGACAAUUUCUGAAACUCUACCACAGCUACCAACCACCACCAUCACUUUCAGCUCCACCCUACCACAACUGUCGACCACUACUACCACCUUCAACCACCGCUAGCACCAUCGUCAGAGGCUAGGUUUCGUCAGAGCUUGGUAAUGUUUCUUCAUAAAAUAACCACCCAACCCACCUCAUCGUUCAUCUCCCUGAUCACCGACAUCUUCAACAAUCACUGCCAUUAUGUCCGGUAUUCAACCAUUUGCCACCAUACCUAAAAUCAGAAACCAACCUAUUUGAAAUGGCUAUUACACCCAACAUCAAAAUCACCAUUACAUCUAAAAUCAAAACCGGAAUCAUCCAUUGUGUCCAGUCAUCUAGAAUCUGAAAAUCAAAACAUCGAAAAAUCAAAAAACCUAACCCAGGUUGUUAAUCUACAAUCUGAAAAAAUGAAUAACUGCUAACAGUCGACGAAUCACUACUACGAGUCCACGUUAUUGUUGCUCAAAAUCGUUGCUAAAAGUUGAUGGUAACAAGGUUCAUAAAAAAUCUUAAUCUCUAAUUCUUUAUAACCGAUAAUAGCAAUAGCAAUGCUUCUUUAAAUUUCUGAAUGUAUAAAAUCGUUGUGUAACAUCCUGUUUCCUGUCAUUUUUGGGUCGUGGACCGGAAGUCGAUUGUGUAAGGCUUUGUGUAACAUCCCCCUCUGGCACGUAUCACAAUAUUGUCUGCUUUGGGCUCUCGACAUGAAAACUUUCUAGGGGGUCAAAACUUCCUAGGGGGUCACCCAUCCCUGGAUUGCUCUCGCCCGGAUAUGCUUAACUGCAGAGUUCUUAUGAGAUCUGCUGCCAUCAUGGCUUUCAAGCGUGUUGUGAUAGGGAAGGUAUCCACACCCCUUAUAAGGAAUGUUUAGUUUUCCUUCCCAACAGAUAUAGGAUCAGGUGUACCCACCUUCACCCUCCAUUAUAGGGUUCGACGUCCUCAUCGAACACAUCGACACGUGCCCUAGCUCUGAUACCAUUUGUAACACCACCUCUGGUACAUACCACAAUAUUAUCGGUUUUGGGCUCUCGACAUGAAAACUUCCUAAAGGGUCACCCAUCCUUGGAUCGCUCUCGCCCAGACACACUUAACUGCAAAGCUCUUAUGGGUUAUGUUGCCCUCAUGACUUUAAAACACGUUGUGAUAAGGAAGAUAUCCACGUCCCUAAUAAAAAAUGAUUAAUUCUCCUUCCUUGUCGAUGUGGGAUUAGGUGUACCCCAACUAAUUGUAACACCUACAAAUUCAAGCUAGUAAAUUAUAGAUAAGAAGCGUUAAAAAUAACUUUUUGAUAGAAGAUUAUUCAGAAUAAAUAAUCUUAACCAAAGUUAUAGUAUAUGUUACAAGGAUUUCGCACAUAUAAAGAACGUUGAAAUCCGACUUGUAAAAAAAAUUAUGACUCGUUGAAGUUUCACAAAUAAACUGAUAGGGCUUUACAUAUUGUAAAAAGUAAAUUUUUGAUAAAUUAAUCUUUAGCCUUAUUAAUCUAAACAAAACUCAUAGUAGUCGUUAAACCGAGAGCGUGCAUAUAAAGAACAUCAGAAUCUGACUUCAUUUGAGGAAGUUUUGAUUUUUCUAAAAUUCAGCGUAGCAAUGUACAACUCAUAAAUCGAAUUUUAGAUAGAUCGAUUAUUAGCCAACACAAUCUAAACGAUAAUUGAAGACCUUGUUAAUAGAAGCUCAACAAUAUAAAGACAGUCGAAAAUGGACGCCGGAUGACAAAGUUAUGAAUUUUUAACGGACUUUAACUGUCUAAACCUGUUAAAAUAUAACUUAAAAAAUAAAAUCAAAAUUAGCUGACAGAAUCUAAAGGGAAGAUGUAGAUCUCAUCGAUAGCUACGCGUAGAUAUAACGAACAUAAAAAAUGGAGCUAGUAUACAAAAGUUAUGAAUUUUACAAGAUAAUUAAUUUUUGGAUUAAUCUCGUUGCGACAUGUGUCGCGAUCUGGUGCACCCCCUUCCUCGCCACGGCUUGCCACCAUAUGCUGACACGUGGCCCCUAGUACGCCCAACGUAAUUUGCGUAUACCAUCGAACUGAGUACGCCCAACGUAAUUUUAAUACGCCCAGCGUACUGGGCCUCCUGGCGGCCUAUAAGUAGAACAUGAAUUUCACUCUUUUCUUCACACCUUUCCAUUCUAUUCUCUCCCCCCCCCCCCCCUCACCAAGGCCUUAAUGCCUUUUAAGUUAAUUAUCGUUAUUAUGAACCUAUAAACAAGAUUUAUUAGUGAUUACAAGUCAUUAUACUUAUUGAUCUACUUAUAGGGAUGAUGUCUAGGCUGGAUUUAGUUAGGUGUUUAAAGUGGAAUUUCCAAACAGUAUACUUUGUAUACCAAAUGGACCCUACCUCCGAUAUGAUCAUACCUGGUUGUUCCUUACCAGCUAUAUAUUAGUAGACUUUGAAUUAAUGAUGUAUCUAGACUAAUAAUUAUUCAUAAUAAAUAUUAGACUAAGACUUAGUGAUAAUAAUACUAGGUUACGUCAAAUGAAAAGAUCGUUGCUAGAAGCGAAGCGAUGUCUGUGUUUUGAAUCGUCACUUUAACAAGUGAAUGUAUAGUCCCUUUUAUGAACAUGAUUUUAAUACAGUUAUUAAUUAAAGUAUUAAUUAACUCUUAAAAGAGUUUAUGCGUGAGAUAUUUUCUAUUUCCUAGAAUACGUGUUAAGAACAUAUCUGAUAAUAUAUGAUGAUUUAGGACUUACAAAAUAGACCUAAAUUAAUUAAGAUAACUAUCAGGUAGUAUCUCCUAAAGAGUAUGGGUGAGAUAUACACAGAGGGUAGAACCCUAACAUUUGUCUUUGAUCCGAGAACAUGGAUUAGACAUAGUCAUCUGUCCCUAGUCCGGGAGUAUGGAUUGGGCAAUAGUCAUUUGUCAUUGAUCUAAGAGCAUGGAUUAGACAUAGUAGUCCAUACCUGAUCCGGGAGCAUGGAUUAGGUAAAGCCAUUCGUGUUAGAUCCAAAAGCAUGGAGUGUGUCAUUGUGAGGAUCGACGGGGUGGGUUAAGUUGCUUAUAUGAGGUGAAAUUGUAUAUUAUGAGUUCUAAAAUAUAUAUGUUGAAACAUUGUGGGAUUGAAAUCCCUGUGUACUCACCAGGUUUCCCAUCCUGGCCCACUUAGUUUAUUGUAUCAUAGGUAGUGAUAUUAAAGAUACAUUCUGUUGAGAGAUUCAAGGAGUAUUAGGUCACUAGUUUAAUUACUAUAAGGCUAGUAAUAUUUCGUUAUGAUUAUGUUUCUGUAUUGACGAUGACAUCCCAACAUUUUAAUAUAAAUAACAUACAUUUCUUCGGAAAUGCUUUGAUAAUGUCAUUAUCGUGUUUUUGGGAACAAAUUCCGCAAUACUAUUCUUCAAAAAGGAUACUCUGAUUUUUAAAUAAGCAUAAACAAAUCGGUCUUUUCUAGACGUGAAAUUAGGGAUGUCACAGUUGGUAUCAGAACAUUAGUUUAAGAAAUUAGGAAUUUGUAGGAUUUCUAGACUUAAGGUUAGAAUGGUAAGCGGUGAUUGUGAUAUGAGUGUCUGCUAUAUUUAGGAAGUAUGUCUGAGUAGACACGAGCACUAACUUAUUUAGGGAAGAUGCCUAAAGUGCUUUUAUGUGCUAAAUGAUUUAUUUUAUAGAUAUAAAAAUGCCUUUUAUUCCUUAUGAUGAUAUUAUUUGAUCGGACCUAUGGUCUAUUGCCGACUGGACCUAAAAAUUUUAUGUCUUCAGAUUUCUAAACGUUUAAUUACGGUAUUAGAACUGACAUGUAACUUUUCAAAGUGAUAAGGAGAUUUAUACGUCUAUCAUAAAUGAAGUUUUCCUAUCUUAAUUCUUGUCACUGUACACCGAACGUCUGCUUUGGCGUAUAUAUCGACAUGGUGAGAACUCAAAGCGAAUUAGGAAACGGUUAUCAGCAGCCUGAGCCACUAGAGAUUGAGCGUGCACCAGAGGUAGCAGCUUCACCUGAACCUAUCACAUUAGCAAUGAUAUAGAAAAUGUAGGUUCAUCAGAUAGAAAAGACAAGGCGUCUACUUCAACAGAAUAGAGAUGAACCUAUUGUACCUAUUGUGCAGCCCGAACUGAAUGAAGCACUGUCGGAGGAGGUAAAUUAUAGUCAUACUGUGAGUCAUGUUAAACCUCGAGUGGUAAGGAGGAAUGACCUGGACAGAGGGAUUGACAAGGAUAUGUGUAUGUAUAAGAACUUAUUGGGUGUCAAUCCACCAAGUCUUUCUGGAAGCCCAAAGCCAGUGGAUAUUAUGUGUCGGAUCUAUGAGAUGGAGAUGAUAUUGAAAGCUGUAACUGCAACAAUAAGCAGAAAACCAUCCUUGUAGUCAGAAAACUGAAGAUCGGGAUUUUAAGUUGGUGGAAGUUGUUGGCAGAUACAAUGCCAUAGGGAGAAUCCGCAAGGAUGUCUUGGGAAGCACUCCUGGAGCAGUUGAAAAUGCAGUAUUGCUCGGAGGUAGAUCUGAUAGACCUAAACUAUGAGUUUCAAAACCUGAAGAAAUGGAAGAUGAAUGUUGAUGUGUAUGUCACCGCAUUCACCGAGAAGAUGAAGUUAUUCCCCUAGUUGGUUCCUACUGAACUCUACAAGGUAGUGACGUUUGCUAAUGGAUUGCCACUAGACUUUGGUCUAAUGGUAAAAAUGGCAACUACUUUGAACACGGUCAUUAGAGCAGCCAAGAAUAUGGAGACCCAACUUAGGGAGAAGGGUCUGGAAAGAGCUGAGGUAUGAGAAACAACUCAGAAAUCGAAUUUUAAACCGAUCGAUUAUUAGCCGAAACAAUCUAAACAAGAAUUGAUGAUCUAGUUAAUAGGAGCUCAACGAUAUAAACACAAUCGAAAAAGGACGUCAGAUGACAAAGUUAUGAAUUUUAGUUGGACCUGUCUAUGCCUAUUAAAACAUAACUUUAAAAAUAAAGUCUAAAUUAUCUGACGGAGUCUAAGCGAAAGUUUUAGACCUCGUUGAUAGCUACACGUGGAUAUAAAGAACGUCAAAAACCGAGAUCUCAUGUGAAAGUUGUGAAUUUUACAAGAUAAUUAUUUUUUGGAUUAACCUCAGUGCGACACGUGUCAUGAUCUGGUGGACCCCUUCAAGGAGUUUUUAGUCUAAGAUAUUUAGAUAAUAUUGUGGGUCUCGUCAACAACUUUUUGUGGAUAUAAAUAUCGUCGAAAACGGAUUUGAAACGAAGAAGUUAUAGCAGUUUGAAUUUGGUGUUGGAGGUGGUAGUAUGUUGGGCGUACUCAAUGUACGUUGGGCGUACUCACUGAUCAAGAAGUGUAUUCAAGAGUGUAUGUUAAGCAUACCAUUUGGUACCCUGUACGUACAGGACCAGAAGCCACAACCCUAAUUUGAGGGUUUUGAGUCGUAUUUAAGCUACUUAACUCCCCAAACCCUUUCGAUUCUUAGCCUCCACCCCUUCAAUGUCCUCCCUCGAAACCCGAACCCUAGUUUGAGCAUUUUCAACAAAAAGAAGGUGUUUUAAGUGCUUUGGAGUGUUGUUGGUGCAUCUUGGAGAAGACUGAGCUCAUUGGAAAAGUGUUGGUUGCAUUGGAACUUCUAGAUCCAGACCUUGUUCACCUUGAUCUUUCUUCUAGAGGUAUACAGUUUGAAUCGUGAUGAGGCAUUUGUUUUUAGCUAGUAUUUGGGUGUUCUAAGAUUUUGGUCACUUUAAGUGCAUAAAUUUUAGAUCUUGAAAGUUUGUGACCUUGUCAUGGAUAAAUUUGGAAACUUUAUCCAUCUAAAAAUCAUAUUGAUUCAGAUCUGGAGGUUGGAGACUUGAACUUAAUGGAAUAAGUUGAAAAGAUGCACUUUUGGUCCCUUGGAGACGUAAAUACUAUAUCUUGGUUGUUUGGACCAUCCUAAUGGAUAAAUUUGGAAAUUUUAUCCAUUAUGGAGUUAUUAGGAAUCAUAAAAAUAUGAUCUUGGCCAUUCUAUCCCUUCCAUGAAAGAGUUAGGAUGUCUUAAUGGGUUAAUAAGAUAGGGCUUUGGCUUUUGGACCUUUUCUAGCCAUGGAAUGUCAUAAAUGUGGAAACUUUAUAAAUGAAGUCAAUGUUUUCAGUCUAGAUCUGAGCUCUGGACAAAAGAUCUUAAGUGAUAAAGUACUUAAUGGAGAAGUAAGGACAGGCCACAUACGCUGGGCAUACUUAGCUGUCUUAGACUUUGACUUUUGUUGACUUCUACUGACCGUUGAAUUUUUGAGCAAGUUUGACUUUGAUCAAACUUGAUGAUUUUGGACUUAUGAUUAAGAUUGUAUCUGGUUCUGGUGUUAGUGGAUUCGCGGGAGCAAGCAAUGCAAAAAGGAGUGUAUCUCAGUGUUUCAAGGUUCUUUAAUUCAGGUGAUUUUUCCUCACAGUACUUGUAGGUCAAAGGCACCAAUGUCGACCCACUAGGUUAUGUAACCCGGUAUAUAGGAUGUUGGUUAGCUAUAGUGAGUUGUUAGAUUUGUGUCCUAGUAUAUAGGAUGUUGUUAUGUUGUAGUGAUUUGUUAGAUCUUUAUCCUGGUAUAUAGGAUGUUGUUAGCUAUAGUGAGCUGUUAGCUAUGCGGUAAUGAUUUGUAGAUCUUCCUGUUUGUCUGUUGAAUGGUUAUGUGUUUAUAUGUUAUGUAGAUGUCGACAUGUUAUCGUUCUGGGUUGGGGUUCUAAUCCUAUAUGCGCGAGCCAAUAGACCGGGGGUAUUCCAUUUUGAUGACUGAGUAGACCCGAGGGUAUUCUAAUCCGGUGAUUGAAUGGACUUUUUGCAUAUAGGAUCCAACGUUAUGUAUUAUUAGUAUGCACUAGUGGAUACAUGGUUGGUGGAAUUUCAUGAUAGAAUUGCCUGAUGUAUGAUGCCUGAUAGCCUAGGAGGAUUUAUUAUAUUUAAGAUGAAAUUGACAUAACUAUUGUAGUUACUUAGUGUGUGCAUCAUAGUUGUACAUAACUAAGAUUUUAUAGCCUUUGAAUGUUUGAUUUAACCUUAUUUCCUGUUCUUGUCUGAUGAAGGGCUUAGGGAAGAGUCAAAUAUUCAAUUUUCUAUAGGAUCCAACGUUAUGUAUGAUUAGUAAGCACUAGUGGCUACAUGGUUGGCAUUCCAGUCCGAUGACUGAUUGAGCCGGGGGUAAUACAACCCAAUGGUUGUGGACUCAUAGGUAUUCCAGUCUGAUGACUGAAUGGACCCAUCAUGUUUGUUUGUAUAUGUUAUGUUGUAUGGUGGUAUUUUGGGAAAACUCACUAAGCUUCAUGCUUACGGUUUGGUUUCAUGUUUUCAGGCACUUUAGUUGAUUGGGGCAAGGCGAACACAUGAUCGUAUAAAUCCUUCGAAGAUAUACUUUGGGACAUUUUAUGAUGUUCUGAUCUUGGGAUUCAUUUGUAUUUAACAAUUGGUUUGAUAUGGUUUGGUAUUCAAAGCAAUUGUUUCUUUUAAAUUAAAAAGCAAAAAUCUUACCAUGAUUUUUGAGAUGUUACAAGUUGGUAUCAGAGCUCUGGUUUGAGUGAAUUAGAUGAGCAUUUGUGUGAAUCCAGUCUCAAGCUAAGGAUUUGCAAAAGUUUCUAAAAAUUGUUUCAAAAUUAUUUUCAGAAUUGCUUUCUGAAUUAUUUUCAGAAGUAACCAAGGAAGGAUGAGAUGUGUAGGAUCAGCCGGAGCAAGCAAGUUUACCCCAAGUUACCCAUAUUGUUAUUUUUUAUUAAUAAGUAUGAUAGAACUGCAUAUUAGUGGUAGUCUAGGAAUCUUCAGGAAUUGAAUGAUAGAAUUGCCUGAUAUAUGAUGCAUGAUAGCCUAGGAGGAUUUAUUAUAUUUAAGAUGACAUUUACAUAACUAUUGUAGUUGCUUAGUGUGUGCAUCAUAGUUGUACAUAACUAAGAUUUUAUAGCCUGAGAAUGUUUGAUUUUGAUUUAUUUCAUGUUCUUGUCUAAUGAAGGGCUUAGGGAAGAGUCAAAUAUUCGAUUGUCUAUAGGAUCCAGCGUUAUGUAUGAUUAGUAUGCACUAGUGGCUACAUGGUUGGUGGAAGUUUCAUGAGUAAGUAUAGGUAUAGUCGGCCAGACAAGAAAUGAUUAGCCUCUCUUGAGAGAGUAGUUAUAGGAUGUAUGUGUAUCCUAAAGGCUUGGGAUUAGUGGUCAGGAAUUUUUUGGAAGAAUCUGCCUGAUUUUAUGGUGUCAUAGUGCCAGUUGGUUUCACUACUCGAAUAUUGCUUGCUUUGUCCAUUAUGGUACCUAUGUUGAUAUGAGUUAACUAUUAAAUGAAUAUGUUAAGUUACAUGCUGUAAAGGUUAAAUAAUUUUAGAAUGAUUGAUUCGGCCCUAUUGUGUAGCUCUUGUCCGAGUCUAAUCGGCGUAGGGUGGGGUCUUUUAGUUGAAGAGUUAUUUAAGUUUUGUCGCGUGUAAUUGUAUUCAUGAAGUAGUUAGUUGACAUCGAUAGGGGUUUUUCAGCAACUGAUGGCAUGGUAAGGUAGGGAUCCAAGGAGAGCCUAGGAAGUUCUUUAGUGUGGGUGAAACGCUUUUUAGCAGGUACUGGAAGUAUUAUUACGAGUAAAUGACUUAGAGGACUCGAGAUAAUUCUUGAGGAAAGUAUGGAUAGGUGUGGAAGGUAGUAUUGGGCUUAUACUACAAGAAGCACAUGAUCUAUAAUCAAAUCGAGGAAAAUUUCGGGGAUUCUAAGGAGCUGGUCAAGGAAGGUAGCAUGGUUUGAUACCAUGAUUCGUGGAAAUGCUUCUAUAUUUUUCGAUCUUUUGGUUAUGGUUGUCCGGCAUGAGGAUGGAUCUGGUGAUUUUUGGGCCUUAGUGGCCAUGCCAUUUUGGGUUUAAAUGGUGCGGACUUAGGCGAUUUAGUUGAUAUUCAGGUCCCGAAAGCCUUGGUCAAAGUAGUGCCAGUUCAGUCGCGGAACUGAAGAAGGAAGUAGUUGUCGUGAUCGAUCGAGGAUUUUGGCCGAAGGAUGAGUGAUUGGCGGAUGGAUUGGAAUGUCACUAUCUGUGAAGAGGGUUAUGUCCUACCACUUUUCCAAGUUCAGAGGAAGGAGCGAGCAAGCAUGUGACUUUCAGAGUUGGGAUGUAAACCCAACAUGAGUCUAGUUGGUUGUGGAUUUUGUCAGUUGUAUGGCAGUGUGGGAAUGUGUUGGAUUAGGUGUCUAAGCCCAUAACUAUAAUUGGUAUGUACUUGAAUUGAUUGCAACAUAGUCCUUUUGGGUUGCCCUCAAACCUAGCAGCCAGACAAGGAAAUUAUGAAAUGAGAGAUAUUUAUUUAUUAUAGAUUAAUAAAUUAAUAUAAAUGAUUUAUUAAUAUGUUAAAAGAUUAAUAUAUUAAUUAGAAAUCAUAAUUUUUAAUUAAUAGUUAGCCAGAAAUAAAUUAGAAUUAAUUUUGGGGCUAACUGUAUUAAUUAUAAAGUGUAGGGACUAGUUUGCAAUUAUCUAAUAGUUGAGUGGAAGGUUCCAGAGCCUCCUUGGAAGGGGUUGGACGCAAUUUAUAGGGGAAACCCUAAUGAUUUCGUCCAAGGGGCUUGGAUAAAGCUUUUGGAUGAGCUUAGGCCCCAAGCAAAGGAGCAUUAGGGUUUUCCCUAAACCCUAGAUCCCUCGGCUAUAUAAGGAGCCUCCUGGCUCUCAAAAUUGGUCACUCCUUCUUUGAAGAAGCCCUAGGGCCGAUUUUUGCAUACCCUAACCUCUCUCCUUUAAGUUUCCUUCUUGCUAGUUUUUGGGUGUGACUGUUGGGAAAUACAUGCAUCGAAUACACUCUAUAACUAGGCAGCGGAAGAAUCGAAACAACAAAACGAUUUACCUAAGUGUACAUGCACCCUAUGGAUCUAUGGCUUCAUACUAUUACUUCUACCCUAUGAAAUCCGAAAAUAAAAGGAAGAAUACUAACCACUUUAGCAACCAAUGAUCUUCGAGCUUGACUACUUGUGCGUGCCACCUUGUUUGGAUGAUGAGGAUCCAAACUAGAAUCCCUCUCUUGAUUCACACCCAAUGAACUCAAAAGAUUAGAAGAAAAUAUUAAACUAGGGGGUGAACUAAAAGAAAGUUCUUCCACAAUGAGGGAGAAAGAAGGUGGCGAAUACUCAAGCUAGAAUGAGCAAGGAGGAAUGAAUCCCUAAGGCCCUAUUUAUAGCCUUGGAUACCUCCUAGGGUUUUAUCCUUCCACUCAUGUGGGAUGGGAUAGGCUAUGAACGAAAUUCCCUUUAUCCAAAGGGAAUUUUCGUCCAACCCCCUUCCUUCUAGGGUUCUGGAAUGUUCCCUGAUUAACCAACUAUUGAUUAAUUCACAUUCAACCCUUCUAUCAAUUAAACUAUUAAUUAAUUCCCAAUUUGUUUUCUAAUUAAUUAUUAAACCAUAAUAAUUAAUAAACUAAUUACUCCUAUUAUUUAUUCUACUCAAUUUUGAGUCUUGAGGGCAACCCAAGAGGACCCUGCUAUUAUUAGAAAUAUCACCAAUUAGUUCAUGACCUUUGACACACUUCCAACAGUCUCCCACUUGGACAAGUCAUCAACUAUAUAUGUACUUAUAUCCAUCUAAUAAUCAGCAGAGAGAAUGCCAUCCAAUGCAUCUGCCGAACUCUGAUCUAAUCAGCUUCAGCCCUCAGAUAUGUGAUCAACUAUUCCUUCAUCCUCAUGAUAUCUGUAUGAAUUCAAGACAUGGAUAAUGGUCAAUCUCGGAAUUCAAUAUUAUGUUUCCCGAUAUAGAUUUGUGACGACUACAUUUGACUACUGAAUCGAACAAAUCAAUUCUCGUCAGCACUCGGCCAGGCUUUUAAGAUGUCUGCACCAAAUCAUUGAGGGGCCAAUAGAUAUCGCUUCUCCUAUUAAGGCAAAAGGGAUGAAUAAACUUUGACUACAUAGUAUUUGUCUAUUUCAUCAUGUCACACAUGAAUACGCCCGUUAUAGCCACCAGUUAAGGAUAGCGUUGGAGUAUACCAAUGCAUAACAGAAUCUUAGAGCAAAGCCCCACAUGUAUCUCGGUUUGAAGAACAUAAGACAUUAUCAUCUUAGAAUUACUCGUGACUCAAUCCAUGAAGUAGUCUCUAAGUGCGGGUUGAUCCAAUAUUUAAAUCACUAUUAAGUACUCAUAAGUGUUGACACAAUCACUAUGUCAUGCUCAAUCAAAAAUGGUCAAUCCACUAACACUCAUGAUAGUUUUGAAUCACUACUUACUUCCAAGAGUAUGACCGACUGUGGAGGUUUGAGUAAACUAAUACUCGGGAAGUGGGUUCUAAACAUGCAAAAGCGAAACACAAUAUUAAAUUAAUAGAAAUGAUAGCAACACCAGCACUUUAUUAAGUCUCCACAAAAUAAACACCAAUUCAAUUACAAAUUCAUACUGCUAAAUGUUUUAGUAUUUUAUCAAACAAAACAACUAAACAAUUACACCAUAUCUUCAGCAAAUCUAAUGCCUAUAGAUCUAGUAUGACUAUCAUGCUUGAUCCUUGAUAAUGGUUUAGUGAACGGAUCGGCUGGAUUCUCCUCCGACGAUACUCUGCUCAAGACAAUAUCCCCAUCCUCGACUCGAUAUCUCACAUAGUGGAACUUUCUAAGUAUAUGUCUUGAGUUACCAUGCUCUUUGGGUUCUUUAGUCAAAGCGAAUGCACCCUCAUUGUCACAGAAGCUUUCCAAGGGAUCCUCGAUGCUCGGAACGACACCAAGAUCAUCAAUGAAAUUCUUCAGCCAUGUAGCUUCUUUCGCAGCUUCACUAGCCGCUAUAUACUCUGACUCGCACAUAGAGUCUGCCAUUGUCGACUGCUUGGAACUUUUCCAAGUGACCGCUCCUCCAUUGAUCAAGAAUAGCCAUCCCAACUGCGAACAUGAGUUGUCCCCAUCAGUCUGGAAACUGGCAUCUGUAUAACCUGUGACUCUCAACUCAUCCUUACCCCCAUAUAACAAGACAUAUCCUUUGUUCUUCUUAGGUAUUUCGAAAUGUUCUUUACUGCCGUCCAGUGACUUUCUCCUGGGUUGUCCUGAAAACGACUCACCAUGCUCAGAGCAAAUGAGACGUCGGGACGAGUACAUGUCGUGGCAUACAUGAUUGAUCCUAUAGCAGAAGCAAACGGGACUCGACUCAUUCUUUCUCAUUCAUCACUAGAACUAGGACAUUGAGUCUUACUCAAUUUCAUGCCAUGUUGCAUAGGUAGAUAACCUUUCUUGGAGUCCCGCAUCUUGAAUUUCUUCAAGAUCUUAUCCAAGUAUGCACUUUAGCUCAGUCCUAUUAGACGUUUUGAUCUAUAUCUAUAGAUCCUUAUACCAAGUACGUAUGCAACUUCUCCUAGAACUUUCCUAGCGAAACAACUCCCAAGCCACGUCUUAACACCUUGCAACGUCGGGAUAUCAUUUCCUAUAAGGAGUAUGUCAUCCAUAUACAACACUAGGAAGACUACAUUACACCCACUAGAUUUGAUAUAUACGCAGGACUCUCCUUCACUUCUUGAAAAACCAAACUCCUUGAUCUUUCCAUGAAAGCAAAGGUUCCAGCUGCGAGAUGCUUGUUUUAGUCCAUAUAUGGACCUUUCAAGCUUACAUACUCUAUUUGGAUAUUUUGGAUCUAUAAAACCCUCAGGUUGUGCCAUGUACACUUCCUCUGUGAGUUUUCCAUUAAGGAAAGCGGUCUUCACAUCCAUUUGCCAUACUUCAUAAUCAUGAAAAGCUGUUAUGGUAAGUAAUAUCCUAAUAGACUUGAUCUUGGCUACUGGUGAAAAGGUUUCCUCAUAAUCAAUUCCUGGAGUCUGAUUGUAACCCUUUACUACCAACCUAGCCUUGAACGUGUGCACAUUCCCAUCCAUGUAUGUCUUCUUCUUGAAGAUCCACUUGCACCCAACAAUUUUAGUACCAGGUGCAGGAUUAACCAAAUUCCAAACUUGGUUGUCACGCAUAGACUGAAUCUCGCUCUCCAUGCUUUCUUUCCACUUGGCACCCUCAGUGCCUGCCGUCGCUUCCUUAUAGUUGGAUGGUUCAUCCAUAUCAACUAGUGUACGGUCACUGAUCAAUACGUCUCCUUCAGUGCUCACAUGGAAACCAUAGAACUCGGGAGGAUAACGAACUCUAUUGGAUAUGUGAAGGGGUGGUGGAGAUAUAUCAAUUUGCUCAACAAGCUGCUCAGCCCCGGUUUUAGGUUCCUCAACAGGUUGUUACACCUCAGGUUGAGUGCUAGUGUCUACUAAAGGUUCUUCUUCAUUUGUCUCUUGAAUCUCUUCAAGGCCUAUGCGGCUCUCACUGUCCUCUUUGGAAAUGAGAUCCCUCUCAAGGAAGAAUCCCCUUCGAGCAACAAACACUUUGUUUUCCAAAGGCUUGUAGAACAAGUAUCCAAACGAAUUUUGUGGAUAAUCAAUGAAGUAACACUUCUCUGACCGGGGUUCGAGCUUGUCAUUCGCCUCGUGAAGAACAAAAUCUUCGCAUCCCCAAACCUUUAUAUGUGCUAGAUAAGGACUUGUCGCACUCCACGUUUCAGAGGGUGUUUUAGCAACCUGCGUAGUAGAUACGAGAUUUAGGAUAUGGGCGGUUGUCUCUAAGGCAUACCCCCAAAAAUAUAUCGGAAGUGUAGCUCGACUCGUCAUAUAUCGAACCAUGUCUAACAAAGUUCGAUUUCUCCUUUCAGCCACACCAUUCAACUGCGGUGUUCUGGGAGGAGAUAAUUGUGAAACUAUUCCACAAUUCUUUAGAUGAUCGUAGAAUUCAAGACUUAAAUAUUCUCCACCCCUGUCGGAUCAGAGCAUCUUGAUCUUUCUGACCAAUUGGUUCUCUACUUCAUUUUGAAACUCUUUGAACACCUCAAACGUUUCUGACUUAUGUUUGAUUAGAUACAUAUAUCCAUAUCUACUAAAAUCAUCAGUAAAAGUCACGAAGUAUCUUUCUCCAUGUCUUGUGGCAGAUUUGAAGAGUCCACAAAUAGCUGUGUGGAUGAGGUCCAACAAAUCUUUGCCUCUUUCACAGUGGCCUGUGAAUGGCACUUUUGUUAUCUUUCCAAGUAAGCAAGAUUCACAUACAUCAUCCGAUUUGAGGUCGAAUGAUUCCAAGAUUCCAUCAGAUUGGAGCUUGGCAAUGCGUUUCUUGUUUAUAGGCUAAUUCGACAAUGCCACAAACAUGAUUUAUCUAAUUCACUAUUAGACGAACCAACAUUCAUUAUUAGUUCAUCAAUAUCACCAUUACAAACAAUACUUUCAUACACACCUUUACAAGGACUAGCUUUAAAAAUAAAACAAUCAUUCUUAUAAACCAAAAUGUCGCCAUUAUCAUUAUCAAAAGAAAAACGACAACCAUCCUUAUAAAGUGCAUGAAAGGAAAUAACGUUUCGUGCCAUAUUAGGAGAGUAGCAACAAUUUAAUAAACUAAGAUAAACACCACCACUAAGCAUGAGCUCAUAAUUCCCAAUCCUUGUAACAGCUGACUUGUGCCUAUUUCCCAUGAUUAGGUUGAGCUCACCAUGCUUCAACUUCUUACUUUGUCUUAGUCCCUGCAUAUCAGAGCAAAUGUGAGUACCACACCCUGUAUCAAGAAUCCAAGAACUAGAAAUAGAUGUGCUAUGGAGUUCUAUCAUGAACAUACCUGAGGUGCUAGCCACCUUGACUUUGCCUUUCUUAAGGUCCUCGAUGUAUUUAGGGCAGCUAUGCUUCCAGUGUCCCUUUUCUUGGCAGUAAAAACAAUGGGCUUCACUUGGAUUGGCAGAAGGAGCUAUUUCAGCUUGAGCCCUUUUCUUGGGAGCAGGUUCAGACUGUCCAACCUUACCCUUACGCUUUCCUUUGGGUUGAGGCGCCCUUUUCCUUUGAGCAGAACCACGAUCAAUAGCUAGUACGGGAGUAGUAGGGUUAGAGUUGUUGGGCUUCUUCAUGCUCGCUUUAGUAGUUUUGAGCAUGCCAUGCAACUCCAUCAAGGUCUUGUCAAGGCCAUUCAUAUUGAAGUUCAUGAUGAAUUACGAAUAUGAACUAGUAAGCGAGUUCAAAACCAUGUCUAUGUCCAACUCCUUAGGCAGCUCGACACCUAGAUUCCCAAGUCUGUCUAUGUAUGACUUCAUCUUUUGGACAUGCGUACACAUAGAAUCUCCCUCUCGUAGUUUACAUGCCAUGGGGUACUUGACGAUCUCGAAUCGUUCUUGCCUAGCUUGCUCUUGGAACAUCUCCUCGAGUUGCUGGUUUUUGUCAAACGCACCCCAUGUUUCAAAGUUCUUUUGGAGACCAGAAGCCAUGGUCGCUAACAUAAGGCAAGCCACUUUGGUUGAUUCAUUGUAAUGCUUGUUGUAGGCAGUAACUUCUUCUGGGGCAGGAUUCUCUCCAAGUAUGGGAACAUCUUCGUCAAGAACAUACUCUUUGUUCUCAUAUCUUAACGUGAUCCUCAAGGUCCUGAUCCAAUCAAGAUAGUUGCAUCCAUCCUCCUUGAGUUUCUCCUUAUUAAGAACCGGCAUUAGAGAGAAGUUUGAGUUUUGAGUUAGAGGAGGAGGAGGAGGAAGAUUGUUGUUGUUGUUUGCUUGGUUCGACAUCUACAAAAGAUAAGAUUCCAAUUAGUUUGAUACAAAUCCUUAAUUAGCAAUUACCCUAAAACAAAUUACUAGAAUAAGGCUAGGAUCCAUAUUUGGCUUCAUGAUGUGUAAAGGGAUGUCGUAAACACACCAUGAAGUUAUUUACGUAGACAAAGCUCUUUGUUAAUUCAAUCACUAUGAAAUUCCUAGAUCUUUUAGAUUCGUUGACUAUCAACAACAUGUUAAUCUCGGAUUAUGUUCAUCUCAAAUUCAAUGAUGGGUAUGUCACGGAUCAUUGAAUAGAUGGUGAGUCACCCAUACAAAAUUGCGUGGUCCCCGGCUCAAGUUACGCUUGAGAUUCGCGAGUCCCACAUCAUUCUUUACCUAUACUCUCAAAUUGACGUGCCGGUUAACCACACCAGCUCCAUCAGCAAGUUAUAAAGAGAAUGUGCAAUUUUUAUGGAUAACAUAAGAUUCACUUUUAUUCAAAUAAAACGGGAUUUUGUUUUAUACUUGCAUUUAGAAUACUUUUAGAUUGACCAUCAUCACUAUCAAACCUUUUCGGUAACUUCAUUCUCAAAAUGCAAUAGGAAUCAUAGAGACCUCCUUAAACCCCUACAUUAGAACGGGUGCGCCUAGUCGAGGUAAGACCGACAAUGUCAAUAUUUAAAAUAUGCGAGGACGCAUAUUGUAAUUCUCUUAUACAUACAAUAUAUGAAUCUUACAUAUAUAUAAGGGGUAAAUUUAAAACACUUUAAAUUUAGUUGUCUAUUAUUAAUUAAAAUUAAUUACAAGGAUGCAAUAUAAUAACUAAUAAAACAUGAGGGGUUGAUAUUCAAAUUUAUAAAACUCUUAUUAUAAAUAAUAUUUAAAUCCAUUAAAUAAUAAUAAAUAUUCAAAUUUAGAUUAUGAUUAAAUAAUAUUUAUCCAUAAAUAUUCAAAUUUAAAUAAAAAAACAUUUAGAUAAUAUUUAAUUUUCCAAAUCUAAUCCAAUUAGGUAUUUAUCCGUGCAAGAUAAAGCUUGAAUUCGAAAAAUAAGCAAGAUUAAAAAUGAUAAUUCUGAUAUGCCUAUGUUCACGUCAUGAACUACUCCUUCACGUCAUGAAUUAGGGUUUUUAACAAGUUACCAAUUUUUCAAUCAAACUUUCAUCAUUCAGUUCCAAAACAAUAUUUUCAGAAAACAUGAUGUAGGGUGAAGGACACCAUGAACCAAUGGCUCUGAUACCACUGUUGGGAAAUACAUGCAUCAAAUACACUCUAUAACUAGGCAGCGGAAGAAUCGAAACAACAAAACGAUUUACCUAAGUGUACAUGCACCCUAUGGAUCUAUGGCUUUAUACUAUUACUUCUAACCUAUGAAAUCCGAAAAUAAAAGGAAGAAUACUAACCUCUUUAGCAACCAAUGAUCUUCGAGCUUGACUCCUUGUGCGUGCCACCUUGUUUGGAUGAUGAGGAUCCUAACUAGAAUCCCUUUCUUGGUUCACACCCAAUGAACUCAAAAGAGUAUAAGCAAAUAUUAAACUAGGAGAGAUGAACUAAAAGAAAGUUCUUCCACAAUGAGGGAGAAAGAAGGUGGCGAAUACUCAAGCCAGAAUGAGCAAGGAGGAAUGCAUCCCUAAGGCCCUAUUUAUAGCCUUGGAUACCUCCUAGGGUUUUAUCCUUCCACCCAUGUGGGAUGGGAUAGGCUAUGAACGAAAUUCCCUUUAUCCAAAGGGAAUUUUCGUCCAACCCCCUUCCUUCUAGGGUUCUGGAAUGUUCCCCGAUUAACCAACUAUUGAUUAAUUCACAUUCAACCCUUCUAUCAAUUAAACUAUUAAUUAAUUCUCAAAUUGUUUUCUAAUUAGUUUCUAAUUAAUUAUUAAACCAUAAUAAUUAAUAAACUAAUUACUCCUAUUAUUUAUUCUACUUAAUUUUGAGUCUUGAGGGCAACCCAAGAGGACCCUGCUAUUAUUAGAAAUAUCACCAAUUAGUUAAUGAACAUGGACACACUUCCAACAAUGACUCCAUUAGAGGCAUUAGAUUUGUGGUGCUAAGCUUCCAAGAAGAUCAAGAUCAAAAGGAAUAUCAAUUGUUUGCUAUAACAAUUGAAAGGUAUGUAACUCUUAAACCUUAAUUGGUUAAUUUCAAAAAUAUCCUCUCUCCUUAGGGUUCAUGUUUUGAAAUUCAAAGUUAUAUGUUCAAUAGUUAAAACAUAAAUCCAAAGUAGGUUGCAUAUGAACUUAGGAAUUGUUUUUUUAGUUUAUUUGUUUUACCUAAAACCCAACAGUGGUAUCAAAGCGAUUGGUUUUGUUUUAAAUUGAAUAGUUAUAAUAGUUUAAUUGUAAAUUAGGGUUUAUAACUAUUAAACCCUAAAAGGCCAAUUUUUGUUUUUAGGUUUUUUUUGGUUCAAAGGGCUUUUCGAAAAAACCCUAGCCUCCAUGAACCUUAAUCGAAAUUAGGGUUCGGGUUUUGAAAACCCUAGCCUCCUCCCUUGAAUUUUGAAAUUUACAUGGUAUUUUUAGGGUUUCUUAUUUUUUGGAUAAUUGUUACCUAAUUGGAUAAUUGAGAAAAACAUGGGAAUUAUCCUAUAUCCUAUAUUUCGAAAUCUAGAGGGAUAUGGAUUAGGAUUAAAUUAAAUGUUUAAUUUGAUUAGAUAAUCCUUACGAGAUUUAAUAAAUUAAUUAAAGGUUAAUUAAUAGAUAAUUAUUAAAACUAGUUAGUUGGUUUAUUUUAAAUUUAAAUUAAAAGUUUAAUUUUCGAAAAUUUUAAGAUAAACCCCAAAGUUUUAAAAGGUUUAAAACACACCUUAUAUAUGUAUUAUAAUUAAAAGUUAAAUAUUAUAUAUGUAUAAGAAUAUGUUCAGUCAAAUCGCUAGUAUGCCUCAUUCACAAAGCUAAUCUGUAAGGGAGGUAUAAGGAAACUGCCUAUAAAAUGGUAGUUGAAUGGGUGUCCACUCUCACCCACCGCUUCCUUGAUUAGUGGAGGGUCGUUAGCAGAACGGAUUUUAUAGGACAACUAAAUCUCAUUAAAAGUAUAAUAUUAUUAAAGAAAGUACGAGAACAUUAUUUUACAAAAAUCCCAACUCUAGUUACUUUAGGAAAAACGUGAAAGGUAUGCUAAUCCAUGAAAUUGCACAUUAUGCUUUAUUGGUCAUUAGUGGAGCGUGUGUGUUUUACCAACACACUAAUAGACACUAAUAAAGAUUAGUAAUGGGUAUCUCAUAAUUAUCAUUUUGAUGGAGCGUGUGUGGUAUACCGAUACAUUAAUAGUUAAUGAUAAAGCAAACGAGGUUACCAAACACAUUUGCAUGGUUAUUCACAUCCUGUUUGUGAUCCUCGGUAUCCCAGUCAUAAAUAGAAGAGCAUAAUCCGAGAUUAAAACAUGCCACUGAAUAGUUUCAGUGUAUCUCAAAAGGAAUUAGGAAUUUCACUUCGCUUAUUUUGUCUAAUGGUGGAAUAGGUGAAUCGUCAUUCACCUACCUUUAUGAAAUUUACACUUGGAUCUCGGCAUCCCAUUUCUAAGUUGUAAAUCUUCAUAGUUGGAUCCUAACCUUGAUAUGAUAUCUUUGGGUUAUUAUAUUGAGGCGUCUUGAAAUCUAACUAAAACUAUCUUUCUUUUCAGAUGUCUACUCCUGGAAACACUUCUGCUUCAUCAUCCUCCAACCACAACUUCUCUUUACUCAACAUUUGCUCUAAAGUCGUUAUGGAUGGCUCUAACUAUAACGAUUGGAUGUGUAACAUCAAGAUGGCGCUUCGAUUUGAGGAAAAAGAAUAUGUCCUUGAAAAUGAGCUCAAAGAGCUUGAUGAAUCUAAAGACACCCCCAAAGAAUAUGUUGCCUACAAGAAGCACUAUGAUGAUGCUACCAAAGUGGCAUGCAUCAUGGUCGCAACCAUGUCCCCGGAACUGCAAAGGUACUAUGAGGACUACUGGCCUCUUGAGAUGAACAAGGACCUUAUGGAAAAGCACCAUAAGCGAACUCGUCAAGAAAAGUUUGAAGUAGUCAAGUCACUCAUGGCUUGCAAGUUGAAAGAAGAGGAGUCGGUUGUAUCUCAUGUGCAAAGAAUGAAACGCUACAUAGAGCGUUUGGUCAAGCUCAACAUUCACUUUGAUGAGGAAUUGGCCAUUGACAUGGUUUUGAACUCAUUACCCGAUUGUUAUGGUCAGUUUAUCCUAACUUACCAUUUGAACAACACUGAGCAGACACUGGCCCAAUUGCACAACUUGUUGCAAGCAUAUGAGGCAGGGAUGAUGGGUAAAAGUAUAGCCUUUACUCCUACAAGUGCUCAUGUCUUAGCUAUUGGACAGGGAGAGGGGGAAAAGAGGAAAGGUCCUCCUAAGCAAAACUGGAAUGGAAAGGUCCAAGUUGGGUCAUCUAGCAGUGGCCCAAAGGCUAACCCAGUGCUACCAUUCCCCAUGUUUCUGAUCCAAAGGAUGCUAUUUGCUUUUAUUGCAAUGAAAAAUGGCAUUGUAAGGUAACCUGCCCAAAGUAUCUGCAAGAUAUCAAAGAUGGCAAAGUGAAGCCAUCUUUGGCAGGUAUUUACACUAUUUCUUCUAAUAACUCAUUAUCUUCUCGUUCAUGGGUCCUUGAUACAGGAUGUGGUUUUCAUAUCUAUUUUGACUUGUAGGGGCUAAAGGAAAGUGAGGAGAUAGAGCGAGGAAGGAUAAACUUAAUCAUGGGAAACAAGAAGUCUUCACCAGUGACCAGGAUCGGAGUUUAUCAACUUUUGCUUAGUAAUGAUGUUAGAUUAGAUUUAAUGAAUUGUUGCUAUUCGUCUGAGAUGACGAGAAACAUUAUUUCAUUUCAUGCAUUGUUCUGACAAGCUUUUAAAUAUUCUUUUAAUGAUUUGAAUGGUUCAAUUUCUGUUUAUAAGAAUGGUGUUUUCAUGUUUGAAGCUUUGCCUUGUGAUGGUGUGUAUGAAACAGUGACUUGUGUUGAUAGCUUAGGAAAUAGUAUGUUUAAUAUUGAGUUGUCUAAUAGUGUAGAUAAUGCAUGCUUGUGGCAUUGUCAUCUUGGACACAUUAACAAGAAACACGUAGCCCAACUUCAGAAAGAUGGAGUGUUGGAAUCAUUUGACCUAAAAUCAGAUGAUAGGUGUGAGUCUUGUCUUUUGGGAAAGAUGACAAAAUCACCAUUCACAGGGUCUUGUGAAAGAGGUGAAGAUUUGUUGGACCUCAUACAUAAAGACGUGUGUGGACCCUUCAGAUCUACCACAAGAGAUGUUAAUCAAUUUUAUGUGACUUUCACUGAUGAUUAUAGUAGAUAUGGAUAUAUAUAUACAUAAUCAAACAUAAGUCAGAAACCUUUGAAAAGUUCAAAGAGUUUAAACAUGAAGUCGAAAAUCAAUUGGCCAGAAAAAUAAAGAUACUUAGAUCUGAUAGAGGCGGAGAGUAUCUUAGUAUUGAGUUCAACGACUAUCUAAAAGAAUGUGGGAUAGUCUCACAAUUGACUCCUCCUAGGACACCACAGUUAAAUGGUGUGGUUGAGAGGCAUAAUCGAACCUUGUUAGACAUGGUUCAUUCUAUGAUGAGUCGUGCUUCACUUCCAAUUCAUUUCUGGGGCUAUGCCUUAGAGACAGCCGCCCACAUCCUCAAUCUUGUCUCGACAAAGAAGGUUGCCAAAACACCUCACGAGAUGUGGACAGGGAAAGUUCCCUCAUUAGCACAUAUUAACGUCUGGGGUUGUGAAGCUUUCGUAAGACGAGAGACUUACGAAAAGCUAGCAACAAAAAGUGAGAAAUGUGUUUUCAUUGGUUACCCAAAACAGUCUUUUGGAUAUUUGUUCUACAGACCUAGUGAGAACGUGGUUUUUGUAGCAUAAGAAGAGUCUUUCUAGAAAGAGAGCUCAUAUUCAAAGAGGACAGCGGGAGUACCAUUGACCUUAAAGAGAUUCAAGAGUCAACUACUGAAGGAACCUUAGAUGACACUAGCACUCAACCAGAGGAAACAGUUCAUGUUGAACCAGUUGAUAAAUCAUUACCUCUUCGAAUAUCCACUAGGGUGAGUGUGCCACCUGAGUUGUAUGGUUUUCGUAUUACUUCAGAUGGUGAAAUUUAGAUGAACCAGUAUCUUAUAAGGAAGCAAUGGCAGGCCUAGAGGCUUCCAAGUGGAAAGAUGCAAUGGAAAGCGAGAUAAAGUCCAUGUAUGAAAACCAAGUUUGGAAUUUGGUUGAUAAUGCACCAGGUUGUAAGACAGUUGGGUGCAAAUGGAUCUUCAAGACGAAGAUAGACAUGGAUAGGAAUGUACACACAUUCAAGGCUAGACUGGUUGCGAAAGGUUUCACCAAACCCCACGGGUUCACUAUGAUGAAACCUUCUCGCUAGUAGCCAAGAUUAAAUCUAUCAGGAUAUUGCUCGCUAUAGCUGCCUUUCAUGACUAUCAAAUCUGGCAGAUGGAUGUCAAGACUUCUUUCUUAACGGGAAGUUGGUUGAGGAUGUUUACAUGAAUCAGCCAGGGGGUUUUGUUGAUGCAAAGUUUCCCAAUAGAGUGUGUAUGCUUGAGAAAUCCAUUUAUGGAUUGAAACAAGCAUCUCGCAGAUGGAAUCUUUGCUUCCAUGAGAAAUUCAAAGAGUUUGGCUUCUCUAGUAGUGAAGAUGAGUUUUGUGUGUAUAUCAAGGCUAGUGGGAGUAUAUUGACUUUCCUGGUGUUAUAUGUCGAUGACAUAUUACUCAUUGGUAACGACAUUCCAACCUUGGAUGAAGUUAAGUCUUGGCUUGGAAAGUGUUUUUCCAUGAAAGACGUUGCAGAAGCUGCCUAUAUUCUUGGGAUUAGAAUAUUGAUAGAUAGAAAGAAGAGACUAAUUGGACUUAGUCAGAGAACAUACUUGGAUAAGGUACUAAAGAGGUUUAGUAUAGAAAAUUCCAAGAAGGGAGAGCUACCUAUCCAGAGAAACACAAAAUUGAUUAAGACUCAGUUCCCUAGUACAGAUGAGGAACUAGCUGACAUGAGUCGUGUACCUUAUUCUUCCGCUGUCGGAUCGAUCAUGUACGCUAUGACAUGUACUCGCCCUGAUGUAGCCUUUGCUUUGAGCAUGGUCAGUCGCUAUCAAGGAAACCCGGGUAGAGCUCAUUAGAUAGCAGUAAAGAAUAUACUCAAGUAUUUGCGAAGAACGAAUGACUGGGUCCUUGUACUUGGUAGCAAUGAUACUUUGAGAGUAGAUGGUUACAGUGAUGCCAGCUUUCAAACGGAUAAAGAUAACUUUCGUCCUCAAUCUGGCUGGGUAUUUCUACUGAAUGGAGGAUCAGUUACAUGGAAAAGUCCCAAGCAAGAUACGGUGGCUGAUUCUACUUGUGAAUGAGAGUACAUAGUAGCGAGUGAAGCGUAUAAAGAAGCAUCUUGGUUAAGGAACUUCAUCGGGGAUCUCGGAGUUGUUCCAACCAUCCAGGACCCUAUGGAAAUGUUAUGCGAUAAUGAGGGAGCGGUUGCCUUAACUAAGGAACCCAGAGAUCAUGGUAAAACCAGACAUAUCGACAGAAAGUACCAUUUCAUUAGACAUAGAGUAGAAGAAGGCCAUCUUGUUGUAAAGAGGGUGUCAUCUGAAGAUAACCCAACAGACCCCCUCACAAAGGGUCUAAGUAGGGCUAAGCAUAUUCAGCAUGCUCGGAGCAUAGGGAUGAAAGAUGAUAUUAGUUUUUGUAGUUAGAUUAGUCUGGUUCAGAAACUUGUUACAAAGUAAAUGUAAUUGACUUUUAGCGAUUAAAUAAUAAAGUAUGAUUUAUGAGUUAGUUUACUGCCUUUUGUCAAUUGUUUAUUAUUGUGUUUCAUAUUUUGCAUGUUUUACUUCCCGAAUAAUAUGAUUGUUCAAACUCCACAGUCGCUCGUACUUUUGGGAGUAAGUAGUGAAUGAAGACUGUCACGAAUUGGAUUGCAGAUUGUCUAAGGAUAGACAUAGCAAUAGAAUUGAUGCAAUGUUUAUGAGUAUUCAGAAAGUGAGAUUUGAGUAUUGGAUAAACCCACGCUCAGAGUAUUACUUCAUGGAAUUCAUCACAAGUAAUACUAAGACGAUAAUAUCUAUUAUCUUGAAAUAGAGAUAUAUGAGUUGUAAUUUUCAUGUCGGAUAUACAUUGGUGAUACGAAAACGCAUCAGUAACUUGGUGUUAUAAAACGUAUUGUCAUGUAAUGUUUGAUGAGUGAAAGAUACAAGCAUAUGAGUCAAUAUUUAUUCGUUCCUUUUUCCCUAACGGGAAAAGCGAUAUAUAUGGGCCCCUCGAUGAUUUGGUGUUGACUUUUGUGCUGGGCCCAACCAGGACUAAAUUGAUGUGUUCGAUUAGAAGUCUUAUAUCAUCUCAAAUCAGAAAUCAGGAAACAUAGAUUCUAGACAAAGAGAUUGAUUAUAUUCCAUGUCUUAUGUCUAGGGAUAUCUAGUAUAACGAAGGGUCAUGUGAUCACUUAUCUUAGGACACGUAACUGACUAGGUCAGAGUUUGGCAGCAGCUUUUGGAAGCUACAAUUUGCUGGUCAAAUUUAGAAGUCAUACUAGCAAUUAUAGUUAUAGACUUAUCCAAGUAGGAGACUGUUGGAUUAGGUGUCUAAGCCCGUAACUAUAAUUGGUAUUUACUUCAAUUGAUAGCAACACAGUCCUUUUGGGUUGCCCUCAAACCUAGCAGCCAGACAAGGAAAUUAUGAAAUGAGAGAUAUUUAUUUAUUAUAGAUUAAUAAAUUAAUAUAAAUGAUUUAUUAAUAUGUUAAAAGAUUAAUAUAUUAAUUAGAAAUCAUAAUUUUUAAUUAAUAGUUAGCCAGAAAUAAAUUAGAAUUAAUUUUGGGGCUAACUGUAUUAAUUAUAAAGUGUAGGGACUAGUUUGCAAUUAUCUAAUAGUUGAGUGGAAGGUUCCAGAGCCUCCUUGGAAGGGGUUGGACGCAAUUUAUAGGGGAAACCCUAAUAAUUUCGUCCAAGGGGCUUGGAUAAAGCUUUUGGAUGAGCUUAGGCCCCAAGCAAAGGAGCAUUAGGGUUUUCCCUAAACCCUAGAUCCCUCGGCUAUAUAAGGAGCCUCCUGGCUCUCAAAAUUGGUCACUCCUUCUUUGAAGAAGCCCUAGGGCCGAUUUUUGCAUACCCUAACCUCUCUCCUUCAAGUUUCCUUCUUGCUAGUUUUUGGGAGUGACUCCAUUAGAGGCAUUACAUUUGUGGUGCUAAGUUUCCAAGAAUAUCAAGAUCAAAAGGAAUAUCAAUUGUGUGAUAUAACAAUUGAAAGGUAAGUAACUCUUAAACCCUAAUUGGUUAAUUUCGAAAAUAGCCUCUCUCCUUAGGGUUCUUGUUUUGCAAUUCAAAGUUAUAUGCUCAAUAGUUAAAACAUAGAUCCAGACUAGGUUGCAUGUGAGGUUAGGAAUUAUUUUUAUAGUUUAUUUGUUUUACCUAAAACCCAAAAGAAUGCACUAGAGGAUUUUUGUGGUAUAGAUGCCUUGAGAUGAGACGAAGGGUAUGCUUCUUUGGAUAUAGGCAGGUGAGGUGCUAGCCAAUGGUUUUAGGUGAAUUGGGAGCGACAACUUUUGUUAUAUCUAAUGUAUACCGACUAUGAGGAUAAUUCCUUUUGUAUGUGUGAAUGAUUUUUGCGAUGAACUAACGGUUGGGUAUUUGUAGACAAGGAGUAUGGUAGUCGGUUUGUUCUAGAGAGGGAAUUGUUGUUAUGAAUGAGCUGUCAGAAUUAUUGCUUGAGCAGUUGCAUGGGACUCUUGAUAUUAGAUGCGGUUGUGGUUGCAGAAGUUCCCGAGGUCAUAUCUGAGAUUCAGAAUCUCUUGGGGUUUGCUUGGUUUUUAUCUGGAAGAUCAUCUGGUGUUUUGUUGUAUAUUCAAAGGGUCUAAAUUCUAUUUACCUGAUUGGGUCGGUCUGAGAUAUGGUUUGUUUACAAUGCUAGUUGGUGGUAGUAUAAACUCUAAGUAAGGGAGAACUAGGCAUUUUUCUCAAAGGAACAUCGAUUUGUUCAGUUUAAGGUAUCGGAAGAAUGGUUUGUAGGGAUCUACGGUUCGGGUAUGUGGGAAUUUGGUUCAAGGUUUAGUCAAGACGGGGGUGCAGAGCAAGUUACAAUCAGAUAUAUGUGUUUAGGAAUGCAAGAGUCGUCUUCGUGGCAAGAAGCUAUCGACCAAGGAACUCGAUGUAGCCUGUGGUUCCUUUUCGAAACGUUGAGGAAUAGGUCAAGAGGCGUUUUGGUUGCUCAGGUUGGGUAUCGAUUGCUCAAGGAUUUUCUCAGCUUGUUGUCUAAAUUGAUAUCAAUAGCCUAGUAUGGGCAGUUGCUGAUCGGUCAAUUAGUUUUAGAGUUUGUAUGUUUAGUCCCUCAUGGGGUUUGUAUUGUAGUGUAUUGGAUCAAUGGAUAGGAUGUCAAUGCAUCCUCGAUCGUUGGUCAUUUCGUUCAUCAUCAAUAGUGGAAAUUCUUUGGAAGUUUCAGGUUAUAUCAGUUGAAGUUUAAUGGAUGUGUCAACCUAUCCUCAAGUUCGGCUCGAGUUUAGAAGAUGUCCUUGGUUAUUGGGAACCUAGAAUUUGUGACAAUGUUGUUCGGUUUUACAGACGGGACAUUAGAUUUGCGGAGAAUCUAAUUUUUGGCAUGUUGUGCUAGCAGGGUUGAUAAUUGGAUGGAUCCGACCAUGGUUUUAGCAACAUUUCUGGUUAACUUUAAAAAUUUUAUCGAGCUAGUUAUGUAUUGAUGGAAUCUGUUUCAGUCGUUUAUGAGGAUGUUUUUGUUAAUGAUUGAGGGUCAUCAUUUCAUUAGAUCUACUAGUACUUCACCCUUUGAAUAAAGUUGUGAGGAUAACGGGACGACAUCAAGAUCGAUGUAGUAUCUUGAGUUUAUCGUUUUACUGGUUGUAAGGUGUCACAAUUUAUUGUGAAUGAGUGCCUAUAUGAUUCUUGUGGGUGAGACCCGGUAGUCGCUUGGUUGAGACUCUUAGGUCUCAGAUCGUUAGUCUUCUUGGCAUGGUUGGAUGUUAGUGCGUUGUUUUGGGUAGUCAGGAGUCUCGGUGAAAAGCUGGUUGGGAUGAUGUGGCCAGAAAAGGUUAUUUCAGUUGAUAUAUUAUUUAUGCACCGGAUGUCGCUUAAUAAAUGUUUGCUAUAUGGAUCUCGUCUUCUCUUGGUCUGUCUAUUAGGAGUUUGGUUUCCAGUGUGUGGUGAUGGUUUUGAAAUCUAGAGUAACGAAGUCGUUGUAGAUUUCUCAAGUGAUUUGUCAGGUGGAUGUACACCUGAGUUGAUGAGGGGUUUUGAUGCAACAUGCGAAUUCUUGGACGGACCAUCAUUAUGCUCGUGGGAGCAAAGGGUUGAUUUAUGUUUCAAAGUUUAGUUGUAAUCUUGGAUGAUCAAUUGAAUGGAAUUAUCUUAUUUAGCUUUGUUCUAAUUGAUUUUCAUUAUGAGUGGAUUAAUUAUCUUUCCUCUCAGAUGCAUGCAUGAUGGAGUUUGUGAAUGUUGUGUGAAUUGAGAGCCUCUUGGUAUCUGGUUAUCAAUGGAUUGGGGGUAAGCCUGGGUUCUGUUGUCGAUUAGUGGAUCAGCGUUAAGCCUGAGUGUUAUCAGUAGAUAGUUAAGCAGGGCUGACAGAGUCGAGUAGAAGCGUGGUCUAGUUUGGUAUGUGAUCAGUUGGUUCUCGUUAUUAUGGUGCACUUAUGUGCAGGAUUAGCACGAAAGCGAUUGGGCAAGGAUGUUUAUAGUCGAUCAAUCAGCCGGUUUUCGAUUAGUUGGUUGAUUUGAGGGGUUGCAUAAUGAAGUGGAAGUGAGAGUUGAUUUCGAGGACAAGAUCUAAUUUAAGUGGGAGAGAAUUGUAACAUCAUGUUUCCUGCCAUUUCUAAGCUGUGGGCCGGAAGUUGAUUGUGUAAGGCUUUGGGCCUUAAGGAGGCAAAGUUUAGUCUUUGUAGAAGGAUUUAAUGAUAGUUAAGAGAUUUAACCUUUGAAUUGUGUUUUGGGCCGAAGGGUCGAAAGGGAAAAGUCAUAGGCUGGUUCUUGCAUGAAAUAUGGAUUUUUGUUCGAGGAGAUUUUACUCCAAGAUAUUUAGAUGAUAGCGUGGGCCUUUUCAAAACCUUUAGGUGGAUCUAAAGAUCGUCAAAAAUGGAGUUCAAAUGAAGAGGCUAUAGCAGUUUGAAUCUGGUGAUGGAGGUGGUAGUACGUUGGGCAUACUAGCUGAUCAAGAGGCGUUAUUCAAGAGCGUACGCUGGGUGUACCAAUUGGUAUGGUGGGCAUACGCGAUCAGAUGCCAAACCAUUAAUCUGAGGGUUUUGUGCCCUAUUUAAGCUCCUUAACUCCCGCAAACCCUUUCUAUUCUCAGCCCCCCCCCCCUUUCAACGUCAUCCCUUGUAACCCUAACCCUAGUUUGAGCCUUGUGAGCAAAAAGAAGGUGUUUUUAAGUUCUUUGGAGUGUUCUUGGUGCAUCUUGGAAAAGAAGGAGCCCAUUAGAGAAGUGUUGGUUGCAUUUAGGGGUGUUGAUCAGGUAAAAUUUUCGGGUUUCGGGUAGAACGGGUCGGGUAGUUCAGGUAUUUCCUUAAAAUAAUAAUACCCGAUACCCAACCUAUAUUGUCAUUCGGGUUCUUGGGUUUCGGGUAUUCAGGUUUUAGGUCGGGUCAGGUAUUUUCGGGUAUACCAGAAAAUUAAGUAAGUGUCACAUAUUGAUUUUUUUUUAAUUUUUUUUGCAUUUCGGUUGCUUUAAUAAAAAAAUUGGGUAACAAAAUAUUCCACACAAUUAACAAGUACAUAUAAGAUAACAAUACAUGUCAUUAUAAUAUGUUACGUGAUUUUUGUAUUCCAUUUCAAAUUUUGAUAAAAAAACAGUUUAUGGAGUACAUAAUCAGUGUUUGAUCAAAUUUGGAUUAGCCAAACAUGUUACAUGAUUUAAUGCAAAAGGUGAGUUCAUAAAAGUUACAAAUAAAAAAUUUAGCAUGUUAUCUAAAUUGAAGGGAACAAUUAUAUAGCUAUAUUUCAAUUCACAAAGAAGAAAUGACAAAAAAAGAAACAUGUGCAUAGUUGAAAAAAAAACAGAUCUGUAGUGCAUAAAGAAAGUGAAGGGGAAUCUAACAUCUCGUUCAUUUUCAUUAUAUUUGUUGUAACACUAGGUGUAAACCCGUGUAAUACACGGGAUGAAUAAAACAAUUUAAAUAUCAAAAUAUAAACAUUAAACAUUUUUUUAAAUAAAAUUUGAAAUAAGGAAUAAAGAAUUAUCGUAUUUGUUACAUUUGAUACUUUACAUAUAUAACUAUAUAAGUAUUAUAUGGUUUUUAAAUUUUAAAAAUCGAAUAAAUCCAAAAUUGACAUGUGGAUAUUACUUAUUUCAAAAAUAGUAUAAAAUGACAAGUGUCAAAACUCAUGAGAGAUUGACAUGUGGCAAAAUGGAUCUUCAUUUAUUAUAGUUGAUUCUGUUCAAAACUUCAUCUCAUUUUCAAUAAUUUCUUUUGUAUUUACUAUAUACCGUUCAAAUAAUGAAGCCAUAUAACAUUUGGUUUAAAAUAUAAGGAACAAUAAUUAUAUAAAAUAAUGAUACAACUUUAAUAGUUAUUAUAACUAGUGUAUUAAUUAGUUUUUUUUUAAAUCGGGUAUUCGGGUAUAUCCAAAUUUUUUUAAACCUACCCAAUACCCGACCUAUUUAAAUAUUGAGUUUCCCGAUUACCCGAAUGUUCAUACCCGAAACCUGAUUUACCCGACCCGAUCUACCUGAAUUCAAAACGGGUCUGGUCGGGUAAUCGGGUAUUGGGUAUUUUCAUCAGGCCUAGUUGCAUUGGAGCUUGUAGAUCCAAACCUUGUUCAACUUCAUCUUUCCUUUAGAGGUAUAAACUUUGAAUCUUGAUGUGGCAUUUGUUAGAUUUAGUUAGUUUUGGGUGUUCUGAGCUUUUGGUCACUGUAAGUGCAUAAAGUUUAGAUCUUGAAAGUUUUUAACCUUGUCAUGGAUAAAUGUAAAGUCCCAAACUUGCCCGUGUAUCAGUCAGAUCCGUUUGAUGGUGCAGAAUCCCAAUCAAACGGAUGAUGCCAGAUAAAAUAGAAGAGAAGAAGGAGAAGAAUAAUAUGAAUCUUCGUAUGAUAUGAUUAGAAUUAUGAUCCGGAUACAAGAGAUUCACACACAGAUAAAGCUCCCGUUUCUCUCCUCUCUGGCCGUAAACUCCUUAGGGUUUAUCAAUCUCAUCAAUCUCUACUCCUCACCCUAACACCUCUAUUUAUACUAGGGGAACAUGAGCCGGAAACAAAUGGGCCGUAAAUGGGUUUACGGCCGUAAGGUGUUUACGGCCGUAAACUCAGCCGUAAACAAGGCCAUAAAUUCAUAAAAUAUUACACAAAAAUAUAAUUGCCCAGAAAAGUAAAGUAUAAACCAUAUUUUGACCCAACAAUCUCCCCCUUGGUUUAUAGCUUUCUUUUCUUAAUUGACCCAACAAGCUCCCCCUAAAAAGUAGCUGACUUUCUUGAGAAUCUUCAUUGGGAACUUGGCUUCAACAUUAAGCUACAAAUUCUUCACAGCAUCAGGAUGAACAUAUGAAUCUUCAAUGAAUGACUUCAUCUUGAGCACUUGGGCUUUUCUUCAGAGUUUGGCAUUGAUCGCACAUUGGGUGAGGAGGCUUGACGUACUGAUUCUUGAAAAAAUAGCGCUUUCAGCUUGAGAAUCUUCAGAGAGAACUAAACUUCUAGAUCACUUCAGCAGGUACAACAAUAGCAGCAGACUGAUUGAGGAGACUUCAAUGCAAUCUGUCACAUAAUCUUCAAAUGCAGCUUCACCUUGCUUCUGGGGUUGAAGGAUUGAAUGUUGAAAGAAUGAUCUUCAUUUCUUGCUCCUUCGAAUGAGAAUUCUUCGAUGCUCACGGACGAGGCUUUGGCUCAGAAAUCUUCAACACAAACUCCAUGAGUCUUAUCUAUACCUGAAAUCACUAUUCAAGACAAAAACAAAACUAAAAGAAAACUUAGCACACAAAUUAAAAUAGAAACAAAAAUAUUUUUGGAUUUUUGAUUUUUCUGAACAAGAAAUAAAACAGAAAUAACACUAUUUUUGGAUUUUUNNNNNNNNNNNNNNNNNNNNNNNNNNNNNNNNNNNNNNNNNNNNNNNNNNNNNNNNNNNNNNNNNNNNNNNNNNNNNNNNNNNNNNNNNNNNNNNNNNNNNNNNNNNNNNNNNNNNNNNNNNNNNNNNNNNNNNNNNNNNNNNNNNNNNNNNNNNNNNNNNNNNNNNNNNNNNNNNNNNNNNNNNNNNNNNNNNNNNNNNNNNNNNNNNNNNNNNNNNNNNNNNNNNNNNNNNNNNNNNNNNNNNNNNNNNNNNNNNNNNNNNNNNNNNNNNNNNNNNNNNNNNNNNNNNNNNNNNNNNNNNNNNNNNNNNNNNNNNNNNNNNNNNNNNNNNNNNNNNNNNNNNNNNNNNNNNNNNNNNNNNNNNNNNNNNNNNNNNNNNNNNNNNNNNNNNNNNNNNNNNNNNNNNNNNNNNNNNNNNNNNNNNNNNNNNNNNNNNNNNNNNNNNNNNNNNNNNNNNNNNNNNNNNNNNNNNNNNNNNNNNNNNNNNNNNNNNNNNNNNNNNNNNNNNNNNNNNNNNNNNNNNNNNNNNNNNNNNNNNNNNNNNNNNNNNNNNNNNNNNNNNNNNNNNNNNNNNNNNNNNNNNNNNNNNNNNNNNNNNNNNNNNNNNNNNNNNNNNNNNNNNNNNNNNNNNNNNNNNNNNNNNNNNNNNNNNNNNNNNNNNNNNNNNNNNNNNNNNNNNNNNNNNNNNNNNNNNNNNNNNNNNNNNNNNNNNNNNNNNNNNNNNNNNNNNNNNNNNNNNNNNNNNNNNNNNNNNNNNNNNNNNNNNNNNNNNNNNNNNNNNNNNNNNNNNNNNNNNNNNNNNNNNNNNNNNNNNNNNNNNNNNNNNNNNNNNNNNNNNNNNNNNNNNNNNNNNNNNNNNNNNNNNNNNNNNNNNNNNNNNNNNNNNNNNNNNNNNNNNNNNNNNNNNNNNNNNNNNNNNNNNNNNNNNNNNNNNNNNNNNNNNNNNNNNNNNNNNNNNNNNNNNNNNNNNNNNNNNNNNNNNNNNNNNNNNNNNNNNNNNNNNNNNNNNNNNNNNNNNNNNNNNNNNNNNNNNNNNNNNNNNNNNNNNNNNNNNNNNNNNNNNNNNNNNNNNNNNNNNNNNNNNNNNNNNNNNNNNNNNNNNNNNNNNNNNNNNNNNNNNNNNNNNNNNNNNNNNNNNNNNNNNNNNNNNNNNNNNNNNNNNNNNNNNNNNNNNNNNNNNNNNNNNNNNNNNNNNNNNNNNNNNNNNNNNNNNNNNNNNNNNNNNNNNNNNNNNNNNNNNNNNNNNNNNNNNNNNNNNNNNNNNNNNNNNNNNNNNNNNNNNNNNNNNNNNNNNNNNNNNNNNNNNNNNNNNNNNNNNNNNNNNNNNNNNNNNNNNNNNNNNNNNNNNNNNNNNNNNNNNNNNNNNNNNNNNNNNNNNNNNNNNNNNNNNNNNNNNNNNNNNNNNNNNNNNNNNNNNNNNNNNNNNNNNNNNNNNNNNNNNNNNNNNNNNNNNNNNNNNNNNNNNNNNNNNNNNNNNNNNNNNNNNNNNNNNNNNNNNNNNNNNNNNNNNNNNNNNNNNNNNNNNNNNNNNNNNNNNNNNNNNNNNNNNNNNNNNNNNNNNNNNNNNNNNNNNNNNNNNNNNNNNNNNNNNNNNNNNNNNNNNNNNNNNNNNNNNNNNNNNNNNNNNNNNNNNNNNNNNNNNNNNNNNNNNNNNNNNNNNNNNNNNNNNNNNNNNNNNNNNNNNNNNNNNNNNNNNNNNNNNNNNNNNNNNNNNNNNNNNNNNNNNNNNNNNNNNNNNNNNNNNNNNNNNNNNNNNNNNNNNNNNNNNNNNNNNNNNNNNNNNNNNNNNNNNNNNNNNNNNNNNNNNNNNNNNNNNNNNNNNNNNNNNNNNNNNNNNNNNNNNNNNNNNNNNNNNNNNNNNNNNNNNNNNNNNNNNNNNNNNNNNNNNNNNNNNNNNNNNNNNNNNNNNNNNNNNNNNNNNNNNNNNNNNNNNNNNNNNNNNNNNNNNNNNNNNNNNNNNNNNNNNNNNNNNNNNNNNNNNNNNNNNNNNNNNNNNNNNNNNNNNNNNNNNNNNNNNNNNNNNNNNNNNNNNNNNNNNNNNNNNNNNNNNNNNNNNNNNNNNNNNNNNNNNNNNNNNNNNNNNNNNNNNNNNNNNNNNNNNNNNNNNNNNNNNNNNNNNNNNNNNNNNNNNNNNNNNNNNNNNNNNNNNNNNNNNNNNNNNNNNNNNNNNNNNNNNNNNNNNNNNNNNNNNNNNNNNNNNNNNNNNNNNNNNNNNNNNNNNNNNNNNNNNNNNNNNNNNNNNNNNNNNNNNNNNNNNNNNNNNNNNNNNNNNNNNNNNNNNNNNNNNNNNNNNNNNNNNNNNNNNNNNNNNNNNNNNNNNNNNNNNNNNNNNNNNNNNNNNNNNNNNNNNNNNNNNNNNNNNNNNNNNNNNNNNNNNNNNNNNNNNNNNNNNNNNNNNNNNNNNNNNNNNNNNNNNNNNNNNNNNNNNNNNNNNNNNNNNNNNNNNNNNNNNNNNNNNNNNNNNNNNNNNNNNNNNNNNNNNNNNNNNNNNNNNNNNNNNNNNNNNNNNNNNNNNNNNNNNNNNNNNNNNNNNNNNNNNNNNNNNNNNNNNNNNNNNNNNNNNNNNNNNNNNNNNNNNNNNNNNNNNNNNNNNNNNNNNNNNNNNNNNNNNNNNNNNNNNNNNNNNNNNNNNNNNNNNNNNNNNNNNNNNNNNNNNNNNNNNNNNNNNNNNNNNNNNNNNNNNNNNNNNNNNNNNNNNNNNNNNNNNNNNNNNNNNNNNNNNNNNNNNNNNNNNNNNNNNNNNNNNNNNNNNNNNNNNNNNNNNNNNNNNNNNNNNNNNNNNNNNNNNNNNNNNNNNNNNNNNNNNNNNNNNNNNNNNNNNNNNNNNNNNNNNNNNNNNNNNNNNNNNNNNNNNNNNNNNNNNNNNNNNNNNNNNNNNNNNNNNNNNNNNNNNNNNNNNNNNNNNNNNNNNNNNNNNNNNNNNNNNNNNNNNNNNNNNNNNNNNNNNNNNNNNNNNNNNNNNNNNNNNNNNNNNNNNNNNNNNNNNNNNNNNNNNNNNNNNNNNNNNNNNNNNNNNNNNNNNNNNNNNNNNNNNNNNNNNNNNNNNNNNNNNNNNNNNNNNNNNNNNNNNNNNNNNNNNNNNNNNNNNNNNNNNNNNNNNNNNNNNNNNNNNNNNNNNNNNNNNNNNNNNNNNNNNNNNNNNNNNNNNNNNNNNNNNNNNNNNNNNNNNNNNNNNNNNNNNNNNNNNNNNNNNNNNNNNNNNNNNNNNNNNNNNNNNNNNNNNNNNNNNNNNNNNNNNNNNNNNNNNNNNNNNNNNNNNNNNNNNNNNNNNNNNNNNNNNNNNNNNNNNNNNNNNNNNNNNNNNNNNNNNNNNNNNNNNNNNNNNNNNNNNNNNNNNNNNNNNNNNNNNNNNNNNNNNNNNNNNNNNNNNNNNNNNNNNNNNNNNNNNNNNNNNNNNNNNNNNNNNNNNNNNNNNNNNNNNNNNNNNNNNNNNNNNNNNNNNNNNNNNNNNNNNNNNNNNNNNNNNNNNNNNNNNNNNNNNNNNNNNNNNNNNNNNNNNNNNNNNNNNNNNNNNNNNNNNNNNNNNNNNNNNNNNNNNNNNNNNNNNNNNNNNNNNNNNNNNNNNNNNNNNNNNNNNNNNNNNNNNNNNNNNNNNNNNNNNNNNNNNNNNNNNNNNNNNNNNNNNNNNNNNNNNNNNNNNNNNNNNNNNNNNNNNNNNNNNNNNNNNNNNNNNNNNNNNNNNNNNNNNNNNNNNNNNNNNNNNNNNNNNNNNNNNNNNNNNNNNNNNNNNNNNNNNNNNNNNNNNNNNNNNNNNNNNNNNNNNNNNNNNNNNNNNNNNNNNNNNNNNNNNNNNNNNNNNNNNNNNNNNNNNNNNNNNNNNNNNNNNNNNNNNNNNNNNNNNNNNNNNNNNNNNNNNNNNNNNNNNNNNNNNNAACUGUUUCCGGCAGUAAGCUCCGGCCGUAAACAAUUUAAGAUUACGUGAAAAUUCGACUUUGAAGCUCCAAAACUCAAUCAAAAACCCCUUUUUAUGAAAAACACAAAGAACAAACCCCUUUUAUUUUUGCGAGAUCUAUCCAAAAACGCAAAAAUAUUUCGAAAAUAAGAUCAAAUAAUGCCCCAAAUAGAGUUUACGGCCCAAGAACUCGGUGUUUACGGCCGUAAGCUUGGACCGUAAACACAGAAUAUUCGAUUUUUGGAUGAAAUAAUGAACCUUUUGACUGAUACAACUUGGCUCUGAUACCAAUUGUAAAGUCCCAAACUUGCCCGUGUAUCAGUCAGAUCCGUUUGAUGGUGCGGAAUCCCAAUCAAACGGAUGAUGCCAGAUAAAAUAGAAGAGAAGAAGGAGAAGAAUAAUAUGAAUCUUCGUAUGAUAUGAUUAGAAUUAUGAUCCGGAUACAAGAGAUUCACACACAGAUAAAGCUCCCGUUUCUCUCCUCUCUGGCCGUAAACUCCUUAGGGUUUAUCAAUCUCAUCAAUCUCUACUCCUCACCCUAACACCUCUAUUUAUACUAGGGGAACAUGGGCCGGAAACAAAUGGGCCGUAAAUGGGUUUAUGGCCGUAAGGUGUUUACGGCCGUAAACUCAGCCGUAAACAAGGCCAUAAAUUCAUAAAAUAUUACACAAAAAUAUAAUUGCCCAGAAAAGUAAAGUAUAAACCAUAUUUUGACCCAACAAUAAAGUUGAAAACUUUAUCCAUCUAAACAUCAUAUUGAUUCAGAUAUGAAAGUUGGAGACUUGGACUUAAUGGAAUAAGUUGAAAAAGAUGCACGUUUGGUCCCUUGGAGACGUAAAGACUAGAUCUUGGUUGUUUGGACCAUCCUAGUGGAUAAAGUUGGAAACUUUAUCCAUUAUGGAGUUAUUAGGAAUCAUAAAAAUAUGAUCUUGCCUCUUCUAUCCCUCCUAUGUAAGAGUUAUGAUCUCUUACUAGGUUAAUAAGUUAGGGCUUUGGAUUUUGGACCUUUUCUAGCCAUGAAAAGUCAUAAAGGUGGAAACUUUAUAAAUUAAGUCGACGUUUUGAUUCUAGAUCUGAGCUUUGGACAAAAGGUCUUAAGUGAUAAAGUACUUAAUGGAGAAGUAAGAACAAGCUGCAUACGCUGGGCGUACUCAGCUGUCCUGGACUUUGACUUUUGUUGACUUCCAGUGACGUUGACUUUUUGACCAAAUUUGACUUUGGGUCAAACUUGAGGAUUUUGGACCAUUGAUUAAGAUUUUAUAUGGUUCUAGUGUUAGUGGAUUCGCAGGAGCAAGCAGUGCAGAACGGAGCGUAUCGCAAUGUUUCAAGGUUCUUAGAUUUAGGUGAGUUUUCCUCAUUGUACUUGUCGGUCGAAGGCACCAAUGUCGGCCCACUAGGUUAUUUAUUCUAGUAUAUAGGAUGUUUUAUGCUAUAGUGAGUUGUUAGAUCUGUGUCCUAGUAUAUAGGAUGUUGUUAUGCUGUAAUGAUCUGUUAGAUCUGUAUCCUGAUAUAUAAGAUGUUGCUAUACAGUAGUGAUCGGUAGAUCUGUUUGCAGUNNNNNNNNNNNNNNNNNNNNNNNNNNNNNNNNNNNNNNNNNNNNNNNNNNNNNNNNNNNNNNNNNNNNNNNNNNNNNNNNNNNNNNNNNNNNNNNNNNNNNNNNNNNNNNNNNNNNNNNNNNNNNNNNNNNNNNNNNNNNNNNNNNNNNNNNNUAUAUAUAUAUGUCGACACGUUAUGGUUUUGGGUUGAGGCUCUAUAGCUAUGUGCGUGAGCCAAUAGACUGGGGGUAUUCCAGUCUGAUGACUGAGUGAACCCGAGGGUAUUCCAGUCCAAUGAUUGAGUGGACCCGUUGUAUAUUUGCAUUCCAUUCCGAUGAUUGAUUGGGUUGGGGAUAACGUACCCGAUAGUUGUGAACCCGCAGGUAUUCGAGUCCAAUGAAUGAAUGGAGAAAACAUGUUUUUUUUGUAUAUGUAUGUUGUGUGGUGGUAUUUUGGGUAAACUCACUAAGCUUAAUGCUUAUGGUUUGGUUUCGUGUAUUUAGAUACUUUAGCUGAUCGAGGCUAGACGAAGGCGUGAUCGUACACAUGCUUCGAAGAAAUAUUUUGGGAGAUUUUAUGAUGUUACGAUCUUGGGGAAUAUUUUUUUGACACUUGAUUUGAUAUGGUUUGGUACUGAAAACAAUGGUUUUUUUUUUUAAAUUAAAAACCAAAAAUUUUAUCGUGAUUUUUUUGGAUGUUACACGUUGCUCAUAAAACAUCUCAGAAACAUGAAAAGAAAAUAUUUGAUUAAUCCAAAAAUCAAUAACAUGACCCUGUUUCGGAUCAUCAGACAUUGAAACCAAGUCGUGGAAUAUGAUUCAAACCUUCUUCUGUUAAAAAAUGUAGGAACAUUAGUAGUUAGUUCCACGAAUCAUACCCUUGAUUGCAAUUAUAGGUUUUCAAAUCGCAAUUCCUCAUAUAUAAACAACUAGUCUAAUCAAGCAGAAGACAACAAAGAUGAGAAUCUUGAUGAUUAACCCUUUAUUUCGAAGACAUUUAUCUUGAGAUGAAGAUGGAAAGUUAAUAUAUGUGACCCGAAUGAUACGUGGGAAUGUAAAUAAAAUUAGUCACACAAAUGUAAAACAAAAAAUUACAUUGAAACAUAAACAAACUCGAAUAUAAUACGUUUUUUAAAAUUAACAAACGAAAGUUAUUAUAUGUGACUCGUCUCAUACGUAAGAAACGUACAUAAAGUUAAACACAAAAACGUAAAAAAAUAUAAAAAAUAUAUAAAAAAAAUCUACGUCGAAACAUAGACAAAACGAAUUUAAACUAACAAGUUUAUAAAAAAAAACCACGUAUUUUUUUUUAAAAAAAAAAUCAUGAAUAGUAACAGCGUCGGCAAAAAGGGUCAUUCGUGCAAGUUUUGAAAACUACAGAGACCAUGUUCGUCAAAAAAAAUUAACAGGUUAGUUAGUUUGUGACCUUUAGUAAACCACAUGGUCCAUUUUUUUGUAGUUUUGUCGAUUUUUUAUGAUUGUGCGUAGAAUUAAAUGUUAAGAACUUUGGUUUUUGGGCAAAAAAAAAACAAAGUGGUUAAAAAAAGCUCAACCAAUAAGAGGCUAACACUUGCGUUGAUAAUUAGGUAGAGUGGGCUAACACUUGGGUUGAAAAUCCAUAUAUUUUUUUCCAUUUUAACCUCCAAACAUUUAACCAUAGACAAAAAUUGUCAAAAUCUUACAAAUAAUUACCAAAACAUCAUAUCAUUUCACGAGAUUUUGACAAUAAAUAAAUUUAAAUCUUUAUUUUUUAUAUUUUUUAAAUUUUACAACAAAGAAUUAUCCUCUAAUAAAUAAAAUAACUUGUGAUACAUGUCAUUUUUCUAGAGCAUUCAAAAAUUAUCAUUCAUUUUAUGACACGUGACAACCUCAUAUAGCCAAUGAAUGAUCACUUCGAUCCAGAUUUCAAACAUGCCCAAAGCAUUCGACUUGGGUUGUUGUUCGUCCACGAUGUUAAAAUUAUAGUGUCUCGACCACAGAAGCAACCGACCAUCGUCGUCUUUUUGUGUUCUUGGAAAGAAAAUUUUUCUUAACAGACAGAGAAAAAAGAGAGUAUGAUAGGGUAUAUACUUUAGAUAAGCGAAAUGAAACCAAAAUCAUUAAUGGACGAUUUUACCCUUGCAUGUUCUGCACGUGAGGGGGUUUUAACGACAAUUUAUCGACACAGUCUGUCAGAGAGGCAUUUUAUGUAAUAUUGAUAAAACACAAGGACCGAUUUACUUCAUUUUCUUGAAGUUGAACUAUAUGUGCCUAUUUUGCCAUACUAAAGGGACCAUUUAUGUAAUUUUUCAAAACUAAACAACAAAACACCAAAAUCAAUUUUGCAGCUUAGUACAAAUUAUUAUUUGCUCUAACAAUCAUCAUACACAAACACUUAUACAUUGAGUAAGGGGUGAUCGACGAUCCUAGAUUUGCCUUAAAAAACAACCUCAUAAACUUUUGUAGUUUAUAUAUUGGUUUUAAGAAAUUAUUUAAAAAAAAAAAAAAAAAAGACACAGUCAAAGGAAAUGGAAGUUUUCAAGGAAGGUGAUGUUAAAACAAACCUAAUUACGUAACUCAAACCAAAUAGUCGCCGGUGACACUAGGCCGUGUUUUUACUCAACGCGUCAUUAAAGAAACCCCAUGCUAUAUAAAUACCUUUUACUCCUUCCAUUCUUCACAAUCAACUCACUCUGCAACUCAAUCAUGUCCUCUGAUUCUCACCUCAACGGAGCUUACUACGGCCCAUCAAUCCCACCUCCCUCCAAAAAAUCCCGAUCCUACAACCGCCAUGGCCGCGGCGGCGGAAGCUGCAACCCCUUCUCAUGGUGCUGCAGUUGUCUCUGCGGUUGCAUCUUCAACCUCAUCUUCCAAAUCCUCAUCACCAUCCUCGUCCUCCUCGGGAUCGCCGUCCUCGUCUUCUGGUUAAUCUUCCGCCCCAACGCCCCGAAGUUCCAUGUCAACGACGCUACUCUCACCCAGUUCACCCUUUCCUCCGAUAACAACACUCUCUACUACAACCUCGCUGUGAAUAUGACGUUCCGGAACCCUAAUAAACGGAUUGGAAUUUACUACGACAAAAUCGAAGCCAACGCUGAGUAUUAUGAUAAGAGGUUUGCUUCCAGGAAUUUAGAUGGGUUUUAUUUGGGGCAUAAAAGGGAGAAUAACGUUAACACGGAGUUCGUCGGAGAACAAGUGGUGGUGCUCGGAAAUGGUGAUCGAUCUAAAUAUGAUAGGGAGAGAAACGAUGGGGUGUACAACAUCGAUUUGAAGUUGAGGCUUCGGUUGAGGUUGAAAGUUGGGUGGGCGAAACCCAAAUUCAAACCGAAGUUCGAAUGCGAGUUGAAGAUUCCGGUGACCUCCGGCGGUGUGGUUUCUUCUACGGGAUUUCAAAGGACGAAGUGUGAUUUCGAUUGGUAGAUCAUCAUCAUCAUCCCCAUUGAUGUUUCUUCGAUUGGGUGUUUUGUUCUUCUGAUUCAUCGAGUAUACUCUGAUUAUGCAUUUUUUUUGAAUUUUUCGGGAUUAUUGGUUCAUUUUAGAUCCUACAGUUCAUGAUUAUGGAUUAUUAUUAUUAUUAUUGUUAUUUAUAUUUUAUGUAUAUUCAUUAGCUCUUAUUGUUUAUAAAUAAAGAGAUUUUUAUUUAUUGUGAAAUUUGAUAUAUAUUUAUUAUUAAGGUUGUUGCGUUGUCUUAAAUUGGAAUACCUACUUCGAUUAUUAAAUAACCAACUGUAGAACAUUAUAGAUAUUUUAUGUAAACAAAUAUUUUUUUUGUUAUUUUAGUGAUAAAGAAGCUAAGAGUUG